CAGUCUUCUUUCAUUUUCAUGUCUCCCCAUAGGAUAGACAGAGAUUCCAAUAAACAAUAAAACCAUCAAAAGGUGAGGCAAAGAAGUAGAAGGAGAGGCAGUCUCUGGAUGGCACGCCGACAGGAGCCUCUGACUCACAGGCUGUUUCUAAAGGUUGGCAAUGACUUUGAAAUUUUAUCGAGUCCAUCUCUUUUCCUUUAGGCAGGACUGUUCUUACACCUUUCCCAGUAGAUGAUAAUCUGUCCUGUAUUUUAAUGAAACUUCCUUGCAGAGGACACAAGCUCCCCAGGGAACUCAUUGUGAAGUUAGAUGGAGUCUGUUGUCUCUUUUUAUUGUUCAUCUCCUUCCCAGGGAUAUAAAACAGGGUUGCCACCAUUAAGUUAACUAUUAAGUCAAGUCAUUCUACAUGGUUCUUGGACAGAUUGACAGAUCUUUAGAGAACACAACUACCCUAGGUAACAACUAGUUCAGUCCCUUCAUUGUGACUAGUUCAAGUCUUCUCUUCUCCAGGUUGAGAUUUGAGGGUUUUCUCAAACUCAUGUUGCAUCAUUGACUUAUGUUUUCUUUAGACCUUCCCAUCUUUUGCCCACUGUAUAUAUUGCUAGUAUUUUCUUCUAUGUGCUAAAAUCACACUGGUCUGUCAAUUAAUAGUCAAUGUUAUGUGAUUUUUUUCAAACAAAAAAUGACUGCGUUUUUAGUUAAUAGGACAUUUUCAGCACUGGAGUGACUCAGAACCUUGGGCUCCACUAUGUUUCUGUCACAGCUACUGGUAUGACUUUUGGUGGGUAACUUAGUAAACGUCUGAGCCUCACUCAGUUCAUCACCAUCAGAUAGCAGCUUUCCCCAAGGUGCUUCCCACGAGGUCUCAACACAUGUGAGACAUAUUUUAAAAUGGUUCCAUUUUAAAAUAGCUGGUGGGGGUGGGCAAAGAUUAAAUGAACCUAAACAGAUUUCUUUACGUUUCAGAUAAUAAAAAAUGCACAGCAUAAAUCUUCAAGUCUUCAAGAGAGGUGUUCUAAAGGUAUCUAACUAUGAUUUUUUCCCCCUUUAUUUUUAAUGCAACCUCAAUGCCACUUUCUCUGACCAGGCUUGUCUGCAAAGCAGUUACUCUUUCCUUGGUGCUCUUCCCAGAAACACAGGACAACUCAGGACUUUAGACUGGACAAUAGAUUGUGCAUUCUUUUGCAUCAUGAGCUUUUUGAGGGCAGGGCCUUUCCUUAUUUCUCUGUGUAAAGAGGGUCUAAUCCAAUGCUUUUAUUGGGAAAAUAUUUAAUAAGUAUGUUGAGUGAGUCAAGCUGUCCAUAAAUGGAAGGAACUACCUUGAAAAUGUUUGAACUUCCUGUCACAUAAAAUGUUCUUACAGACUGAAUUUUUUGAAAUGGGUGAAAUUUGUAGUAAAGAUGAUUGAUCAGGAAUCUAUGGGAGUUUCCUGAGGUUAUAAAGAUAAUAAAAGAAUAAAAGCACCUACAGAUAACCACAGGCAGUUUAGAGAAGGGCAGAGUACAGUUUUACAGGCAGCUUUUCCUGGCAUCCUUCUUAGGUCUGGAUGAAUUUUCCUAUUGUCUUGAGUCCAGAUUCUGUCUAACAAUAUAGAAUGAUUACUUAAGGAAAUUCACCCAGAUUACCAAUAUGUAAGUAAGGGACACAGUCCCAUGACAUUUAUCUUUCACCUUUUACAAUGUCACUGUGUACUUAUGAAUUCAAUUCAUUGCAUUUGUGAAUGAGUUAAUUUUCUCCUUUGCUAUUCUAUUACACUGUUCUAUUUCUUAGAUGCUUCUGGAAAGCAUGAAAUUUGUCUCACAAGCAAUUAUCUCUCCCUUGAUACCUGUUGUUUUGUGAUCAUAGGAAGAACUUGACAAAUAAUUACUGAAAAAAUAAAAAUGAAUAUGGUGGCUCAGAGAUGUUUUCAAUUUGCAUCUUAAGAUAGAUAGUUUAUAUUUGGCAAAAGUUUUUAAGUUCUGAAAGUAGGGAAAAUAAGGGGGCAUUUACCUAUUAUUCCACUCCCACCAGAUUAUUUAUAAAGAUAUUAAUAAAGAUAAUAAAAGAAUAAAAGCACUUACAGAUAACCACAGAUUAUCUUCCUCUAGAUUUCAGAUUAUUUUCCUCUAGAUGUAUUUUAUACAAAGGAAUCCCCUUUGAUUUAUCAUUGUAAUCAUAGUAUAUAUAUAAUUUUUCCUGAUUUUUAUCUCACUUGAAAUUGUAUGAAGUAUUUAAAAAUAUCAUAUAUAUACUCUUUUUUAGGUAGGAAAUAUUUUUACAAUAAAAUUUUGAAAAUUGUAGAAGUUCUGAGCAAAAAAGUUGCAGAAGCAAAAUAUUUAUUUAUUUGUUUGUUUAUUUAUUUAUUUGCAGUACCAGGAAUUGAACCCAUGGGCACUUUACCACUGAGCUACAUCCCUAACCCAUUUUACUUUUAUAUUUUUGAGACAAGGUCUCUCUAAAUUGUCCAAGUUGACUUCAAACUUGCAAUCCUCCUGCCUCAGCCUCCAUGUCAUUGGGAAUACAGGUAGCGGUAUAUGUUGGGAGUACAGUCAGUGCCCGACUCACAAAUAUAGUUUUUAAAUGUACCCACAUGGUUUUUCUUAUUCAUUUGUGCUUUUAUUGUAUUUCUUAGUAGGAUUUUUCCUCAUUUUACUUAACUCUUUAUUUUACCAUUAAAAGGGUGAAAUACACAAUUAUGGAAGUGAAAAUUUUCCUGCUUUUUCUUUUGAAUAUAUUUGCAAAGCAUCAAGUACUUACUGGUAAAUUACUUUUUCAGGAGUUUGUGUCAACAUUUACUAUUUUAACAAUCCACAAACAUUCCAAAUUUGUUCCAAAUUCACAAGCAACAAUUUUUUUUUUUUACUUUUUAAAAUACUGAAUUAUUUUAACAGAAAAAAAAUUGCUUCUUUAAUUUGUUGAAUUUUUAAGCAUGUGUUUUAGUUUCAUUACUGAGGUCAAAUCUUUUCUCAUAUUGAUUAUUUUUAUUCUUUGGUGGAUUCAUGUCUUUCUGUUUAUUUUUCUUACUGAACUAGAUGAAUGCUUUCAUGCAUAAAGUGUGUUCUUUCCUGAAGGUAUGUUCACACACCACUGCAUUAGCGAUGCCCAAGGAUAGUGUGUGAGGCUAGGAGAAGCCACCAGCAGUAGGUGGCCAGAGUAGGCUAUUAUUCUGUGUUGUAAUGCAGCCACCAGGAGGGAGCUGAGUUACUAAAUAAUUUUCUGUCAGUUCAGUAUUGCAAAAGCGAGGCUUGGCCAGCGAGGGGUGUGUGACAGGCUUCAUUCUUCCCUUUGUCUCAACUAUUCUUAGGUACAUCCAGAAAUUGCUGCUAAGUUGGGACUGUGGGCACAUUGGGUUCAUAUUGCUCUCUGAGAUAUGAAGUGUCGCAACUACUCAAUAUGGUUGGCUCUUCACUUGAGCAAAUUACCAACAGCUUGUGUGUGACUCCUUAAAAAUAAUGAGAACCUCAUUUUAGGAGAGGGGACAGAUUGUGUCUGUACUUGGCAACCCACGUUCCACUGCAGCUGGGAUUGCUCUAGACACUCCAUGGAGUGGUAGGGCCCAUAUUACAGGGAAAUGUCCAUUUUGUCUGAGGAGCUGUGGGGUCUGUCAGCAUCUGGCAGUAACAUUUUUUCUAGCACGACUUCCUGCCCCAAACCUCUGGAUGUGACAGAAGUUAAUGUAAGAUCACUGCAGUCUCUUUUAGUCCCUUGUCAUUUCAUCAGGGAGCUAAAUGCUAAAUGCAUUCAGUCACAUCGGAAGUGGUGAGCUCCCUUUACAAUAUGGAAAAUUUAAAAUCAACAUCAAAACAUACAGGUUGUAUUUUUUAAAUACUAUUUUUUUUUAUCUUGCAUGAAACAUUCACGAGUAGUUCAGGUAUGACCAGUAACACAAAAAUUGUCCUGUAGCAAAGAAAACAAAAGCUUUUUCACCUGAAUAGCAAUAGUUUUGGGCAGAAUGGGUUAAAAAUAAGUGGAAAUGACUUGAGGAUAAAAGAGUCUUUUCCUAUUGCAAUUUUUUUUCAUGCUGUAUUUUUUCUUCUUAAGGGUCUAUAAUGCCUCCUCAUUACUUAUAGGAUUAAAUUCAGAUUCUCUGAAGGAGUAAAACCCAUAUUGACAGAGACUGGAGUAGGUUUGCUUUGUGGGGAGAAUGUAUGUAUGUGCAAAUGUCCUGGAGUGUAAUCAGAAAGUUGAUUUUAGAGACUGUUUAAUAAGCCAGGCCCUAUGAUGCACAUCCAUUUCUCUGGAAGUGCUGAAACCACACUGCCAUUUGCAGUACAUUUUCUGUAUAUUAAUAGCUAUACAAAUUGUUCAUUUCUAUAUGCCAGGUACUACAUUAAGUACUUAAAGUAUAUUUUCUCAUUUAAUCUUUUUAAUGACUAUUGAAUGUAGUUGCUAUUAAUAUUCUUACUUCAUAGGUUAGGAAACUGAGGCUUAACAAAGGUUUAUAACUUACUAGAUCACUUAACUUAUUGCUGGCUAAGUCUGAUUAUAGUCAUCCCUGGUAUCCAUCCACAAGGCGUUGGUUCUAGGACCCAUAUGGAUAAUAAAAUCUGUAACUACUCAAGUACUUUAUAUACAAUGGCAUAGCACUUACAUAUAGUUGUUCAUAUUCUUCUGCAUCCUUCACAUUACUUCUAGAUUACAUAGAAUAUCUCAUACAAUGUAACUUCUAAACAAAUUGCUGUUAUACUGUACUCUAGGGAAUAAAGACAAGGAGAACAUUCUAUACAUAUUCAGUACAGAUGCAAUUUUUUAAAAAUAUUUUUGAUCUGGCCAGGCCCAGUGGUGCACAACUGUAACCCUAGCAACUUAGGAAGCAAAUGCAGAAGGAUGGCAAGUUCAAGGCCAGCCUUAGCAAUUUAUCAAGGUUCUAAGCAAUUUGGUGAAACCCUGUCUCAAAAUAAAGAAUAAAAAGAGCUGGGGAUGUGGCUUAUUGGUAAAGCUCCCUUGGGUUCAAACUUCAGUACAAAAAACAAACAAACAAACAAACAAACAAACAGCCCCCCUCCCAAAUUUAAAAAUUAAAUAUUUUUGAUCUAGAGUUGUUUGAGUUUGCAGCUGCAGAACCCAAGGAUACACUGGGCCAACUAUACAUCUAAAUAUCAUGCUGACAUGGUUUAUGAUAUUAAUAGUUACCUCUUGCUUCUUGUACAUUAAGUUUUGUGCAUUGUUUACCUAGAUGAUUUUGAAGCCCCAAAUUUGGCUCUAAGAUUAUAUGGAGGCUCAACUAUAAUUAAUUGCUAUUAAUUAGCAAAUUAGCACUAAAGUUUUGCUUCAGUGAAAGACACAUUGAAUUAGGCAUCAGCACAAGUGAAUUCUGGCAGCAGAUGUACUCUUGAAAUCAAUUUCUUUCAGCAAAGUAGAAUGAAUAGUGUUUUACUUGCCUGAAGGCAGGGGUAGACAAGAUGACAACUUUGACUGAGUAUCUGUGGGACAGGACAUCUCUAGUUGUGUUCUCUGGAAGAUAGCGAACAUGUAUGUGAAAAGAGCAUGACUUGAGCAUCUUAAGUGGUAUCAUGAAGGCAUUCUGGGAAAAAAAAAUGUACUUUUCUCUGAAAAUAUGUUAACAUUUCUAUUGAAGCAUGGCAUCUGCACCAUCAAGGCAUCAUAACCCAACUAAAAGGGAUGGUCAUUUGUCUUUCAUGUACUAGUGUCCCUCCAAUGAGAAAUGUGUGUCUUCACUUUGAAAAUGGUACAGUAUCUAUUUGCUUGUUAUCUCCUAACUAAAAAUAAUUUUAGAAAGGUAUAGAUAGAAGAGGUGUGUGUGUGUGUGUGUUUUAAAAUCAAGUUUGAUGGAUAAUUCUUUUCAGAAACAAGAAAUAUUCUUAUAAUAUGCCCAUAGCUUUGCUCAAUUAGCAGUUUACCAUAGCACAUAGUUCCCUGGGUAAUUUAGCACAUAGUUCCAUGGGUAAUUUAUCAUUGAAUCAAAUUCUUCUCUCUGUUUCAUUAUUGCAGGUUAUCUGGUAACUAUAGUUUCUAAAACAUUGACAAACUCAUUGUGACUUAUUAUUCUAGAAGCCAUCACACUUAUCUCUUUUUUCAUUUGAUGUCCUUGACUUCAGUGUUAACUCCAGGCAUAUCAGGUAACUGGUGUUCCCUGAGCACCUGUAAAGAUAGUGAAUAAUAUUAGUUAAGAUGGCUGUGCUUUUUCUCCUCACAGUUGAUUCUUUUGCUAGAAUGGUAACAACAGUGUUUUCAAUAAAAACAUCACCUGGGAUUUUUUUUUUUUUGUCCUUUCUCAUAAUAGAGAUUUUUUUCACUAUAAUAGUGAGAUAACCUUUCAAAUCUAUAAUACCUUCCAAUUUAUCAAAAAGGGACAAGCUAAUAUUCCCAGGCAAGCUCAAUUCUUUUAGCACAAGCAUUUUAGGUCCAGCUAAGGAAAAUGGUCUGCUCUGCAGGAAAACAUUGUUGGCCCAUUGUUAUUUUAAAUGCUUCCAGGAGACUACUGAGUAAGAGAAGAGUAGCAACAACCCUCAGCAUGCCUGGGGGAUGACUUGUUCUUUCAUAUUUGUGGAACCCUGUGUCAAGAGAGGAAAACAUCUAAAAAUAAAAUGCAUUUACUCAGAACCUCUGGGGCAAGGUGCAAAGAGCCUGUAUUGUGGGAGCCAAGAUUAAAAAUUAAAUGGUUGAAAUCUGCAGAGCAACUGCCAUCAGCAGAACCGUGGGCUCUUUCUGGUUAACUUUGUGUCAUCUGAUUAGUUUCGAUAAAUUGGCUUUGAGUACUAAUGUCCUUUGGUCUUUUCUGUUGCUGUUCAUAAUUCCUAGUGACCCAUUUGCUGGUGAGUUGUUUCUUCACAGUUCAGUGACGGUUGGCCCUUUCCUUCCUCCACCAGUGUGUGCAGCCGUCAAAAUGGGGUCUGAUCAGUUAACAAUCUAGUCAGGUCCCAAGUGGUUAGGAAUCCAAAACCCACCAUAGUCCACAUAUACUACUCUGUGAGCUCUUCCCUGAAAUGUAGCAUGGAAUGGAAAAUCAAGUCUAGGCAGGGUAUAAGCACUGUUCGAAACGUACUGAUGUACUGAUGGAGAUGGUGCCCACAAAGAGGGAAAAGUAAGCCAAAAGAAUUUUGCAGACUGUUUCUUCUAAUUGAUUCCUGUGCUCUUGUUUUGUUUUGUUUUGUUUUUUUUUUUUUUGCCCCCGUUCUCUUCUAUAUGAGUAAAUUUCUUAAAAGGCUGAAUGCAGUAGCAUUUUACAUUUCUGUAUAUUUCUUUAGCAGUCCAUACCCCUGCCAUUGCUAGUACCUUAUUUUUAAGAAUCUUUCAACUCUCUUCCAAAGCCUAAUGACCAUUUGAAAGGCUUAUCUCUUUCGUAGAACUUGAGAAAUAUUGAAUCAUCUUUAGACAGUCUGAACUAGAUGAACUGGAGCAAGUCUCCAGGGGGGAUGCCUUGUACUCUUGAAAUCACUUUCUUUCAGCAAAGUGGAAUGAAUUAGUGUUUGAACAGAAAAGUGAACAGUGUGUUGAAAAUUGUGAGUAUUGAUUGUGCAAGUUGGAAUGGGAUUUUCUUUAAGGGAAGUAUUUUGCUUAUAGGUGGGAAAUUUUCUUUGUUCAUAUUUCUUUGUUAAAAGUAUUGUUAAUGUUGUAUUCUCCACCUGUUUUCCAUUUAAUUUUAGCCAUGAUGGUCAGCUCCUAUGGUUUGAAUAUGUUUUGUGUUCCUCAAGAGUCCAUUGUGACUAAAGUCUUAGUGCUCAGGGUGGUGCUGUUGGGAAGUGGUGGAUCCUUUGGGAGCUGCACCCUAGCAGGAAGUUCUUAGUUCAUUGUGGGUGUUAGGUGGUUGGAGUUUUGAAUGUUGUUAGGGUCUGUAAACAAGUCAAGAUGGCGCCUGGCAUUUUGCCAGAGGGAGUGGUUUGUGAAGUAAUGCCAGCGAGCCAUUAAGUGUGGAGAUUCCUUAUUGGUUGACUGCUGUAUCUAGUUUAUGUUAAUUAAGAUAAGCUGUGUGGAAUGUAUAUAUACCCCUCCUGUCCUACAAUAAAUGGCUCCUACUCCUGCUGUAUCAAUGUACACAAGUUGUUCGUCACCCCCCGGUUAGUUUGCUGCAGCCAGACUGCGGCAGAAUGUAACCACUCAGUUGUUCUCAUAUGACCCCUUGAGUUCUUGCAAGAGGGUUGUUAGAAAAGGAACAAGCCUGGCCCCUCCUGUACUCUUUCUCUCUGCUCCUGCACAAGAUGUGAUUUCUUGGUCCUACAUGGAUUUCUGCCAUGAUAUACUGCCAUUCACUGACUUUACCAGAUCCUAAGAAAAUGGGGCAGUACAAUCUUGAACUUUGACACUCUUCUCUAAAACUGUGAUCUACAUAGACCUUUUCUAUUUAAUAAGUAGCCCACAUUGGGUAUUUUAUUAUAGUGAUGCAAAGCUAAAUAGUAUACCGUGCAAUUUAAAUAUUUUAAAAUAAUCAAAGUUAAGAGAUUAACUAUGCCUAGGGACACAGGGAAAUGUCUAUGUCAGCCUAUGCCUCUUUGAACCAAGCCAGAUGCAGACUGUUUCUUGGUUGGUGACACUUCCUUGUUGCCUCUAGAUCUAUAUCCUCAUUGGUUAUGAAUUAAGACACAUAAAUAGAGCCUGCAUUUAUGUGUAGUGAACUUCCAGAUUGAAGUAUUUUUUUGCUUCAAUAUUGUUGUUGUCAUAAUAUUUGAAGUCUUUGGAAAAAUGAAUGAUAACUUAUAUGUGAAAAAAUAUCCAUGCUGCAAAGAACUCUUAGCAUUGACUCCACAGAAUAAUGUGUCUGAUGGUAGAGUUAGUGUCUGCAGAAUUUUUUUUUUUGUCAGUUAGUGGCAUCAGAGUGUAUGUAGAAGCCCUGUGAAAAACCUUGAAAUUUUAGCAAAAGAAAACUUUUCAAAAUGUAAUUCAAGGAAUGGACUCGUAAGUGGAUAUUUUAAUAGUCACUUUAUAUUUCUUUUUAAUGCCGUCUGGCAUUAAAAAAAAUUCUUGUAAUAGCUCAUUGAAUCAGGGCUGUUAUUUUUAGCUUUAAUAGUCCUUAACAUCACUUCAGAUCUAGCUUAAUUUUCUAGAGUAUUAAGAUGUAUGGUGUGUGCUCCAUUUUUAAGUAGAGAAAAGACAAGCAAGAUGAGUAUAUUUUGAUUUCUGUUUUUUUUUUUCAUUCUAUUGUAUAAGGCAAAUGAAUUUUUUUUUCAGAAAAAGGUAUGCCUGGUUAUAUCUUUACAAUAUGCCUUUUCAGAAAAUAGGUUUUGAAUAUUCAUUUUAAUCUUAUUUCUUGUGACCUUUUGUAGGCUCUGUGCUGUUAAAUCUAAAGUGUAUGAGUUGUUAUAGCUGAGUGGUAAUUUUAGUGACAUUUUAAUGUCAUAUCUUCUCCUUAGCCUGUUUGCAUAUUGCAUGCAGACUAAACUUCAGGAAUUUUUAAAACAUAAGAUACAUUGGUAAAUGAUUUUGACAUGACUUCUUGCUCUUUUGGACCAACUAUAAUCUAUUUUACUGUUUUAUUCUUGAAUGACCCAUUGCACUGUGAGAGAGUUAACUGAGUCUCUGUCAUGCCAAGAUGACUUGGUGUUUACCUUGCUGCACUAGUUUGACUCGAAUGCUUAACAGAAUAUACCUGAACCUGAGUGAGUGUAAGAAGGAAAUAGGGCCAAAUGUUGCAGAAGUUGCAUUCACAUGCCAUUGAGCUAUAGUCAGCUUCUCCCUAAAGCAUUGUAACUCCCUUAGACAACUUCCUCUUUGGGGAGUUGCAAAGUGUAGAAACUUUUGAGGAAGGGGCCCAGCUGCAGGGAUCAGAUUAGGAGUUUUCUUCAUCAGAAGAGCCACCUUGCAUGGCAGUAGGCCAUGAAUGGAGGGCCUUUUCCGGUUGUGACUCAGACCUGCUCCCCCAACCAUUUACAGUCUUUGGGAAGAAGCAGAAAGAGUUACACUUGUGGCUGUUGGGGCCACAUGUUCAUUCUUUGGUGGUGCUCCCUGCAAUGUGAACGCCUGCUGCUCCUCGAUCAGGUAUGCUGCCAUUGUUUUGAGGGUGAUUUGAGACAAAAGUGGCAAGGACAUUUGUCAGGCUGUGGGACAUGUAGAUAUAGAUUUUAUGAAUGCUUAAUUUAGGACAAUCUGGAUAUUUCCUGUUGGAAUUAAAAAUAGGUAUGCAAAAUGACUCUGAUACCAGGAUCAACCAAGGUGGAGAAACGGGAGUUUGAAAAUAUAUUCAUGUGGGGAGAAGACAUUGAUGAGACAGAUAUGCUUUAAAGAAGAUAGAUUAGAAAGAUCAUUGAAGAAUUGUGCCAAUCCAUUCUCUCCUAUUUCCUUUGCUACCACCUAAGUUGAAGUCACUGUGCUGGGCAAAUGCAGGAUUCUUCUCACUAAGGUCCUAUGUCCAUUCUGCCCACGGAGGUUGGCUUUCACAUAUGAAAAGCAAUCAAUUUUGUCAUUCCUCUGCCCAAGGACUUACCAUGGCCAACUUGGCAUUCCUGGACCUGACUCUGACCCUCUUUUUUUUCAUCUUGCCUAACUUGUUUUCUGACUCAUUCCAUUUAGGUCCCUCUGCUUUCCUAGAUGUUCCUUGAAGUGUGAGCUACACAUUUCCUCCUCAGGCUUUUUACCUAUGUUUCCCUCUGAUUAGAAUGUUCUUCUUGGAGAUGUCCACAUUACUCACUUCCUCUUGUCCCUCCUGUCUUUAUUCAAAUGACACUUUGGAAGAGAGGGUUUUUUGGCCAUGCUAUCUGGAAUAGCACACUGCACACAGGCCCUGCCUCUUCCAUCUCACCCUGCCAUCUUCUUUCUCAUAGUGCUUACUACCUACCACCUGUCACAUUCUAUUUAGUUGAAUCAUAUAAAAUUUCCUGUUGUUGGAUCAGGAAUAUCUGAUUGGUCAUUUUGUGUGGUCCAACCUAAAUACAUAUUUAUUAACUUCUCUAUUAUUUUUAUUCCUUUCCUUCUGCUACCAUUUAAACUCUAAGAGUUCAGCUAUUUAUUAUUAUUAUUAUUACUAUUUAAAUCUGCAGUAUGUAGAAUAUAGUAGGCACUUAGAAAAGUGUUUUAAAAAAUGGAAAUGAAGAAGAAAAUUGUUGGAAUUUGUCGGUAAUAAGCAGAGAAAGUUUAUAUGGGAAUUCAUCUUUGUGUGUGUGUGAUUUGAAAGGUAUUCUAAAAAUGUUGAUUGGAAAGGCUUCUGAGUGAGUCCAGAAAAACUGAAGGAUAAAUUUGGAUCCAUGUUAAAGUAUAAAGUUUCUAAUUUAAACUGUGGGCUAUCUGUAGACUUCAAUUAUAUAUUUGUUUUCACCUUGUUUUAUAAAACAGAUAAGAGAGAUAAUACAGAUUUUGGAUAAUAUAAUUCUGAAAUUUUAAAGUUUUGCAAUUGGUAAGUUAUAGAAUUAGCUUUUCAAAUGUGACAUAAGUUGAUUUUGACUAGGAAAAAGAAAUUACUUUUUUACUUGUAGUUCUGGAAAUUUGGUUACUAAUCUUAAUACCAUCUCUACUAACAUACUUACAAACAUUAGGUAGAUUAAUAUAAGCAAUCUCUUUCUUGUAUAUCUGAAACAGAAAGGAAAAAAACCUAUAUCCAUGGAUUAAAAAUAAAGAUGGAAUGUAAAACCUCAGGGGUGAACAUUUAAACAGCUGUGGCUGUCCUUUGGAGGCUGUUAAUAAUCUCAGUAACCAAGGGCUUGGUCUUGACAAAGAUGUGGAGAUAUAAAAUUGAAAACUGAGACUAUGGAUUGGAGCAGAGAUCUUUAGCACAAAAUUGUGACCUAUGAAUAAAAGGGACUAAAAUAAUUUCAUCAGCAGCACAGUUGAGACAAGGAAGUGAUUUCUUAGAAAAUACCAUCUCUUCCAAAGACGUAUUAUGGUGUAUAUGUGCAUCUCUUUGGGGCUUGAGAUUUGAAUUUGUGUUAUUUAUAUAUUAUGGGAAAAUCACAGCUUGAGAAAUUAACCCAGAAGCACCUGGCAGAAUUACUUGCAAAUUUCUUAGAAGCAGGUACCAUUAAGGGAAGUUUCAUAAGUUUCCCUCAGAUAAAUACUCCUGAAAGAUUAAUCCACAGUCUCAAAUUAUAAAACAUGAGAAAAAAAUCUUCCAUGCAAGCAAACAUAGCAAAGAGCAGAGUCAGAAUCUAAGACCUUCAAAUGAUGAAACUAUUGCAUAAGAACACCAAAAUGAGAUAUAAUAAUUUGCUUAUAAUGUAAGAUAAACUGAGGUUUGUAAAGACAUGAGCAGGAAUUCUGAAAGUAAAAACACACAAUAAUUGAAAUUAAAAAUUUAUUGUAGGGGCAGUGGUUGUAGCUCGGUGGUACAGCGCUUUCCUAGCAUGUGUAAGGCACUGGGUUCAAUCCUCAGCACCAUGCAGAAAUAAAUAAAUAAAAUAAAGGUAAUGCAUCCAUCUACAACUGAAAAAUGUUUUAAAAAAAUUAUUGUAGGUAGGAUAACAAAUUAGAUGCAGUUGAAGAGAGAUAGUGAAAUGCAGUGUAAUUUGAAAGGACAACCAGAAGGCAGUGAGAGAAAAUAUGAGAGAGGAUUGGGCAUAGUGGUGCAUGCUUGUAAUCCCAGCAACUAGAAAGGCUGAGGCAGGAGGAUUUCAAAUUCAAGGGCAGCCUCAACAACUUAGAGGAACCUUGUCUCAAUAAAAAGGACUGGAGUUAUAAUUCUGUGGUAAAGCACCCCUGGGUUCAAUCCCCAUUAUCACAAAAAGAAAAAGAAAAUAUAAGAGAGACAUUUUGGAGAGAUUGAGAGAACUUAGUGAGUCUUUAACAGGCAUUCUAGAAAGCAAUAUCUGACUAUAAUAUAAUUAAAUUAAUAAUUUAAGCAAAUACCCCCCCCCAAAUCCUGAAUGGAUUUGAAAAUUAAUAACCACACUUGUAUCCAUAUAUGAAUACAUGACUCAUGAAACUCCACAUCAUGUACAACUGCAAGAAUGGGAUUCUAAUUAGAGAAAGUCAUACUCCAUGUAUGUGUAAUGUCAAAAUACACUCUAAUGUCAUGUAUACUAAAAAUAACAAAUAAAAAAGGAAAAAAGCCACACUUGUAAACAACUUAUGAGUUAACCAAGAAACAUAAUGAAAAUUAAAAAAAUACAUAAAACUGAAUGUUAACAUUAGUAAAAAUAAUAGGAAGCAAAACUCAUAGGCAGCACAAAAGUGGAAGAUUGAGAGUUAUAGCCUUAAAUGCCAGUAUCAGAAAAGAAAAAAAAGAAAUAAGAUUUAAUAACUCAACAUUCAAUAUACCAAUUUAGAAAGCAAAGAUCAUAAAAAGUGUAAUGAAUGCACAAUAUAUAUUGAUAAAAAGAGAAAACACAAAAACUGGUUCUCUGAAAAGACUUGUAAAUAGGAUAACUUAUAGCAUAUUUGAGCAAGGAAAAAAGUAAUCUAAAAGAGACUGGAAACAUUACAGGUAGUAGUAAUAUAUUACAAAUUAUAUUUUUACCUCUAGGACAAGAGAAUAAUGGCCGCUAGCUCUUUAUAUCUAACUGGUUAUCAGAGCCAGUGAUGUAAGUGAAGGAAAGAAAUAAGCAAAAGGUAGAAGGAAAGAAAAAGGAUAAAGCAAAAUUGCCACCAAUUAAAGAUAAUAAAUAAACUUUGCAGGAAAAAUACUAGAAACAACACAAAAAGUUCAGGAAAAUUAGCAGAUAUAAAACAAACCAAUUUUUUAUGCUCAGCAAGAAAUAAAAUUAAUCAGAAAGAUCAGUUUAGAAGCAGAUAAUAUGAACAUUAUCAAUAAAAACUAGAAACAUAUAUUAAUAAAUCUAAAAAAAGAUUCAAAGUCUAUUUCAGGUGAAGUUACAAAAAUUUUAGGCAGUCUUCAAGAAGAUUAAGUAAAUGGAGAGAGAUACCAUACUUCAAAUAUGAUACGUAUCAUAAUGAUUCCAGAUCUCCUUUUAUGAAUUUGUAAGUUCCAAUGAAAGCUAAUAUGGGGUGUUUUUGCUUGUUUAUUUUAAGGAUUCCUUAAAGGAAUUUGAUAAGUUGAUUCUCAAGUAUAUAUAAAUACCUAAGGGACAAGAAUAACCAAUAUAAAUUUUUAAGACGUUGGCAAGGUUAGUCCUCCACAUAGCAAGAACUACUAUAAAGCUAUGGUAAUUAAGACAUUGGAUAUUGGAGCAGCAAAAGAAAACUAUACCCAGUUUAGAAAUAUGCCCAUAUAUGUCUGAGGAGGAAUUACAAAUCUGUAUGGAAAUUUUAAAAUGAAUGUUUCUAGGAGAUAGAAUAUUCACAUGAGAGGAUAAAAGUAAUGAUAUCUUCCUCAAAACAAAAACAAAUUAAAUCCCUGGUGAAAUACAGGCUUAAAGGUGAAACUAAAAGUAAAGAAUUUACAUUUUUAGAGAAAAAGAAAAUGUAUGGAAUAGCUUAAGGCCACUGGGGAAGAAAGAAUAUCAUAAGACAUUAAAAUACCAGCUAUGAAUAAAAAUAAUGAAGAAAACUAAUGUAUAGCGAAAGACACAAAAAUAUUAAAAAGAAAAGCUUCAGACUAUAAAAGGAUAUGAAUAAUGCAUGUAGCCACCAAAAAAUGAGCAGACACUUUGUAUGAAGGAGUCCUACAAAAAAUAUUUUAAAAUCCUACCCAACAGAAAGAUGAAUGAUACAAAUGAUAAGUGGAUUAACAAUUCACAGAAGAGGAAACAAGAAUGACUGAUAAUUACAUAAUAUUUGCUCUGCUAUACUGGUGAUUUGGUUCAUACAAAUUAAUAUAUGAAAAUUCCAUUUCAUGCUCAUCAGUUUGGUAAAAAUUAAAGUCUGAAAGUACCAAAUACUGGAAAUGAUGUGGAAGAAUAACUCAGUACAACUAAAUACAAAUUGAUACAACAAUUUGAAGUUACUUAGUAAAGUUAAAAAUGGCAUAUAUUCUAGAAACAUGCUUGUAUGUGUUUGCCAGGAGAUGUGCAUAAAGAUGUUUAUUUUGUUAUGAUUUUGUAAGAGCAUAAUCCUGGGAAAAUCCGGUGUUUCCAUCAGUAGAAGAAAGUACAAUUAAAAAAUGGUAUAUUUAGACAGUGGACCAUAUAGUACAGCAGAUAAAAUGCAUAAAUUCCAUGAGAUGUAUUAACACAGAUAGAGGUCAACAACAUAAAGUUGAACAAAAACAACCUGUAGAAGGGUUAAUGUUAGAGUACCAUUUAUAUAGUUUAAUAACAAGCAAAUCCAUAUUCUGUAUUCAUAGAUCAACAGAACUAAAAAAAAGAAUAGAAAUCCUAAAUACCAGUGUUUAGUAGGCUUAUGUGAAGGGACAUAGGGAAGCAGGGAAAUAGCAUCAGGGAGGAAGGGUACACUGGGAUCUUCAAGUCUGUCUGAAUUGCUUUUUUUUUCCCAGCUAUUUAUUAGAUAUUAAUUUGAGAUUCUCAGGAAAGUAGUACAGAGAUGUUCUGUGUACCUUUUACCCAGUUUCCGCCAAUGAUUACAUCUUGCUUAGCUAAAGUACAAUGUCAAAGUUUGAUAUUUGAUAUUAAGUUGGAUAUUUGAUAUUGAGUUUGAUAUUGGUCCAAUAUGUGCAUAUACUUCUUUGUCCUUUUUAUCACAUGUAUAGAUUUGUAUAAUCAUCCGGUUAAUCAAGAUUUGUAACAGUUACAUCAUUACACAAAUCUCCCUUGUGUUAUGUUUUUAUUUUCACAAUCUUACAAGUUAUUGUAUUUAUCAGUAGUUCAUUUAUUUUGCUGAGUAGAAUUCUGUGGUGCACAUGUAACAAAUUUUUAAUAAUUUAUCUAUUAAGGGACAUUUUGGUCUUUUAAAUUUUUUUGCUAUUAUAAAUAAAGCUGCUAGUAACAAUUGUGCAUAAUUUUUUGUAUAAAAGUGAAUUUCUUGUUCUCUGGAAUAAAUGCUCUCCAGUGAAUUAUUGGCUCAUGUGGUAAAUGCAUGUUUAGUUUUUUAUAGCUUGUUUGUUUCGUGGUACUGAAGAUUAAACCCCGGGCCUUGCACAUGGUAGGCAAGCAUUCUGCCACUGAGUUAUAUCUCAACCCCUACAUAUUUAGUUUUUAAACAAAAUUCCAAGCCAUUUUCCAGCAUGACUAAAUCAUUUUAUGUCCCCUUAACAAUGAGAAAUAAUUCUCUGCAUCUUUACAAGUAUUAUUACUAUUUUUUUAUUUUAGUUAAUUUAGUGGAUGUAUAAUGGUAUCUUAUUAUAGUCUAUAUUUGUAUUCCUUUAAUGGAUACUUUAAGUUGUAAAGUAAUAUAACUUAUUAUCUUGCUGGCUGAAAUCAAAGCAUUGGUAGGUAUGUUCCUUUCUGCAGAUUCUAAGAGGGAACCCAUUUCCUUGCCUUUUCCAGCACAUUACUUGGCUCAUGGCUCCCCUUCUUCUGUUUUCAAAUCCAGCAACUGUAGUUUCCUAACCAUUCUGACCUCCUCUGUAUUGGUGUUCCAAUUUCAAGGGCCCUGGUGAUUCAACUGGACCCACAUGGAUAGUUUAGGAUAGAUUGUUUUAAAGUUAGCUGACGGAUAACUUAAUUCCAUCUGCCAAUGUAGUUCUCAUUUACUAUAUAAUGUAACAUCUUUACUGGUUGUGGGGAUCUGAAGAAGCUAUUUUUAAGGUGCCACUAUUUGCCUCUCAUAACUAGAAAAGUUGAGUAUCUUUUCAUGUGCUAUUUGCCAUCUGUGUUUCUUCUUCAGUGAAAUGUCUUUGUCUUUUGACCAUUUUCUAAUUGGAUUGUUUGCUUUAUUACUAUUGAAUUUUGAGAGUUUUUUCUUUAUGUAGUUUUUGUUGUAAAAGUGAGUCCUCUGUCUAAUAUUUGGUUUAUAAAUAUUUUCUCAGUUAUAGUUUGUCUUUUCAUCUCUUUAGCAGGGUCAUUCAUGAAACGAAAGGUUUUUAUUUUGUUAAAGUCCAAUUUAUUGAUUUCUUUCUUUUAUGAGUUAUACCAAGCCUUACGUACUGAAAAUAUUCCCCUAUCUAGCUAGUUUUUUUUUUGCCUUUUCCAUCUAACCUCACUCCCAUUUUGAUUUAAUUUUUGUGAAACUGAUGAGGUGCAAAUUGAGGUUUAUUUUAUUUUGUCCAUGGAUAUCCACAUGGACUGCUUUAACACACCUUGUUGAAAAGAUUGACCUCUCUCCAUAAAAUUACUUUUUUACCUUUGCCAAAAAUCAAUUGACCCUCCCCCCAAUUUUUUUGAACAAAUAUAUGGAAAACUGUUCAAUAUCAUCAGCAUUUAGGGAAAUGCAUAUCAAAACUUCCCUGACAUUUUAUGUCAUGCCAUUUGGAAUGACAGUCAUCAAGAAUACAAACAAUAAUAAAUACAGGAGCGGAAAGUGGAAAAAAGAAUCCAUUUUACAUUGUUGGUAGGACUGUAAAUUAGUUCAACAACUAUGGAAAUUAAUUUGGAGAGUCCUCAAAAGACUAGGCCCUUAAAGUCUAAAGCUAUUUGAACAAUAGGUGGUGAUGUAGUGAGAUGAGAAUUACAGUGGACUGAAGACUUAGAGCUAGCUGACUUUGGUCAAAAUCACUUCCCUCUCUGGGCUUCAGUUUUACCUCCUAAGAGCCAAAAAGGCUGGCCUAGAUGACCCUUAGAGCUUUUGCCCUGUUAAUGUUGAGAGAGUGUGUGAGAAGGCUCAAUAGUGAGUUGAGAGUGGGAGAUGAGGAGAGGAUCCAGGUGGAGGCUGCCUGGGCAUUAUUAGAGGUUCAUGGAGUGGGAGAAGCCCUGUUUUGAAGUACCUUGAAAGUUUUCAUUAUACCUCUAACUAAUCAUAAUAAUGUAGAAGAUUUAUCAUCUUACAAAAGCCUUACACACUUCUGAAUUUUGUAGUGGGUUACUACAUGGUGUGCUUCUUUAGAUUCAAUUGACACCUAAUAAACAAGUCUGAAAUAUAACUCAUCAAAAUAUAAUCUAUGAAAGUCCUAGGGGUUUGUUCAACAAAAUUCCCAAUAUGAGUUUAACCCUCUAUUGAGCAUUUAUAUUCUUAUAAGUAGAAACAUUAUAAAUUGAUUAUGUGAGAAUAUUUAUUAUAUACAUUUUAAUUAAAACACUUGCUUUUUAAGCAGGAAAAAAGAUUUCUACCUGCUCUGACUUUCAACCUAUCAUCUAGAGCACAUUUUAUAUUUUUUGGCUUCAUCUUGCCUGAAGAGCUAUUUGAGGAGGACUAAAGAAAGAAAUUAACCAAAGGAGAUCAAUUUCCUCAUCUCCCCUUGCUUCUUUUGACAAAAGCAAGAUUUUUGCUUUCUAGAAAUUUUCUACUGGUAAACUAAUAAAGAACAACAAAGUUCACAAAUUGUGUGCUAUUGUCUUUACUUUUUUAAAAAGAAAGUCAUAGUGAUAGAUACUCUUUCUACAGAGUGGCUUUUAACCCCCAGCAAGGAAGAAUCAGAUAAUUCCUAAAAAACAUUUUUGUUCAAGGAUGAUUUGUAUUAAAGGUGUGUGUGUGUGGACCAGCACUAGCAGCAGCAUCAAGGACAUUUUUAGAAGUGUAGGAUCUAAUGCUGAAUCCCAGACUUGCUGAGGCAGAAUCUGCAUUUAGAAAACAUUCCAGACUAAGUGCAACAUGGUAUCCUGAAAUAGAGAAAGGACAUCAGUGGAAAAGCUGGUGAAAUCCUGACAAAGUAGUUUAGUUAAUACAAAUUUAGCUAUGCUACUUAGUUUUGACAGUGCAACUGUCUGUGUAAGAUGGUAAUGUUAAGGGAGCUGUGUGAAGGGUAUCUAGGAAUCCUCUGUACUUUCUUUGCAACUUUUCUGUCGAGUUUAGAUUAUUCCAAAAUAAAAAUUUUAUUUAAAAGAUUCUCAGGUGAUCGGAUGAUUCAUUUGCACAUUAAAUUUUGAGAGGCACUGCUAGGAUACUCUUUAAGAAUAUAGUUUCUCUGGAUCUAUGCCAGAACUCUUAAAUCAGAAUUUCAGGGUGUGGUAAUUAUAUUCUAAAUUUUUAAACAAUAUUUCCUGGCAAUCCUCAUGUGUACUAAAAUGUAAGAAUCCUAGUUUAGAGUUCUCUUUAAAAAGUUGCCUUUCUUUGGAAAAUGUAGUAGAACUUAUUAGGCUUUGGUUCAUAGACCCCAGUCUAUGGUCUGACAUAGAAUUAUGAUAACAUUUUUGCUAGCCAAUAGUAGGAUGAGGAAAAAAUUUGUGUUCAACUUCUGAAAAAGCAGGAUGAGGAGCUCUGUGGAUCAGCCUAAUGAAAUAGCUAUAUCUGGUGAAAAUCAUUUAAAUGAUUUAAAAUCUAAUCAUUUAAAUCUCUAGAAAUUAUCCUAAAGAUAUAAAGUAAGUGAAGAAAAAUGUAUUCAAAAACUCUAUUAAAUAUGGGUUACAAAGUGAGAGUUGAUGGUUUUUAAGUCAUAACCCAGGCCUCUCUCAGACUUACCAGCUCAGCAUAAAAGAAAUUGCAUUCUGGGUGGUUCUAGCCAAAACAUGGGGCUCCCUCUUUUCCAAACUUCCAGUCCACUUCUAUACAUCUCCCCAGGAGAGACAGCCCACAAACAUUUCUGAUUCUUAUCCCCAGUUCUAUGUUAGAGAAGCUGUAUUCUAGGUAAAAGGUCAGGCUCCCAACUCCUGUUAUCCACACAUCUUAGGGUAAAAGCCUAACCUCAGGAUAAUUGGUCAGGAUAACUGGCUUAUAGGACAGAAGUUCCACACCAGGACAGGCAAACAGAAGAACAGAGAGUACUGGCCCUGGUGAGCUAUCUGCUUGUAAAGCAGAAGUGAAUCUGAGAAGAAUCUUUGCACCCAAAUCUGGAGUGGUGGUACCUCUCCCAGGGGGAGAGGCAGGCUACAAGACAAAGAAUUCCAUAUUUCUCUCCAAAUGAACUUAUUUUAUUUGGAACAGGAUGUGAUGAAGUUAAAGCCUAAAGCAUUGUUGAAAAUAAUUGAGGUCUUAGUAGUAAGUACUUAACAAGGGGCUACUAACUCCAUGGUAGCAAAAAGGUAAACUAUAGGCCAACUAGAAAUUUAACACCGAUGACCAGAAAAAGAGAGAGCUAAGAAAAGUCCUUCUGGGGUCAUAACAAGUCUCAAACCCAUACUACCCCUGGAUGACACAGGAACAAGGCAUUGUUGAAAACUAUAGAUCAAUCAGCCAGUAGUUAGUGAAGUUAACAGUCAAGAGUGAUGCCAACAGAGGCAGACAGCUUAACAGAGGUGAGGGAAACAUGUGGUCAAAAAGAGCAGUGCUAAAACCACUGUCAUCUCUUUGUGACUGUGGACGUGCUUAAGGUUCUGUCCUCUGUUGGGUGACAUCAGAGGUUGCGAAUUCCAGGAGAAAUUGGACUCACAGAAAUAUUCUGGCCAAGUUGUGAAACAAUGAAACAAGAUAAUUACAAUGACAGUUCCCAGGACACAGGAAUCAGCAUUCACAGUUGCUAUAACAAAAUAUUUGCUUUCAACAAAAAAUAGUUUUCAUCAAAAAAUUAAGAAGCAUGAGAAGUGUGAUCGCGUACACAAUGAGAAAAAAUGAGGCAAGAGGAACUACAUCUGAGAAAACCCAGAAUUCAGACAUGGCAAACAAAGAUGUCAAAGCGACAAUUAUAAAUAUUUUCAAAAAAUUGAAGGAUACUAUGCUUUAAAAAAAGUAAAGAAAGGUGUAAUGGCAAUAUCUCAACAAAUAAUGAAGGCCAGUGAGGGGUAGAGACCAUAAAAGUGAAUCAAAUGGAAAUCUACUAGAGUUGAAAAUUAAAAUACCCUGAAUAAAAAAUUCACUUCAGAGGUUUAACAAGAGAUUUACCUAGAAGUGAGAAAGAAUCAAUAAAGAUAUAUUGAUAGAGAUUAUGCAAUCUAGGGAACCAAGAGAAAAAAAAAUUAGAAAAUACGAACAGACCUUCAAAGAAAGUGGGAACCAUUAAAUGUAGUAACAUAUGUAUCAUUGGAAUAUCAGAAAAUAAAGCAAAUGGAGCAAAAAAAAAAUAGUUGAAGAAAUAAUAGAUGAAAAUUUCCUCAUUUACACAUCUAAGAAACUCAUGAAUUCCAAGUAGAAUCAACUUGUGUGAUCCAUACCAGGCUCGUUGUAAGAAACAUUGAAAGACAAAUACUGAGAGAAAACCUAGAGAACAGCAAUGGAAAAAAAUAAUUUAAAAAAUCAUAUAGAAAAGUACCCAAUAAUAGCAAUAGCUGACUUCUCAUGAAAAACAAUGGAGGCCAGAGGCAUGGCUAAAUAUUGAUAGAGCUGAAAGAAAAAAAAAAUGUCUACAUAGGAGAUAACAUUCAGACUUUGGUUUUGGGGGACUGGCUUAUUUCACUUAGCAUAAUAUUUUCCAGUUCCACAAGGGAGAGUGUAAAGGGGAAGAAUAGAAGUUCAUUAGAUUAGACAAAGGAGACUGAAGAGAAGGGAAAAGGAGGGGAAUUGAAAGGAUAGUAUAAUUCAUCAAACGUAACUUUCCCAUGUUCAUAUAUGAAUACAUGACCAGUGUAACUCCAUAUCGUGUACAACCACAAGAAUGGGAUCCUAAUUAGAAUAAAUUCUACUUCAUAUACUCCAUGUAUGUAUACUAUGUCAAACUACAUUCUAUUGUCAUGUAUAUCUAAACAGAACAAAUUAAAUUUUUCUUUCAUAAAAAGUCAACCAAGAUUCUUACAUUCAACAAAAUUAUUUUUAAAAUGAAGGUAAAAGAAAGACAUUGUUAGGCAAACAAAAAUUGAGAGAUUAUGUUGCUAGCAGAACUUUCUUCUGUAAGAAAUAUUUAUGGAAGUUCUUCAUUUGAAGGGAACAAAUUAGGUAACUUAGAUGAAAUGGCUAAAUUCCUAGAAAAUCCCUAAGUACCAAAAUUGAUGCAGGAAGAAGUAAAAAUUCUGAACAGACUUAAAACUGGUAAAGUGAUUGAGUUAGUAAUUUUCCCCAAAGAAAUUCUCAGGCCCUGAUACUUUCACUGAUAAAUUCUGACAAAUAUAUAAACAAGAAUUAACACUUAACUGUUCAAAAAUUCUUACCAUAAAGAAAGAAAUUAAAACCAUCUUGAUUGCUGGUGGGGAUAUAAAAUGGUUCAUCCUCUUUGGAAAAUAGCUUGGUAGGUCCUGAAAAAUGACACACAUAAGAAUUAAUACAUCACCUAAGUUAACUCUGUACUUAACAUUUUUAUAAGACAAGAGAAAUGACAACAUAUGUCUAUAUAGAAACUUUUACCUAAAUUAUGGCAUUAUUAAUAACAGCUGAAAAGUGGAAGCAACCUAAGAGUCCAUCAACCAAUGAGUUGAUUAACAAAACAUAGUGUAUCUAUAAAGUAGAAAAUUAGAAAUAAAAAUAUUGAUACAUGCUACAACAUAGACCCUUGAAAAUGUUAUGGUUAGUGAAAGAAGCAAGUCACAAAAGAGCACCUGUUGUAUAAUUCCAUUUAUAUGAAGUAUUCAAAAUAGACAAAUCUAUAGAAAGCUGAUUAGUGGCUGCCUAGGGCUAGGAGAUUUGGGGCAAGUGGGAAAUAAUUGCUAGUGGGUAUGGUGUUGAAGUGUUAUAAAAUAGUGAUAAUGAUUGCAUCACUCUGAAUAUACUAGAAAUCCUUGUUUGCUUCAAAUGGUAUGUGAAUGCUACCUCAAGGAAAAUGUUUCUAAGAAGUAAAGAAAAUAUGUAUGAAGAGGCAGCAUGGUAUGCAGGAGUCAUAUAAGGUUGUGGUUAAGGUUACCACCUGGAGCCCAGGACCAAACUCAUCAUAACAGCUGAGUAUCCUUGCAAAUUUGUUAAUUUCUCUGUGUCUCAAUUUUCUCACCUGUAAGCAUAAUAUUUGUAUAUGUAUCAUAGUAUUAUUAUAAAUAUUAAAUGAAAAAUAUCUUUAAAAUAAUGCCUGGUAGAAUAUAAUCACCAUGUGUUUGGUAAAUAAGUAACUAUGGUGUGGGAACAAUCUAAUAUUUGUUCUUGGGAAAUUAUCUUUUAUUCUGAGAGUUUGAUCUUCAUUUCUAUAUUGUUAAAAUUUCCUUUGGUCCAGGUACAGUGGUACGCACUUGUAAUACCAGUGACCUGGGAUGCUGAGGCAGGAGGAUGGCAAAUCCAAGGCCAGCCUCAGAAACUUAGUAAGACCUUAAGAAAUUAGUGAGACUCUCUCUCAAAAUUAAAAAUAAAAAGGGCUGAGGAUGUGGCUCAAUGGUAGAGUGCCCCUAGGUUAAAUCCCUAGUACAAAAAAAAAAAAAAAGAGAGAGAGAGAGAGAGAGAGAGAUUUCCUUUGGUCAAAUAAAGGAAGUAAUAGAGCAGAAGGCAGUUAUUUCAUAAUGGUAUUAAUUUGCAAAAGGAAAAGUUGGUACUCUUGUAUCAGUCUAUAAGUAUUUUCUUAAUGCUUUUUGAAAUCAUGCUGAUCCCUGAAAUCCUCAAUCAGGGAACCAUUGGUUUAAGAACCAUGUCCUUUGUUCAGUGACCCUUGGACCAAUAAUGACUUUAGAAAAACAUCAUUAAAGUUUUAGCAUAGAAGGGUAAUAUAAAUAGAAAGCCAACUACCUUGCAGAAUGCUUAUCACACAGUAGGUGUUAAGGAAUGCACACUGGAAUGAAUGGCAAGGGUGGUGUGUAUUAUGAGUAUCCUUAGAGUGUGUGUUUAUGUGUGUGUAUAGAUGUGGCCUUUUAAUGCUGCUCAGUGGCAUAUAAUUGUAUCUCAUAUGUUCAAGUGUGCAUAUUUCUGCUAACUUUAUUCAAAGUAUUUAUAUGGAUUCCAAUCAUUCAGUUGAAUUUCAGAACCCCUCUUCCAGAUGUGUUAAUGAAUAAUUAGUUGUUCUUACCCCUAUCCCCAAUUUUCAGCAAUGUUUUCUAUUAGUGAUAUGGCUGCUGUGGGAUUUGCAAGUAUUCUCUCUUUUGAAUUAUAAUUUUCAUGUUUCUUCUUGGUGUCUGAAGGCCCCUUAAAUUAUCUUAUUUAGUUGGCUUUACCCAGAAAUUCAAGUGUCUGACACUUUUAAUAUUUUUGAAGAGAAACUGGAAAAUAUAUCAACUCCAUAGAAGAGGUUUCCAUUUACCUUUUAUAUUCUGUUGGUUGGGUAUAGGUAGCAAUUCUUCAUGUGUUGAGAACAGUUUGAACCAUGCUGACUACUAUGAAAGUGCUUAGAAAUAAUUAUGCUUCUGAGACCUUUGUGAAAUAACCUGCUUGACUCAACAUGUGUUUGUGGGAAGUUUGUCUUCCUUUGUAGUGUAGGAGGAGGCAGUAUAGGACAGUGGUUUGGGGACUAUCAUGUCUCCCUGAGAACACACCUUUGAUUUUGUUUCCCAAGUCUGGAUUUGCCAACACAUGAGACUAAAGCAUAAAACUGUAGUGUUUUGUGGUUUCAUGUGCAACUAAUGUAAAACAUCAAUGACAGGAAAAUUAUUUCUGAUGCUCUUGGUAAUCCAAGAAGAAUUGACCAGAGACUUAAAGGAUUUAAAGUUGCAAGAAAGUAAGAUUAUUCAUUGAUUCAAAAGGCUUAGUAUAACCUGCUUGCACCCUAAAUUAUUGUCUUAAGAGAACAGUACCACAACGAUAACCAGAGUAUUGCUUAAUAUCUGCUGCUAUUUUUAAAAAGCAUUUCCCAUAGUCUUUCAUUGUGUCUUAAUGUUACCAAACUUUAUAUUGCAAUUGCUUAGAACUGUUCUAAUUGAGGCAAUUUUAAUUUACAUAUCCCACUAUACCACUUUGUCCAUGAAGCACUACAAUGUGAUAGUGGCUCUUUAUUAUAGAUGACAAAGUUUGAACAGUUGGUUCUACAUCCUAUUUGUGAAAAAUCAGCCUUGAACAGGGUUAAUGAAAAUGAUUAUAUGGAAUUUAUUAAAUGAUAGACUUGGGAAGUCCUUCCUUCAUACUAUGUCAAUUCAUGGUCUCUAACCUUUGCUGUCUGAGUAAUUCAUUUUUGACACAUAAUCACUUAAACUUGUAUGCAAUUGUUUCAAAUAUUUCAUCUUCACAGUUGAAUUAUGAUACUGAUUUCAUACAGGUCCUCAUGAUGUCAAGGACAGAGCUAUCAAAAUCAUAGGUGCUCAAGACGGAAGGAUUUGGGGUCACUGUGAGAGACCAGCAAAGUCACAGCAAAGAAUGAUUAUAUAGAAUUAUUCUUGUCUCAUUUAAAUAAUUUGCUGUGGCCACUUGAGUGUGUGUUUUAUUUUUUUAUUUUUAUUUUUUUUCAUAUAUAAAUUUUUUAUUCAUCAAUUACACCUCAAUAAAGCUGAAGGGGGGAAAUAUAGCACAGUCCCUGGCUGUCCUGAGUCCUCAAGAACAAGACCUGAAAAUUGCAGAUACUGCUUUUGCUCACAUUCCAUUGGCUGGCUUUCUGUCACAUGAGUGUGUGUUUUAUUAUAUAAAGUUUGGUUACUUUGUCUCUGCAUUGUCAACCAUGUAUUUUUGAAGUUAUGUGUUUUUCUGGAGAUACUUGUUGCAAGUGAUCACAAUUUAACUUAAAUGGAUCAAAUAAUUGAAAAAUCCUAGGGGGUGGGUCUGGACUCAGGACCUCAGAGAUAUUAUUAGGAUCAUAUCUCCAUUGAACAGCUCAGUUUUUCUCUGUAUUGGCAUAAUUCAAGCAGACUGUUUUUAUUAUAAUCCUGUCACCUAAACUUACAUACUAUGCCACAAAGUUUACAUAUAUUCUGUUGUUUCAGCAACCUUAACAGAAUUAUAGCUUCUCUGUUCUAAUAGUUUUAAUAAAACUCUCAGGAUUUAACUGUAUUGGACUAACAGAGGCCGCCCAGAUCAUCACUGAACCACUCAUUCACUGUGACCAGCAGAAGGUCAUGUACCAAGACCCUCUGAGAUAGGCAAGUAUGAUUUCCUCAAGGAAACUCAUUGUGUAAUUAUCAAAAAAUGGGAAAAUGAAUCUGUUCCUCCUGAAUACACAAAAAAUACAUAGUUUGUUUCUUAUGAUGUAAAGUAUUACACAUUAUAUAUACCUGUUUCCCUUUCUACAUAAUAUUUUCCCUGAAAUAAACUUACUUUUGAAUAUUCUAGGUCAUCACUGAAUUCUGCAUGGAAAGAGAUAGGAGUAAUGAGAGAUCAGAAGAAGAACAAACCUUAACCACUAUUCAUGCCAAAAUAAAAUCUUCUGGAGUAUGUGCCAAAGCCUACCUCCCUCUGAUGGACGGUUUUCCAAGAUCCAGUUUAUUUUGCCUGUCAAGUUAUUUUCAGAAACUCCUCAGUAAAGAUUUUGUAAACAUAAUAGAGGUUGAGACCUAUUCUUAAGAUAGUCUACUCAUUUUGCUUAAUAGUUUUUCUCACCCUUGAACCAAAGUUCAUCUCUUUAGCUAACAUCACUACAAAGAUCAGGUAAUACUUCUGUAAUAUUGAAAACUCAAUUCCUCCUUUUCUAAAAGUGUUUUAUCAACCUACACUAAAAUCAAUUGUCCACACUGUCGUUUUUGCCAAAAUAAGAAUGAUUAUUACAUUGUUAGUGUGAGUCCUUCUUCUAGAGAAAAAAUCUAGAAUGAUUUAUCUACUUAGGAUGUGAAUAGUUGUCAAGAAGAUAGAAAUAUAAAGUAGAAAAAAUGUCUACGUUGCAAAGGACAUUAUACAUUCUAUUUUUAUUUAGACUGCAGUAUUCAGAAAUAAGGGCUUGUUUUUAUUUUAGAACCUCUAUGUCAGUAAUUUUGUUGAAUACUUUCUAAAUAUAUCCCCCCCACCCACUAUUUCAAAAUAAUUAGAAACUUAUUAGGACACCAUUAAAGGUCUUGGUAAGUUUUUAAAAGUUUCUCAAUUCACAUUUGGUUUUUCACUUCAGAGCCAUUGGGACUUUUUGUUAGGUUUUGGCCUUUCAUAAUUUCUUGCCAAUUAAAAACAAGAUCAACAAUAAGCAUAAAAUAUAAAUUCCAGUCCAGCACAGCCUCCCAUGAUGCUUGUUGCCUGACUAUUCUGAUGUGUUCUUUGAAGAGCUUGGGUGUAAUGUGGUCAGCACUCUUCAAACAAUUAAUGUAACUGAGUGAAAAUCCCCCUUCAGCAGAAAUAGCUUCUUCUGGGAGGAGGCUAGACUGCUGUUAAAAUGAAGAAGAGUUAUGUAAGACCGUGUUUUUGUCCAAAGUGAUUGGGCUGAACUCCAAAUUUCUCUAGUGAAACCUUGCUGAAUAACUGUUAUGCCGGCAGCUUCAAAAUCAAGUGUUGAUUCUUGCCACUUGAUCAACUACCUUAAAAUUAAGAGUUCUAAAAGUCAAACUCAAGUGGUUAUUCAAAGAAAUUGGUUGUGCAAGAAUUUACUGUUGAUGAUAUUGAGUGGUCCAGAAUCCAGAAUGUGAGCAUUUUCGAUGUUAUGACUUUUGUUGAAGGAGAUCUGUCUGAUGACAUGGAUUUCUCCAUCAGUCUCUGGCAAAUAAUGACAUCUUUUAAAACUCAGAAGAUCAUUUAUAAAUUAAGGAUGAUGAUACUUAUAUCUCCUUAACUUCUCUGAAAUGUUCUGAAAACUUCAGCUCAAGGGCUAAAUAUUUUUCUGUUCAUCUGUAAAAUAACUAUACCAAUCUCUGAGAACUUUGAAAACAAAUUGAAUGUCCCACUUUCAGAAGAAAACAUUGUGAUAUUCAAAAAUAGUACUUUGUACAAGAAAGGUAGAUAUGUUGUUCUUGUGAGAGGAAUGAUUAGAUUUUAUAGUUUUUAUUUCCAAAGGCAAAUAACAUGUCAUAAUUUUUUUUAAAAAUACCGGAUAAGAAUUGGUACUAAAGAGGACUGGCAUUCUGAAGUAACUAUAUCUGAGUGCCAGAAUAUUUAUUAUUUAUGAGUACUUAUAUAUUUCUACUAUGGUGUCUCAAAAUUCUCAACUUUACAAUUGUUUGGAUUCUUAUUCUAUACAGAAAAAUAUUGACAUGUUAACAUUCAAAAAAACCUGGAUUCAUCAGUGAAAGGAUGUGGGAAUUCUUAAUGAUUCUUGGUUCUUAACUAUUCCAUUACAUAUAUUUCUGAAUAAUAAACUACUCUAAAACUUCAUGGUUUAAAACAGCAACUAUUCACUAUAGCUUAAACAUGGUGCCUUUCCAAAAUUCACUAAAAUUUGAUCCCCAAUGUAACAGAGUUGGAGCGGUGGGGGCUUUUAGAGAUGGUUAGGUCAUUAAGAGGAAUGCAUGCCUUUCUUGCAGGAGUGAGUGCUGUCUUUUGAUGGGUAGGAUCAGUUAACCUUCAGAGCAGAUUGUUGUAAAGUGAGUUCAGCUUCCUUUGCUUUCUCUGUCUUCCUUUCUCAGCACAUGAUCUCUUCUUUAAGUCCAUGCUUCUGCCUUCUGCUUUUCCACCAUGCACACAGCAAUAUGAGGCCCUACCAGAAGCUGAGAAGAUGCUAGUGCCAUGUUCAUGGACCCCCAGAACAGCAAGCCAAAUCCAACUUUUUCUUUCUAAGUUCCCCAGUCUCAAGUACACUGUCAUAGCAAUAGAAAACGUUCUAUGAAGCCAAUUCUACUAUAUCUUCAAUCUGGACUGGGCUCAGUUGGAAAAGUAUUCACCUGUUCUUGUUGGGGCUCAUUUAUGGGGUGAUAUUUCUCUGGCAAAUUGGCAGUGGGAUGGAUCCAGGCCCAGUGGAACACCGGGUGACUGGUCUUCUCUCUCUCUCUGUGUAGUCUCUGGGCCUUUCUAAUUUCACACUGUCUUUCAGUGUGACCUCUUUUGUAGCUAAACUGCUGGCAGAGCAAUUCUAAGUGCCUAAAAGUACAAAGGUAAAAGUUUCUAAGUCUUGUUAAUUUUUAGACCCAGAAGUGGUACAAUGUCACACUUGCCACAUUCUGUUGGUUAUGUCAAGGAACAGGACCAUCCCAGAUUCAAGGGGGAAAGACUGCACAAGGAUGUGACUACUGGGAAGCAUGGGCCACUGGAGACCACCAAAAUCAUAACCUCCUGCAUUAGCAUUUACCGAUUCAUUCAAAUGACAUGCAACAUUUCUAUAUUCAUUAUCAGAAAUACAUAUUUUCCGGUCAUCCACACAUGCUCUGUUGUGUUCUGGGUACAUGGAUUGAGUUAGACUUAAUUCUUAUUAGUAGGACUUUAUAUAACCUUUCUUAGUCUCUGUAAAAUGUCUGGAUGAAUAAAGUGGAUAUGAUCUUGAUUUUUAUGGAGGCAAGUUUUUGAGGAGAGACGGAUGUGAUUAAAUUAUUAAACACACACACAUACACACACACACACACACACACAUAUAUAUAUAUAUAUAUACACACACACACACACCUAUGUGUGUUUAUAAUUAUAAGCUAUAUUAUAUAUGAUAAAAGGAAGGUCUAGAGUGCCAUGAGUGUACAUGAAUACCAAAGAAGAAAAGACAGGAUAAUAUUAUCUGAGGAAGUGAUGUAUGUUUGGAUUAAGGUUUGUAGGACGAGUAGAGCAAAGUAGAAAAAUAACAGGGAAGGGAAAAGAUGCAAUCCAGGAGGUGAACUUGAGGUAGGAGAGACCAUGGAUUGAGGGACACUGAGAAUUUGAGGAAAUGAAACCAGACACUGUGAGUGAGUAUAAUGCAAAAAACCUGGGCAAGAAGUAAAAUGAGGCUGUAAUGGAAAAUGGAGCCAGAGCACAGAGGGCAUUAUUGGUCAUAAUGAGAAUUUAUUAGAGUAAUAGAAUACCACUGAAGAAUUUAAGAGGUAGGUAAGAAGAAUCAAAAAUAAUAAGAUUGCCAAAUUUAUAAAAUUAAAUCUAGUUUCUAUGUGGAGAAUCAAUUUAUGAGGCCAAGAAAGAAUGUGGAAAGGCUAAUUAUGCGGUUAUUACAAAACUUAGAUGAGAUACAGUGAUAGUAUAGUAGAUGUGAAGAUAAGUAAGCAGAUGUAAGGGAUGUCUAGGAGGAAGAAUGGAUAGGAAUUAGAAGCAUACAUGCCUUGUAUGGUCAAAGAGGAAGGAAAGUGAGAGGUGUCUCCUUGUCUUCUUGUUUGCAGAACUACAUGAAUGGCAUGUAUGUAUGAACAUAUAUGUAUCUGUCUAUAUCUGCAGGAACAUCAAAUGUUAUGUCAAUAUGGAGAGAGGCAAUGGAAACUUGAAUUUACAGUAGAGUAGAGGGAAGGGAUGUUGGGGGACAGAAAAGGGAAAUAUUGGGGACUGAAUUAGAGCAAAUGAUAUUCUAUGUCUUUAUAAUCAUACCAAAAUGAAUCCCAGUGUUACAUAUAACUAAAAAGAACCCAUAAAAUGGAAAUAAAAUAACAUUAAAACAAUUUGGAUUUAUAUAUAUUUACAUUAAGAUGCUUUUGAGAAAUCCAGUGGCUAGGUGUGGUGGCGCACACCAGUAAUCACAGCAGCUCUGGAGGCUGAAGGCAGGAGGAUCUUGAGUUCAAAGCCAGCCUCAGAAAAAGCAAGGCACUAAGCAACUUGGUGAGACCCUGUUGUCUCUAAAUAAAAUACAAAAUAGGGCUGAGGAUGUGGCACACUGGACUAGUUCCCCUGAGUUCAAUUCUCAUCCCCCGUUCCCCCCAAAAUUCAGAAAGGGACCUUGAAUUGGUUUCAAUGAUUUGGAUUUCAGAAGAGAGGUCUGUUUUAGAGAUUGAUUUGUGAUCAGUGAUGAUUGAACCUGGGAGCAUAAAGGACACCAUUUAGGGAGAGACAAGAGACAGAGAGGCCAUAGGAUCAGAUCUCCUACCUUCUCAGUGCCUUCUGCCUGCUCAUUAUCCUCAGCUCAGGGAUUUAGAGGAAAUCCAGAAGGGUAUGAUAUUACAGACAGCAAAGAAAGGAAGAGUUUCAAAAAGGAAGGGUUGCACUAUUAGAGCUAAUAAAUGAAUUCAGCAAAGUGGCAGGAUAUAAAAUCAACACGCAUAAAUCAAAGGCAUUCCUGUAUAUCAGCGACAAAUCCUCUGAAAUGGAAAUGAGGACAACCACUCCAUUCACAAUAUCUUCAAAAAAAAUAAAAUACUUGGGAAUCAACCUAACAAAAGAGGUGAAAGACUUAUACAAUGAAAACUACAGAACCCUAAAGAGAGAAAUAGAAGAAGAUCUUAGAAGAUGGAAAAAUAUACCCUGUUCAUGGAUAGGCAGAACUAACAUCAUCAAAAUGGCGAUAUUACCAAAAGUUCUCUAUAGGUUUAAUGCAAUGCCAAUCAAAAUACCAACGGCAUUUCUUGUAGAAAUAGAGAAAGCAAUCAUGAAAUUCAUAUGGAAAAAUAAAAGACCCAGAAUAGCAAAAACAAUGCUAAGCAGGAAGUGUGAAUCAGGCGGUAUAGCGAUACCAGACUUCAAACUAUACUACAGAGCAAUAGUAACAAAAACAGCAUGGUACUGGUACCAAAACAGGCGGGUGGACCAAUGGUACAGAAUAGAGGACACAGAAACCAAUCCACAAAACUACAACUAUCUUAUAUUUGAUAAAGGGGCUAAAAGCAUGCAAUGGAGGAAGGAUAGCAUCUUCAACAAAUGGUGCUGGGAAAACUGGAAAUCCAUAUGCAACAAAAUGAAACUGAAUCCCUUUCUCUCGCCAUGCACAAAAGUGAAUUCAAAAUGGAUCAAGGAGCUUGAUAUCAAAUCAGAGACACGCCGUCUGAUAGAAGAAAAAGUUGGCUACGAUCUACAUACUGUGGGGUCGGGCUCCAAAUUCCUCAAUAGGACACCCAUAGCACAAAAGUUAAUAACUAGAAUCAACAAAUGGGACUUACUCAAACUAAAAAGUUUUUUCUCAGCAAAAGAAACAAUAAGAGAGGUAAAUAGGGAGCCUACAUCCUGGGAACAAAUCUUUACUCCUCACACUUCAGAUAGAGCCCUAAUAUCCAGAGUAUACAAAGAACUCAAAAAAUUAGACAAUAAGAGAACAAACAACCCAAUCAACAAAUGGGCCAAGGACCUGAACAGACACUUCUCAGAGGAGGACAUACAGUCAAUCAACAAGUACAUGAAAAAAUGCUCACCAUCUCUAGCAGUCAGAGAAAUGCAAAUCAAAACCACCCUAAGAUACCAUCUCACUCCAGUAAGAUUGGCAGCCAUUAUGAAGUCAAACAACAACAAGUGCUGGCGAGGAUGUGGGGAAAAGGGUACACUUGUACAUUGCUGGUGGGACUGCAAAUUGGUGCAGCCAAUAUGGAAAGCAGUAUGGAGAUUCCUUGGAAAUCUGGGAAUGGAACCACUGUUUGNNNNNNNNNNNNNNNNNNNNNNNNNNNNNNNNNNNNNNNNNNNNNNNNNNNNNNNNNNNNNNNNNNNNNNNNNNNNNNNNNNNNNNNNNNNNNNNNNNNNNNNNNNNNNNNNNNNNNNNNNNNNNNNNNNNNNNNNNNNNNNNNNNNNNNNNNNNNNNNNNNNNNNNNNNNNNNNNNNNNNNNNNNNNNNNNNNNNNNNNNNNNNNNNNNNNNNNNNNNNNNNNNNNNNNNNNNNNNNNNNNNNNNNNNNNNNNNNNNNNNNNNNNNNNNNNNNNNNNNNNNNNNNNNNNNNNNNNNNNNNNNNNNNNNNNNNNNNNNNNNNNNNNNNNNNNNNNNNNNNNNNNNNNNNNNNNNNNNNNNNNNNNNNNNNNNNNNNNNNNNNNNNNNNNNNNNNNNNNNNNNNNNNNNNNNNNNNNNNNNNNNNNNNNNNNNNNNNNNNNNNNNNNNNNNNNNNNNNNNNNNNNNNNNNNNNNNNNNNNNNNNNNNNNNNNNNNNNNNNNNNNNNNNNNNNNNNNNNNNNNNNNNNNNNNNNNNNNNNNNNNNNNNNNNNNNNNNNNNNNNNNNNNNNNNNNNNNNNNNNNNNNNNNNNNNNNNNNNNNNNNNNNNNNNNNNNNNNNNNNNNNNNNNNNNNNNNNNNNNNNNNNNNNNNNNNNNNNNNNNNNNNNNNNNNNNNNNNNNNNNNNNNNNNNNNNNNNNNNNNNNNNNNNNNNNNNNNNNNNNNNNNNNNNNNNNNNNNNNNNNNNNNNNNNNNNNNNNNNNNNNNNNNNNNNNNNNNNNNNNNNNNNNNNNNNNNNNNNNNNNNNNNNNNNNNNNNNNNNNNNNNNNNNNNNNNNNNNNNNNNNNNNNNNNNNNNNNNNNNNNNNNNNNNNNNNNNNNNNNNNNNNNNNNNNNNNNNNNNNNNNNNNNNNNNNNNNNNNNNNNNNNNNNNNNNNNNNNNNNNNNNNNNNNNNNNNNNNNNNNNNNNNNNNNNNNNNNNNNNNNNNNNNNNNNNNNNNNNNNNNNNNNNNNNNNNNNNNNNNNNNNNNNNNNNNNNNNNNNNNNNNNNNNNNNNNNNNNNNNNNNNNNNNNNNNNNNNNNNNNNNNNNNNNNNNNNNNNNNNNNNNNNNNNNNNNNNNNNNNNNNNNNNNNNNNNNNNNNNNNNNNNNNNNNNNNNNNNNNNNNNNNNNNNNNNNNNNNNNNNNNNNNNNNNNNNNNNNNNNNNNNNNNNNNNNNNNNNNNNNNNNNNNNNNNNNNNNNNNNNNNNNNNNNNNNNNNNNNNNNNNNNNNNNNNNNNNNNNNNNNNNNNNNNNNNNNNNNNNNNNNNNNNNNNNNNNNNNNNNNNNNNNNNNNNNNNNNNNNNNNNNNNNNNNNNNNNNNNNNNNNNNNNNNNNNNNNNNNNNNNNNNNNNNNNNNNNNNNNNNNNNNNNNNNNNNNNNNNNNNNNNNNNNNNNNNNNNNNNNNNNNNNNNNNNNNNNNNNNNNNNNNNNNNNNNNNNNNNNNNNNNNNNNNNNNNNNNNNNNNNNNNNNNNNNNNNNNNNNNNNNNNNNNNNNNNNNNNNNNNNNNNNNNNNNNNNNNNNNNNNNNNNNNNNNNNNNNNNNNNNNNNNNNNNNNNNNNNNNNNNNNNNNNNNNNNNNNNNNNNNNNNNNNNNNNNNNNNNNNNNNNNNNNNNNNNNNNNNNNNNNNNNNNNNNNNNNNNNNNNNNNNNNNNNNNNNNNNNNNNNNNNNNNNNNNNNNNNNNNNNNNNNNNNNNNNNNNNNNNNNNNNNNNNNNNNNNNNNNNNNNNNNNNNNNNNNNNNNNNNNNNNNNNNNNNNNNNNNNNNNNNNNNNNNNNNNNNNNNNNNNNNNNNNNNNNNNNNNNNNNNNNNNNNNNNNNNNNNNNNNNNNNNNNNNNNNNNNNNNNNNNNNNNNNNNNNNNNNNNNNNNNNNNNNNNNNNNNNNNNNNNNNNNNNNNNNNNNNNNNNNNNNNNNNNNNNNNNNNNNNNNNNNNNNNNNNNNNNNNNNNNNNNNNNNNNNNNNNNNNNNNNNNNNNNNNNNNNNNNNNNNNNNNNNNNNNNNNNNNNNNNNNNNNNNNNNNNNNNNNNNNNNNNNNNNNNNNNNNNNNNNNNNNNNNNNNNNNNNNNNNNNNNNNNNNNNNNNNNNNNNNNNNNNNNNNNNNNNNNNNNNNNNNNNNNNNNNNNNNNNNNNNNNNNNNNNNNNNNNNNNNNNNNNNNNNNNNNNNNNNNNNNNNNNNNNNNNNNNNNNNNNNNNNNNNNNNNNNNNNNNNNNNNNNNNNNNNNNNNNNNNNNNNNNNNNNNNNNNNNNNNNNNNNNNNNNNNNNNNNNNNNNNNNNNNNNNNNNNNNNNNNNNNNNNNNNNNNNNNNNNNNNNNNNNNNNNNNNNNNNNNNNNNNNNNNNNNNNNNNNNNNNNNNNNNNNNNNNNNNNNNNNNNNNNNNNNNNNNNNNNNNNNNNNNNNNNNNNNNNNNNNNNNNNNNNNNNNNNNNNNNNNNNNNNNNNNNNNNNNNNNNNNNNNNNNNNNNNNNNNNNNNNNNNNNNNNNNNNNNNNNNNNNNNNNNNNNNNNNNNNNNNNNNNNNNNNNNNNNNNNNNNNNNNNNNNNNNNNNNNNNNNNNNNNNNNNNNNNNNNNNNNNNNNNNNNNNNNNNNNNNNNNNNNNNNNNNNNNNNNNNNNNNNNNNNNNNNNNNNNNNNNNNNNNNNNNNNNNNNNNNNNNNNNNNNNNNNNNNNNNNNNNNNNNNNNNNNNNNNNNNNNNNNNNNNNNNNNNNNNNNNNNNNNNNNNNNNNNNNNNNNNNNNNNNNNNNNNNNNNNNNNNNNNNNNNNNNNNNNNNNNNNNNNNNNNNNNNNNNNNNNNNNNNNNNNNNNNNNNNNNNNNNNNNNNNNNNNNNNNNNNNNNNNNNNNNNNNNNNNNNNNNNNNNNNNNNNNNNNNNNNNNNNNNNNNNNNNNNNNNNNNNNNNNNNNNNNNNNNNNNNNNNNNNNNNNNNNNNNNNNNNNNNNNNNNNNNNNNNNNNNNNNNNNNNNNNNNNNNNNNNNNNNNNNNNNNNNNNNNNNNNNNNNNNNNNNNNNNNNNNNNNNNNNNNNNNNNNNNNNNNNNNNNNNNNNNNNNNNNNNNNNNNNNNNNNNNNNNNNNNNNNNNNNNNNNNNNNNNNNNNNNNNNNNNNNNNNNNNNNNNNNNNNNNNNNNNNNNNNNNNNNNNNNNNNNNNNNNNNNNNNNNNNNNNNNNNNNNNNNNNNNNNNNNNNNNNNNNNNNNNNNNNNNNNNNNNNNNNNNNNNNNNNNNNNNNNNNNNNNNNNNNNNNNNNNNNNNNNNNNNNNNNNNNNNNNNNNNNNNNNNNNNNNNNNNNNNNNNNNNNNNNNNNNNNNNNNNNNNNNNNNNNNNNNNNNNNNNNNNNNNNNNNNNNNNNNNNNNNNNNNNNNNNNNNNNNNNNNNNNNNNNNNNNNNNNNNNNNNNNNNNNNNNNNNNNNNNNNNNNNNNNNNNNNNNNNNNNNNNNNNNNNNNNNNNNNNNNNNNNNNNNNNNNNNNNNNNNNNNNNNNNNNNNNNNNNNNNNNNNNNNNNNNNNNNNNNNNNNNNNNNNNNNNNNNNNNNNNNNNNNNNNNNNNNNNNNNNNNNNNNNNNNNNNNNNNNNNNNNNNNNNNNNNNNNNNNNNNNNNNNNNNNNNNNNNNNNNNNNNNNNNNNNNNNNNNNNNNNNNNNNNNNNNNNNNNNNNNNNNNNNNNNNNNNNNNNNNNNNNNNNNNNNNNNNNNNNNNNNNNNNNNNNNNNNNNNNNNNNNNNNNNNNNNNNNNNNNNNNNNNNNNNNNNNNNNNNNNNNNNNNNNNNNNNNNNNNNNNNNNNNNNNNNNNNNNNNNNNNNNNNNNNNNNNNNNNNNNNNNNNNNNNNNNNNNNNNNNNNNNNNNNNNNNNNNNNNNNNNNNNNNNNNNNNNNNNNNNNNNNNNNNNNNNNNNNNNNNNNNNNNNNNNNNNNNNNNNNNNNNNNNNNNNNNNNNNNNNNNNNNNNNNNNNNNNNNNNNNNNNNNNNNNNNNNNNNNNNNNNNNNNNNNNNNNNNNNNNNNNNNNNNNNNNNNNNNNNNNNNNNNNNNNNNNNNNNNNNNNNNNNNNNNNNNNNNNNNNNNNNNNNNNNNNNNNNNNNNNNNNNNNNNNNNNNNNNNNNNNNNNNNNNNNNNNNNNNNNNNNNNNNNNNNNNNNNNNNNNNNNNNNNNNNNNNNNNNNNNNNNNNNNNNNNNNNNNNNNNNNNNNNNNNNNNNNNNNNNNNNNNNNNNNNNNNNNNNNNNNNNNNNNNNNNNNNNNNNNNNNNNNNNNNNNNNNNNNNNNNNNNNNNNNNNNNNNNNNNNNNNNNNNNNNNNNNNNNNNNNNNNNNNNNNNNNNNNNNNNNNNNNNNNNNNNNNNNNNNNNNNNNNNNNNNNNNNNNNNNNNNNNNNNNNNNNNNNNNNNNNNNNNNNNNNNNNNNNNNNNNNNNNNNNNNNNNNNNNNNNNNNNNNNNNNNNNNNNNNNNNNNNNNNNNNNNNNNNNNNNNNNNNNNNNNNNNNNNNNNNNNNNNNNNNNNNNNNNNNNNNNNNNNNNNNNNNNNNNNNNNNNNNNNNNNNNNNNNNNNNNNNNNNNNNNNNNNNNNNNNNNNNNNNNNNNNNNNNNNNNNNNNNNNNNNNNNNNNNNNNNNNNNNNNNNNNNNNNNNNNNNNNNNNNNNNNNNNNNNNNNNNNNNNNNNNNNNNNNNNNNNNNNNNNNNNNNNNNNNNNNNNNNNNNNNNNNNNNNNNNNNNNNNNNNNNNNNNNNNNNNNNNNNNNNNNNNNNNNNNNNNNNNNNNNNNNNNNNNNNNNNNNNNNNNNNNNNNNNNNNNNNNNNNNNNNNNNNNNNNNNNNNNNNNNNNNNNNNNNNNNNNNNNNNNNNNNNNNNNNNNNNNNNNNNNNNNNNNNNNNNNNNNNNUGACUACCAGGAGACUAAAAGGGCAAAGACUCUCCUCCUCCCUCCCUCCAUCUCUCGCUCUCUCCCCCUCUGGGAGCCAGACAUUAAAGAUUAGAACAUUCAAAAGCAAGUGCAUGUACGGAGAAAAAUACAAGCAAACACAGCUACCCAGAGAAAGGCUAAGGUUCCAUCAGCAAACAAAAAAAAAUACCCGAGAACACCAUGAAUUUAUAUUCUAAGCCUGGGCACAAAAAUCACCCACAACAAUUUUUUUGUAAUAAUAAAAAGUCCCAAAACCCAAGGAAACAAAAAAACACAAUUACCAAAGUUAACACAAAAAGCAACAUAUUUAUACUCAAAUGUCAGCUUAAAAAUAACAACAAAAUCUCAAGCAUAAAAGAAACAAGUAAACAUAGCCAAAAAAAAAAAGUAAACCAACAGAAAUUGUACCUGAAAAAACAUCUGUCAGCAUAUCCACUAAACAAAGACUCUAAAAGAACCAUCUGAAAGAUGUCAAAGAACUAAAGAAAGAUGUGAAAAAUGUGAAGAAAAUAAUGCAUAACCAAAAUGAAAAUAUGAGUAAACAGAGAAAACCUAACAAAAAAAAAAUCUAGCACCGCAAUAAUGAAUUUAGGGACAAUGCACAACUGAAUGUGUAUCUCUCCACAUGCCCAGGCAUAUUCUGCAUCUGAGUAAAAAAAAAGGUAGCACCAAGUUGCUAAUGACUGGAAAUUAUGAGAACAGAUUUCAACUCGUGAACCUCCUGCCUCUGCCUCCCAAGCUGCUAAGAUUACAGCCAUGGGCCACCAAACACAAAAAAAAUCAGUAAAAAAAAAAAAAAAACCAAGAGAAAUCCAAGAACAAAUUGAGAAGAUAUAAGAAUGAAUCAGGAAAUGUGAACAUAGGAAAAUGAAAACGCUCAAGUCCGAGGAAAUGAAGACAAAACAAUGAAGAACAAAAGAACAAACGAUGGAUUGGAAUUGAAACAGAUCUAAGAGAACCUGUAAGAUACCAUUCAGCCCACCAAUAUACCCAUCGGAGGAGUGCCAAAGGACAGAGAACAACAGAGAGAAUAUUAAAAAAAAUAAAAACAGAAACCUUCCCAUGUUUGAUAAAAGACAUAAAUAUGAAUGUCUAACAACCCAAACAAAUUCCAAGAAAUACAAACACAAAUACAACAACACUGGGACACAUUACAACCAAACCCACCCUGCCUUUAGCUUUUGGUAUCCAUGUAGCUUUUUCCUGUCUAUAAUUUUUUCUUGGAGUGGAAAAUAAAAAGGAAAAUCUAAAAAGCACCAAAAAAGAAGACAAAGAGUUAACCAAUCAAAGGAAUAGACUUCAAAAAGAUUACCAGAGAUAUUUAAGUAAGUAUCUGCCAGAAGAGAACAGGCCAAUAAAGAUAAAAUGAUAAAAGAGCAAAAAGACCAAAAAAGGAUCAUCUUUUUGGGGGGGGGUAGGAAGAACACCAUAUCCAAAGUAAGGAAGAAACUAAGACAUGCAAGACAUAAUCUGGGAGAAAGGAACAAACAAAAAGCAGAGGGAAUUUGUGACUACUACACCAACACUAUACCUCUAAUCACGCAAUCCCGAAGAAUGAAUUGAAAGGACAUUAGACAGUAACUCUAAAGUGGUAUGAAGAAGAUCGCAAUGAAAGUAAACAAAUGGGCAAUAACAAAUUUACCAGCAUUGUUACCAGACAUGAUUCAUGAGACUACUGCACGGAAAUAAAGAAGUAAUCCUUUGUUUUGUUCCAUUUGGGAGGGUUACCAAGGAUUGAACUCAAGAGACACUCAACCACUGAGCCAAAUCCCCAACCGUAUUAAAAAUAUUUUAUUGAGAGACAAGGUCUCAAUAAAUUGCUUAGCACCUUACUAAGUUGCUGAGGCUAACCUUGAACUCGCGAUCCUCCUGCCUCAGCCUCCUGAGCCACUGGGAUUACAAACAUACGCCAACACACAUGACUAACAUAGACAUAUUAAAAAACACUUUUCAUGUCAAAAAAAAGCAAAUAGUAGAAAAAACAUAGAGUAUUAUUUUAAUAUUUAAGAAGUAUUCACCUACUUUGGUAACUCCAAAAUUUGUUUCAAGUUAGGUAUUCAAAUGAUAAGCAAAAUGGACAGGAUUCAGACUAACGCGCCUUUCUAAAGUCAUUUACAUUUGAGAGAAUGAAAAACAUAAAAAUUUUCCUACUCUAACUAUAUUCAAUCUUUAUAACAGGUACUGAUAAUUUAAAAUAACCAGUGAAAAGGGUGGAGAAAAAGCUGCAAAAAAACAUACUUAAAAUAGAACCAAAAUCAAGACGCCAAAAAUUAAAAUUAGUGUUUUAUAAACAAAAUUUUAAAUCAAGAAACAAUGGUAACCACAAAGAAAUUACAACUAUGGAAUAUGUGCAAAAUUAAAUCUUGCUGCAGUUUUAAGACAAAUAUUGAAGAGUUGGUAGCACAGUGGUUUAGAGCAUGAGCUCAAGAGCUAUAUUACCAAGGUUUAAAUUCUGUCAUUGUGUGAACUUCUGUAGGUUGCUUACAUCUCUGUGUGUCUUGGUUUCUCUAUAUGUAAAAUGGAAAUCAUAAUAUAUUUUACAGGGUUUUCAUUGUGUUUAAAUAAGUUAAUAUAGGUACUGUACAACACUUAGUACAAUGCUAGGUACCCAUUAAAUAAAAGGUAGCUUUGAGUUAGCAGUAGAGCCCAGAACAUGUUCUUGUUAAAAUUCCACAUAGUGGGGAGUUAAGUUCUCAGUUUUUCAGGUAUACAGUUGAGUUUUAUCAGUGCUCCCAAAUAUAAUCAGUUCACAGUCUUUCAGAGAAGGAAUUGAACAUAUGAGCUCACAAAUGACUUAAGUAAAGUCAAAGCCCCAUUUAUAAAAGUGACAGAAAAAUAGUUUUUAACAAUUACUGAGGUGAUUUCUUUUAUUUUGCAAUUCCUUUUACCUAUUUGCCUUUCCUUAGAGAUCUUAGUCUUUAUGUGUCAUGGAAAGGAGUUUUCAGUAGACCAGACACACACACACACACACACACACAUGUGCGCGCGCAAAGACAGAGUGUGUGUUUAUUAAUUGUCUUAGAAUUCUAAAGCUCUAGAAUAAAUACUAGGCAUAUAAGAAAUUCAUUGUCUUGCUGCUAAGUAAAGAUGAAAUCAUUCCUGGUAUAGGCAGAGGAGAAGAGCUGAGGAAGACUGAUAGGGAAUAAAGACAGAUAUAUUGGUCCCUGGAAAGAAGUUCUCUGUCCUCCCUGUACCCCUCCAAAGCUGAGCCCCGAGGAGGUAAUGCUUAAAGACCCCAAUUCAUUUGGGGCCCUAGGUUGGUUCUCUCCUGUGCUUUGCUUCCCAGGUAGUGCUCAGGAAAGCAUCAUGCUGCCAGAAUUUCAUCCUAUCCUGAGAGACAAUGUCACCAGUUGAAUGGGGAUGAUGGUACAGCAUGACAAGAGGUGGUAUGUGAGGACAAGACCAUCUGAGCUAACUUUGUUCAGUUUCUUAUUAUCCUAGAAUGGCUUGGAAAACAACAACAACAAAAAACAAACAAACAAACAAAAACUUGCUAUUUUCUUCUCUAACCCAGAUGAAAAAAUGGUCACAAAUUCUUUUCUCUUUCCCCUUGAGAUAUGGAGUCUAAUUCCCCUCUCCUUGAAGGUAGGCUGGCCUGGUGACAUGCUUGACCAAUAGAAUUCAGCAGAAAUGAGCAUCUCUAACUUCAAAAGCUAGCUAACAAGAAGCUAUGGGGCUUCCACUGGAUCUCUUAGAAUGUUCCCUCAGGGGAAAUCCAGGUGCCAUGUAAGAGGACUGUGACCACUUUGCUUUAUAAGCUUACUUAGGAAGGACCUGAGACUCCCUGGAGAAGAGAGAGAGGGGCCUAGCUAAACCCAGAAUCCCAUCCAUCCCCACCAAGACAGGAGGCAUGUGAAUGGGGCCAUCUUGAACUUUCAAACCUAUUCACCACCAAAGGACCCUAAGGGAAGCAGAAGGAUCACCUAGCUUCAUCCUUGAAGAUUGGACCCAUGAGCCAUGAACAUAAUAAAAUUAUUACUAUUGCAAGACAUUAUGUUUUUGAUGGUUUGCUUUACCACUAGACAACUAGGACCCAACUCUUCAUAUGCCCACACGAGUCUUGAGGUAGGUAGAGGAGAUGUAUAACUUCAACCAGAAGAAGGCUAUUGCUCAGAGGGGAAUUUACAGGAUGAUUUUCAGGGAAACAAUUGGGAACAAUGCUAUUGAUUAUACUUUGUAAUUAUGUAAUUCUUACCUUUGAAAGAACCAGAGAGAACUCUUUAUUUCUAUGUUUUAACAUGCAUUUUUUUUUUCAUCAGGAGUGAACAUUAGCAUGGGCAAAUGUUGAUGGAGAAGCCAUGAUUGGUGUGUCCUUAGAGUUAUACAGUAUGAUGGCCUUGCCAACCAACCACCUCCCAAGCUUUAGAUUCUAUCCACAAAGAGUGGAGGGUGAGAAACCUUGAUUUCUCUUAGAAAAUCUCACAUGACAGAAGAAACUAUGAUUUGACUGAAAAAUACCUGAAGUGACCAAGUAGGUUAUUUGCUACUAGGGAAGAAUGGGAUUUGAGAUAAGGAUUAAGUACAGUAAUAGAAGAGUGAGAAGUUAUUUUUUAAAAAACAAUUGAGUUUAUAGCUUGUGAAAUCAAUAUUUAUCAUAUUAAUGAAAUAUGUGAAAUACAACUAAGCCAAUUAGAAUAUGUGCAUUAUCUGAAUAGCUCAUCUCUUCCUGGAUCCACUUAUUCUUUCACAGUGGGAAUUGUUUCUUUUGUAACGUCCUCUGCCCUACAGUAGGGUAGAGCUCAUUAGUGAUUAGAGUUCUUAUAUUAUACUCUGAUCUAGUUGGUAAAAAUACUAAGUAAAUUUAACAAAGUCUGGUUCCUUGGAUAUUAGUUUACUCUUUCUAACAUGACCAUUCCAUCAGUAAAAAAACAUUUAAUCUGUAGAUACAAUUACACUGUUAAUUUGUUAUAUAUACUCAAGGCCUCUGUUUAUCUUCAUAACAUUAAGUCUUUAAAAGCUGUCCUCAGAUAUCAGAUUUCAUUUAUUAUAUGUUGAUUUUGCUAAUUUAUUACCUAGGCACUAGUCCUAGGCACUUCACUGUUGCCUCCUUGUACUGCUCAAGAGAAAUACUGUCUCCUUCUAUCUUGCAAGCAUUUUAGUACAGUGUCUAAUGCACUAGGCAAGAAAAACUCCAGUUAAUAAGAAAAGUAAAUAUGGACAUAUUUUCCCUGAGGAAAUAAAAGGAAUUUUAAAGGCAUAGAAUUGUAAGUAAUUAAAUAUAAAAAUUUAUAGUAGUGUUUCUCAAUCUUGACUGCUCAAUAGAAUUAUCUGAGGGAGAAUGUAAAAGUCUAGACCUUACCUGACAAAUAAAAUCAGGAUGAUAGGAUGUAGAACUCAGGCAUCAGUAGGUUUUAAGUCUCUGGGUGAUUCCAAAGUGUAUGCAAAAUUGAAAACCACUUGGAUAGAUUGAGAUAGGAUAGGGUAGGGCAUAAUUAAAGAUAAAACCGGACAGAUGAAGACCAGAUGUAGGAAGGCAUCAUGCUCCAAUACAAAGGAAGGACUUUCUAGAGAAUUCAGUGAAUGACAUUAGGGUAGUUUGUCUUCAUUAUCAUCUCAGAGUCCUUUACCUUUUUUUACAACUAUGUUAUAUUAUUCCCAACAAAUAGCUAGCAUGUGUAUCUCCUUAGGGAUGUCUACCAGAUAACCCUACCCUGCCAAGCCUGGAGAUCUAGGAAUUUUCAUACCAUAUCCCCAGGGCACCAUCCUUAAGCACUAAUUGAUGAUGAUAGAAUAUAAAUAAUCUAGCUUCCUUUCUCCUGAUUAAGAAAAUUCUGAAGUCUGAUCUCUGCUAGUGUUAUUCAAAGUAAACGACAAGCAAACAUUUCAUUAGAUCCAGGACAAGAUUAGCUUGGGCCAAAAUGUAAAUCUGUACACUGCUUUCUUUACAAAGAAAUAGUUCUGUGAAAGAAAUGUCAGCGGAAAUAGUGGGAGUAGUGAUUUAGCUGUAACCACAUAUCUCACCAUGGACCAUAGAUAACACAUGGUUCAGAGGCCAUAGGGAUCUGCAUAUUGCACUUGGGGUGACAAUAAUACACUGUGUUAAGAGUGGCCUGCAGCAGUGAGUCAGAGUUAAACUUUCACCUUGAAUGAUGAAUGAUUGCCCAGUCUUCUUCCUUCCCUUUUCCACUUCCUGCUCCUUGUUUUUCUUGGUAAUUCUGUUAUAGAUGACCUUGAUAUGCAUUUUGGUGUCAGCACCUGCUUCUAGGAAACUCAAUUAAGAUAGGCAGUAUUAUAAUUUAGAUAUGAGGUGUCCCAAAAAAGCUCAUGUGUGAGACAAUGCAAAACAGUUUAGUGGUGAAGUGAUUGAUCUAAUCAGUGCUUAAAUCCACUUGAAUGGAGUAAUUGGGUGGUAGUCAUAGGCUUAGGAGGUAGGUCACUGGGGACAUGACUUUAGGGUAUACAUUUUGUCCCUAGUGAGCAGAGCUCUCUCUCUCUUUCUCUGCUUCCUGGUGGCCAUGUCCUAAGCAGCUUUCCUCUGCCACACACUUCUACCUUGAUGUUCUGCCCCACCUUGGGCCCAGAUCAAUGAAGUUGGCAGCCUAAGGACUGAUACCUCUGAAGCUGAGCCCCCAAUAAACUUUUCCUCCUCUAUGUUGUUCUUGUCAGGUCUUCUGGUCACAGAGGUGAAAAUUUUGACAAAAAGAGGUGAUGAGGAUUAUAUUGGAGGGUAAAAUCUGCAGUUUAGGAAGAUAGUACAGGUUAUUCUGGAGAAUUACCCCCCAAAAGAUUGAAUUUAGGUAGAAAAUAAGAUUGAAGACCAUUGCAAUAUAUCACAAGCCAGGAAACCCAGGACUUAUCCUCCUCUAUUAUUCAUAUUUAAAAAGUGUCCCCCUCCCCCUUUUUUUUCUUUUUGCCAUUUUCAGGGCUUCUGCUUUAGUUUUAGGCCCAUAUUUGUUGUGAGGUUCAGAACAAUUGUUCUGCAUAUUGGAUGUAAGGUCAGGACCUUGCCAAUGUUUCAGUGGAAAUUAACUAGAAAUGGCAGAUUCCCCACAAUUUAUAAACUAAACUUUCCUUUGUGAAAUAUGUAUAUUUUCCUUUAAGCUUUAUAGCUUCAAGGCUAGUUUUAAAGUACAUUUGUAAGGAUACCUAGGCAUGCCCCAAAUAUUUGACCAGGUGCAAGUAAUUAAAACUUUCUGGCCCACAAUUUUCUUACCCUUUGAAUGAGGGUAAGAAAGAUGCAUUAUAUUAUACCCAAGGUCUCUUCCAGUUCUAAAAUGUUGUGUUCAACAAUAGCCACUAGAUUUCCUCAGUAAAACAGCAUAGAACAGCCGAUUCCAGUAGCAAUUGUCACUUCUCAAAACAAAUUGACAAAAAUCAGACACUUCUUGCAAGAAUAAUUCUCCAGGAAGCUAACCUUUGCCCAUUUUUCUUAAUGAUGUUUCCUGUUUUUAACUUGGCUUUGGAAAUGGGUAACCAUCUAAUUGGGUUGAUAAGGUCAGCAUGCAAGAGCCUUGAAAAGAGAUUGAAUAAUAUUUGUGAGCAUGUGUAUUUGCCUAGACAUGCUUUUUGUCAUGUUUAUUGUACUUUAAUGAUUAGCUAGAAACAAUAAUACUGUUGUACAUUCUGUUUUAUUAAUGCUCUGUCAUUUAUGGGGCUUUCUAAGAUAAUUUGAAAAUAAGAGAAAAUAUAAUUAUUUGAGGGUGCUUUUGGAAGAGGUGGAUAUAUUUAUAAAAUUAAAUAGUAAUGUAAUAACAGUACUCUCAAGGCAGAGUUCAGCACAAUACAUAGUUCUUAGAGAGGAUUUCUAAAGCUAGAUGAGAUGACUUAUAUUUUCCCUGACUUGCAAAGAACAUGUUAAUUCAGCUUGUUGUGAUUUUGUGGGUCAAGAAAGGUGAUAAAUCACUUCUGCUCAUUGGUUUGUCACAUCUUGUUCCCAAACUACUCUCAAAUACUUACUUUGUAAACAGUGUCACCCGUUUACUUAGGCAGAAAUCUGGGCUUCACACUUGUACUGCACACACUCCGUUUAAAAUUAUCUCAAUUUCACUCCCUUUGGGUGACUGUUUUUGCAUGUUGAAAGAUAAAUCAUUAAAAUGAUAAAACAUGGAAAAUUAGGACAUGUUUUUGGUAUUUUCUUAUUUUCCCCCAAUGAGAUAUAACAGAAAAGUAUGUAAAUCUUAAGUGUACAGAUCAGUGAAUUUUUGCCUAUGUGUAACUAUGUAAUCAAGAUGCGAAACGAUAUUUUAAAAUUUCCACAUUUUGCCUUCCCAGUUAAAUUGUCCUCUUGUCCUCCAUUUAGAGGUGACUGCCAUCCUUACUUUUGUCAUCAUAGCUUGGUUUUACAUUUUAUAGGAUGGAAUCAUGCACCAUAUCUGGUUUCUUAUGCUCAACAUUAUUGUCGUUAUGCCUUUGAGAUUCAUCUUUAUUCUUGCCUGUGAUAAAUAAUAGUAUAUUCUUUAUUUUUAACUGUGGUUAGAGUAUUUCACUGUAUGGAUAUAUCUCUCUACUCUUGAUGGAUGCUUAAUUUUUCGGUUAUGACAAAUGUCUAUUGGGAUUUUUGAUAGAUACAUCUCAUUUUAAUUUUAGUAGCUAGCUAGAACUAGAACAGACAUACAUGAUUUAGCAAUAAUAAAUGCUAAGGGUCUUCCAAUAAUUUUUAUUCCUACUAGUGAUGUAUGAAAACCCUAGUUCUUUUGCAUUUGUGCCCAUAUGUGAUGUUUGUCAGUAUUUUUAAUUUUAGUUGGUCUAGUGAAUGUGUAGUAGUAUCUCAUUACAGUUUUGAUUUUUUAUUUCUCUAAUUAAUAAUUAUAUUGAACACAUUUUUAUAUACUUAUUGGCCUUUUGGGAAUCUAAUUUAUGAAAUUCUGUUCAAAUCCUUUAACUAAUUGUCUUUUGUUAUUGGUUUGUAUUCUAUGUAUUCUAAUUUAACAAAUCAAAAGAACAAAUAUCUUUUCCCAAUCUGUGGCUUGCUUUUUCUUUAUUAAUGGCGUUUUAUUUUUCUUUAUUCCUUUUGUAGUUCUGGGGAUGGAACCCAUGACCUCAUAGCCUCAUACAGGCUAAGCAACCACUCUACCAUUGAGCUAUAACCCUAGCCCUAAUGCUGUGUCUGUCUGUCUGUCUGUCUAUCUGUGUGUGUGUGUGUGUGUGUGUGUGUGUUACUAGGAACUAAAGUUGGGGAUCCUCUACCACUGAGUUACAAUCGUCAGUCCUUUAUAUUUUUUGAGACAGGCUCUCAUGAAUUUACCCAUGCUGGCCUUGAAAUUGUGAUCCUCCUGCCUUGGCACCCUGAAUAGUGGGAUUAUAGAUGUGUACCCUAAUGACCAUCUUAAAAGUUCUUAAUUUUAAUGAAAUCUGACAUAUCAUGUUUUUCUUCUAUAGAUCAUGCUUUCAGUGUUCUGCUUUAAUAUGCAAUUUGAAAACCUGGUCACCUGUAAUGCAGUCAGUUUGAAAGAUGGUAGGCUUGUUUUUUUCCCUCAUUUUUUUUAUUGUGAUAGCAUUCAUAUACAUAUAAUUUACAUCUAGAUAAUUUUUAAUUGUACACUUGAGUGUUUUUAAAGACAUGCAUAGUGUGCAAGCACUACCACUACCACCUAUCUCCAGAACUCUUCAUUUUAUUAAACUGAAACUUUAUACUCAUUGAUCAAUAACUACCCAUUUAAACUGUUAUAUCUUCUUUCUUCUUUGAAACUUACUAACAUAUAGUAUCCUUCUUUGUCUUUGGAAACAUUUUUGAUUCAAUGUCUGCUUUGUCUGGUGUUAGCAUAGCCACCGCUGCUUUCUUUUUGUUACUAUUGUUGUAACAUAUCUUCUCCCAUCCUUUCAUUUUCAACUUAUCUGAUCUACAUUUUUUUAAAAAUUUAUUUUUUAGUUAUAGGUGGACACAAGAUUUUUUUUAGUUGUAGUUGGACACAAUACCUUUAUUUCACUUAUUUAUUUUUAUGUGGUGCUGAGGAUCGAACCUAGGGUCUCGCACGUGCGAAGCAAGUGCUCUACCACUGAACCACAACCCCAGCCCUAUCUGGUCUACAUUUUAAAAAAUUUAUUUUAAUUUGUUCUUUUUAGUUAUAUAUGACAGUAGAAUGUAUUUUAACAUAUUAUACAUACAUGGAAUAUAACUUAUUCAAUUAGGAUCCUAUUCUUGUGGUUGUAUAUGAUAUGGAGUAACCCUGGUCAUGUAUUCAAAUACAAGGCUAGGAAAGUUAUGUGUGAUUAACUCUACUGUCCUUCCUAUUCAACCUCCCCACUCCUUUCAUUUCCCUUUGUCUAAUCCAGUGGACUUCUAUUCUCCUCCCUACCCUCCCUUAUGGUGGGUUAGCAUCCACAUAUUAGAGAAAACAUUUGGCUUUUGGUUUGGGGGAACUAGCUUAUUUCACUUAUUUCAGUUGCAUCCAUUUAUCAGAAAAUGCCAUAAUUUUAUUCUUUGUGUGGUUGAGUAACAUAGAGUGAAUAUGUCUAAACAGACAACAUUGGAUCUUGGUUUUUAAAAUCCAUUCUGCCAAUGUCUCUUUUGAUUGAAGAGUUUAAUCCAUUUAAAGUAGUUCUUGAAAAGGGGGGAUUUUAAAAAUUCUAUUUGUUUCCUAGUUUUAUAGCAUUUUUGUCCCUUACUUCCCAUACUGCUGUCUUCUUUUGUGUUUAGCUAAUUUGUUGUUGUAAAACAUUUAAAUCACUUUCUCAACUUCUUUGGCACAUAUUCCAUAGCUAUUUUCUUUGUGGUUACCAUAGGUACUACAUUUAAAAUCCUAAUUAUAAAACACUAAUUUGAAUUUAUACAGUCUUAACUUUAACAACAUACAAAGUAUGCUCCUUUGCAGCUCUAUCUCAACCCUUUUCACUGGUUAUUACAAAUUACAUCUUUAUAUGUUACAUGCCCCCAAACAUAAAUCACUUAAAAAAAAAGCGUUAGUCACUUGAAUUAAAUAGAAACAAAAUAUGGAGUCACAAAAAAUAUUAAAAUAAUACUAGUUUUUAGACAAAUUGCUUUUUUUUAAAAAAAAAAAAGUAUAGCAAUUUAGUCAUGCAUCUUGGCAUAUGCUGAAAAUCCCAGUGACUCAGGAGGCUGAGGCAAGAGGAUCGAAAGUUCAAGACUAGCCACAGCAACUUAGUAAGACCCUAAGCAAGUAAUUGAGAACUGGUCUCACAAUAAAAAAUUUUUAAAAAGGCUCGGGAUGGAGCUCAGUGGUAGAGAGCCUCUUGAGUUCAAUCCCUAGUAACCCUCCCAAAUGGAACAAAACAAAGGAACAAUACAACAGUACAGUACAGUAGUCUCAUGAAUCAUGUACAAUAACAAUGCUAGCAUUUAUUAUUGCCCAUGUAUUUACUUUCAUUGAGAUCUUCUUCAUACCACUUUAGAGUUACUGUCUAAUGUCCUUUCAAUUCAUCCUUCAGGAUUGCCUGAACAAAAGUACAGGGUAGGUGUAGUAGUCACAAAUUCCCUCUGCUUUUUGUUUGUUCCUUUCUCCCAGAUUACCUCUGGAAUGCCUUAAUUUCUUCCUUACUUUGGACACAGGAUUCUUAGAUGAUCAUUUUUUGGUCUUUUUACUCUUUUAGCACUUUAACUACAUUGGCCUAUUCUCUUCUGGCCUCAAACAUCUCUGAUAAUCUUAUUGAAGAAUAUACCUUUGAUGGGUUAACUCACUUCUUUCUUGCUACUUUCAAGAUUUUCCCUUUGAUUUUGGAAAGUUUGAUUCUAAUGUGUCCCAGUGUGGUUCUAUUUGUGUUUGUAUUACUUGGAAUUUGUUGAGCUAAUUAGACAUUCAUAUUUAUGUCUUUUAUCAAACAUGGGAAGGUUUCAACUAUUAUUUCAUCUAAUAUUCUCUCUGUUCUUCUCUCUCCUCUAGCACUCCCACAAUGGGUAUAUUGGUGGGCUGAAUGGUAUCUUACAGGUUCUCUAAGAUCUGUUCAUCAAUCGUUUGUUCUUUUGUUCUUCAAUCUUUUGUCUUAAUUUCCUCAGACUUGACAAUUUUCAUUUUCCUAUGUUCAAAUUUCCUGAUUCAUUCUUAUAUCUUCUCAAUUUGUUCUUGAAUUCCUCUUGGUAUUUUUUUUUUCAUUAAAAAUUAUUUCUGGGUGUGGUGGCACAUGCCUGUAAUCCCAGCAGCUUGGGAGGCAGAGGCAGGAGGUUCACGAGUUCAAAGCCAGUCUCACAACUGCCAGGCACUAGCAACUCAGUGAGACCUUUUCUCUAAAUAAAAUACAAAAUAGGACUGGGAAUGUGGCUCAGUGGUCAAGUGCCCCUAAAUUCAAUACCCGGUACUAGAUUUUUUUUUUGUUAGGUUUUCUCUCUUUACUAAUAUUUUCAUUUUGCUCAUGCAUUAUUUUCUUCACAUUUUUCACAUCUUUCUUUAGUUCUUGAACAUCUUUCAGAUGGUUAUUUUAGAGUCUUUGUUUAGUAGAUAUGCUGACAGAUGUUUUUUCAGGUACAAUUUCUGUUGGUUUACUUUUUUCUUUUGGCCAUACUUACUUGUUUCUUUUAUGCCUAAGAUUUUGUUGUUAUUUUUAAGCUGACAUUUGAGUAUAAAUAUGUUGACCUUUGUGUUAACUAUGGAAAUUAUGAUUUUUUCCUUCCUUGGGGUUUGGGAAUUUUUAUUAUUAAAAAAAAAUUGUUGCAGGUGAUUUUUCUGCCCAGGAUCAGAACAUAAAUUCAAAGUCUUCUCAGGUAUUUUUCUGAGUCUGCACCUGAGCCUCCCUCUGGGCAGCUGUGGUCACUUCUAAUUUUCCCAGUACAUGCACUUGCUUUUGAAUGUUCUAAUCUUUAAUGUCUGGCUCCCAGAAGAGGAAAAAGCAAAAAAUGAAGGAAGGCAAAAGGAAAGUCUUUGCCCUUUUAGUCUCCUGGUAGUCAUUUCAGCUGGAGGGGGAGGAAGUGGAACAAUGAGAGGAGGAGCAACAACAGUGACCUUAUGCCUCUUUGUCUUCACCUCUGUGAUCAGAGUAGCAGUUAGAUGGCUGGGGUUGUGGCUCAGUGGUAGGGCAUUAUUUGCUUAGCAUGUGUGAGACACUGGGUUUGAUCCUUAGGAUCACAUAAAAAUAAACAAAUAAAAUAAAGGUAUUGUGUCCAUUUGCAACUAAAAAAUAUUUUAAAAAAAAGUCAGAAACCAAAGCAGAGUUUUGCAAUAAUUGGAGGACAGUGUGCUUUUUGGCCACUCUGGCUCCUGUAAGCUGUGUGUAUGCUGCUCCAGAAACAGAAGCACAGCUGUCUGCCAUGGGCUGGGGGGCAGGGAUGCCUAGCUGCUACUGCACAAAGAACUGAAAUUGACUGUCCAGGACUUCUCCCAAAAGUUCCAAGCCUUCAUUAGACUCCAUUAUCCCCAAAUUGUUGUCUGGGUCCGGGAGAGAUUCUUGUUGCUCUCUACGCUGCCAUCUUCCUAGGAUCCUUUCUUUGGAAGCUUGUUUUGAAAGAUGAUAACUAACUAUGGCAUUGGGGAAAAUAUUUUGGACUCUAUGAAGAUCUAGGUAUUCUGUCUUUUCCAAUUAUGAAAUGUGUAACUGGGGCAAUUUACUUAAUUCUUUAAUUGUUUUGAUGAUUCAGAAUAUGAUUUAUUAGUUAGGACUCUUUCAAUUGCAAGUGGAAGAAACCUAAGUUACCCCAUGUAAGAAAAGGGUGUCUGGAAGAGGGCAGAUCCUAAAUCAGAGGAAGAGCUGGAGAAACUACUGUGCCUCUGUGACCUUAGGGGCCCAAUCACACUCUUAUGUCUGCUUUUCUCUGUAAUGUUCUCAUUGUCAUUGAGUACAGAUAGGUUUAUCAGGCAAGAAAAUACUGCAGCUAGUAACUCUAGGCUUACAAUACUGCUAUUGAGAAUUUCAAAAGGAAGGAGAAAGUAUCUUUCUGUUUCUUUCACUUCAGUAUAUAAUAAUCCUAGUGAAGGAUUGUGGGCAGUCUUGAGUUAGAAUUUACAAUUCUGAUUUGCUUGAGAGUUGGGGUGAAGGGUAGAUCUACAGAUCAAAUCAAUUUCUUGGAGAUUUUAGGACUUACAGAAUGAGAGAAAAAAAUGUCCUGGUAAAUAACUUAUUGAACCCAUGGGGAUAGCUUUCUACCUGUUCCCAUGGAAAAUAACCUUAAUCUUUGUUCUAAUAUUCCCUGUAUGUUCAGCCAGCCUAAUAGAACUUUCUGUUUUGUUUGUUUGUUUUUCUUUUCUUUGUGUGUUCUUGUUGUAUAUGUACUAGCAAUCGGUUGUCUCUAAACAGAAUUUCCAACUCAGAUUAAAAGGGCUAAUACUAAAGUCAGCCAGUUCCAGACAUGGUCACAAGAUGAGUCAUAGGAACUUCUGCAAAGGACUGAAUCACAUUGCUCUCUUUACAUCAAUCAUGGCCAAGGAGAUUCAGUUAGCCUACCUUAGAAAUUAAAAUCUGAGAGUAAGAAUUUUUUUUUUUUUUUUUUUUUUGUGAAAGUUGGUUCGGUAUCAACAUACAAGAGAUCAUGUUGAGAGAGGCAUGAGGGGAAGGAAAAGUAGAGAUUCUACAAUAAUAACUGCACCAGAUGAUGAUGAUGUCCACCAGACACAUCUCAAAGGAUGGAAGUUUAAGUACUGACUGGACCUGAGGCCCUCUGGGACUUAGAAACCCACUUUGGAGGCUUGUUUUCUUCCAUGAAGUCUUUGAGGUUUAAAUGUCUUACGUCCAACUACUAUUUAGAAUGGCCUUUGGCAUUUUCUCCCUUCUAAUAGAAACGAAGGAUCAAUAAGGGCUACUACUUUCUAUUGAGUUGCUGAAGGAAUGAGCAAUGUAACACACCAUCAUGCAUGGGGAUCCCUGUUAACAUCAUUAUUUCAUACUUUCUGGUUCAUGCUUUUACCUUUUAAAGAAGUAAACUUUAAUCCUUCUUCAAGCAUUGAGAAGGAUAGGAUUACUAAAAUGGUCUGGUAGUUACACUACAUAUUUUUUUUAUUAAGUUUACUAACAAUUUCCUAUUAGUGUCUAUCACUUUAUUCCUAGAUAACAAAUGUGAGACACCUUAAUUUAAAUCAAGUUUAGAGAAAUUCUAUAAAUUCUAUAAGUGCACAUAAUAGAAAGCUUUGAGGAUAACAACAGAGAAAGAUUAUUAAAGUAGCCUAUCUCCUUUCUAUGAAUUUGAUGGAGACACUGGAAAGGCAGAACAUCUAUGGGGAAGAAUUGAGGUUGUGUGUAUUGGAGGGACACAGUUGAAGUUUCCUUGACUUUAGAUGACUAUGUAGUGGAGCCUGGUGAUGGAAAACUUUCUUGAAGUUCUAAAAGAAGUGACGCUAAUAAAGUUUUCAUUUGUAGGUAAUGUCUUCUCGAAGUAGAAACGUUUUACUUCUCAUUUUAUCAUCUCUCCCAGGAGAUGGAACUGAAAGGAAUUGAAAUUAAACCUCUGUACCAUUUCAUAAAUUGAGAAGGUUUUUUUUUCUGUCCACUUAAAUUUUGUAUACUAUAAUAGGCUCAGGGGAAACUGAGAAAAAUUCAGUACCAUGCCUUCAGUGAAUUUUAAUUAUAGUAAAAAGAUAACCAUGAAAACAAAAGUUAUAAUACAUGAAUCUGAUUAUUCUAAAAGUGUUUGGUAUGAACUGUUAUCUUACAGACAACUAACCUCUCUGUAAAAGUUUGUGAAGGCUGCAUAGAUAUUUAUCAGGGAAUCAAGAGGGAGAGCAAGGUCCAGGAAAACAGGGUAACAUGUGCCACUAACAGAGACAUAUAGGAGGACUUGGCUUAUCAUUGUGCGAAGGUGUACAGGAAACUGGCAGGAGCCAAGGCUAGCCUGGGAAGUAGUAGGCCCAUCAAGCUUGGCCUUAUGGACUAUAGAACAGUUUUAAAAUUUUAUCCUCUUGUCAAUAGUGGAGAGUGGAGUUCUAGAUAUAUUGGGUGGCAAACACUCCCAGCAUUUUACAGAAUUGCAAAAUCAUUCAGAAGGCUGAAGAAGUAGUCUUCCUGAGAUGACCCUCAGAACAAGACCUUCUAAUUAGUCCCAAGAAGAUGGUCCCAGAAGGUUGCCACCAAACCUCUACAGUUUGAGAAUACACAGUGUGACUGGCAUCUUGGGAACAGGGGACUGCUACCACCAUGGCUGUCAUAAUCCUCUAGACACCAUGCCAUCAUACAGGGAUUCCACAUAGGGAAACUGCUGCCCCAAACCCAACAUUUCCACAUCCAUAUUUGACAACAACAAUAACCAAACACUAUAAGAAAAUAGCCCCUGCUCCACUUCUGUCUUCUAAAUAUUUCACUGGAUCAUGUCAGGCUUUGGCACCUAAUAUGUAUUCAGAACUCUUACUGCAAGGUAGCCUGCAAAAUGUAGUUUUUAUCUUUCCAGCCUCUACAGUACAGGUGGACUCUCCACAAGGAGAAUGGAAUCAAUGCUAAGAACCAAUUCAUCACAUGUACUAGACAUAAGGUAGGUAGAUAAAAUCAGAUGAGGAAAUAUGUAGAGGGACGCAUGCAGCUGAAACCAGGAACACAGUACAUCAGCCUUCAAAGAACAACUGGGGAGACAAAGAAGGAAUGAUCACAAGUUCAAUGGAAGAACUAGGAGAGUGUGCCAUUGUGACAACCAAGGAAAGAUAAGAGUUUAGAGAGUAGUGCAUUGGUCAUCCAUUUUUGUAGUUUGAAAUCUUUUAGUAACAAACAAGUUUUUUUCAUGCCUAGUAUUAGUCAAGAUUCUCAUAAAGUAAACCAAAUUAAAAAUGACUUUAUUGACUCACAUAACUUUAGGUCAAGCAGGAAUAGUUAAGCAUCAGGAACUUAAAUGGUAUUAUGGAGCUAUUUUUCUUUUAUUUUAUUUUCCUUUUUUGCUUUGCUUGCCUGCCCUCUGUAUUGGCAUCAUGUGAGGCAGUUUCUUUGAAGCUAGGAAACAAAACAAGGCCUCAGGAAACUAAGCCUACAUAUUAUUUAUAGCCAGUGGUCUCCAAAGAGAAAACAAACCCUUUAACUCUUUCUGUAUCUGACCACCCCUCCCCCCAAUCAAAUCUUAGAGAUUGAUUGGUCUAUCUUGAGCCACAUACCUUUCACUGCACCAAUCACAGGACAGAGUACCCUGAUUGGGUAGGCCUGCAUUACAUGCCCGCCCCUGCUUGUGAGAGGGGAUAUAUAUAUUGGGUUAUGCCCCAAACAUGGAAAGGAGUUUCAAUAAUGAUCAUAGGAAUUUAUGUAGUCAGAAAAGGAACAAAAGAUGCCAGGAAGGCAAAUUUUGAUAGUUGCAUCAGUUUUUGAUAGUUGCACAUGAGAAUGGUUAUAUAUUUAGAUUGUGUUGCUUGGGAUGGGGGGUGGGUGGACACACACAGCAAGAGUCACUAUGAAUUUAGUGACAUUCUGACAUUCAAAAAUGAAUUCUUAAAUUCAUAGCGGCCUACUACAUUUUAAAAUUAUUUACAUAAUUGAUAUCUUUUUUUCUACAAGUAAUGCUUGGGAGCUUCCAGAUUAGUGAACCUCUUUCAAUCAUUCUAAAACUUCCAAAACACAGAUUUCACGUCUUAAAGUCAAGUUGAUCAUGGAGUUCAAAAGUAGUCUAUGCACAAUUUCAAGUAUCACUAAAUAUAGAAAUUCUCAGGGAAUGUUACAAGUUUUAUUUUCAUUUAGUAUAUGGAGUACUAGUAGAUAUUUCACCAUACAAGUGGGUACUACUAACACCCAUAUAGCUAAUGUAAAAACUAGACUAAAAUGACCAUGUAAAUGGGUUUGGGGGAAGCACAUACAAUUAUACAAUAUGUUAUUUUAGUUUUUCUUUUUCUAAUUCUGUCUUUUCUAUUUUCUACAUUUUAGUAUAUGUAUCUGACAUUUGGACAUCAAAUCUGAAAAUGAUGAAAUGAGGAAAUGAUAUUUUAUGUGUAUUUAUUUUCAAAAUUUCUAAAAGAGGUAGCUUUCUCUGGAGGAUAGCUUAAGGGAGUGUGGCUUAUGAAAUGCCUUCUGUACCUACCUCUGCCCCUAAGAAGAAGGGGUGCUCUGUCAUUAGCUCCCCUAUCUUCAUAAUGGAAGGUGCUUAACUUAUCUUCUCUUUGCCUCCUGAGAACUGGUUAGGGUUCACACAAAUUACUUCCAUUUCUAUGGAAGAGAAAUGACAUCUAUGAGCUUUUGCAACAUGGGUUCCUGGGUGCAGAGAAAUGCUUUGGGUGCAGUGUUUCAGGAACAACUGGUUUACCAUUCCUUAGUGUUUCCAUGCCUGAAUGCAGUCCUUCUUGUUAGCAGAGUGAGGGGAACAGAUUUCCCUGCUGAGGUGGAGGAAAGCACUGCAGGGCCUGGCCUGCAGCUUGCAGACUCCUGCUGGCCUCCCAAUUGUGGGGAGCGUCAGCCAGUAUGAUAGGGACAAAGCCAUUAGAAAGAGAAGCACCAAAGUGAAACCAGACUUGGUCACCAAGACUGCCUGGUCAACCUCCCUGAUGUUCUAGUCCCUCAUUAGCACACACUCAGCUUCUAGUUUUUGUAUAAAAGAAAGAAAAUAACAACAGCAACCACAAAACACAGUACUAUAAAAAUAGUACUGUGCCAUGAUGGACUAGUAGAAACCAUGAAGUUUGAAAUAGGUUUUUGUAUACCCAAAUAGUUUCCAGAUUAAGUUUUUCUUCCUUCCUUCCUUUCUUUUUAUUUUGCGCUUUUAUUUUAUUUUUUGAAGAAAACACCUCUUUUUAACUCAGAGGUGUUUUCACUUAGUUGUUGGGAAAGCCUUCACUUAGAAUCCACAAAUUUUGUGCUAAAUAGAGAAUUUGGUGUAAAAAAGCUUAAUUCACUUCUUAAUGAAAUCCAGUUUCUUUUUACAAAUCUGAUGUAGUUGUUAGGCCUUUCAUUACUUUGCUGUUUUGAAAUUAAAAUUUGAUUGUAUAAUUUCAUGCAGCUGUAUUUCGUUUUUAAAAUCACGAGGUCUAAAAAGCCUGUGUAUAUGUGUGUAUGUUUGUAUGUGUAUGUUUAACAAAAGGGACGUCUCUUCUUAGAUAUGAAACACAUACUUGAAUGUUCAUAUUUAAUUUUUUCUAAUUCUCAGUUUUUGUUUGUCAGCAUUGCUGGAUUUUAAAAAACCCUGAAAAUCACUAUAAAUUGCCACAGUCACAAUUUUGCUAACACUGUGGGUUUUUGUUGUGGUUGUUAAUAUGAGACUGGGCAUGAUUGUUAGGUAGUAAAGGAAACUGGCAAUAUUAUUUUUAUCCCAAACUUAGGAACUAGUUUGACAUUGGUGGAUUCCAAGUUGGAAUGUGCUGCAAAAUGUGCUCUUGCAAUUCACAUUAGGGGAGACAGAGCUGCUGUGCGUUUUAUUUCCUAUGAAGUGUAUUUUACCUUAGAGCUGCCGAAGGAAAGUAAUUACUUACAAAUAAACAAUUUACAUGCUUUCCAAGGCUUCUGAUCAUGUUAUGGUAGCUUUAUUAAAUUUUCCACUAAGAUAAUUAUUGCAGGGAAUUUCACAACUUAAAGCAAACACUUCAUUUGGCUCAAGAUAAUUAAAAACACAGGCAGUUUAUGCCUUCUUUAGGAUUCGACCCCACCCUGACCCCAGUUCUCUGUCUCAUCUCCCAGUGUGUAAGCUAGUAACCUCUGAACGUGCCUUAGGAGAUGAAUGCUAUGCCCAUACAAGGGGAAAAUCCCACACUAGAUGGGAAAAUAGCUAUAAGAUAAUGAUGACAUUUCACCAUCCUGUGACAUUAUGCCUGGUUUCUCCUCUGUGUUAGUUAACACUGUGCAACAGUAGGCAGUUUAUUGGGCUGAAAUGUUGCCAAAAUUUUAGCUUUUUGUUUUUGUUUUUAGAUGAAUGCCAGAAUUGCUAAUAGGAAGCAUUUCCUAAAUCCCCAUGACUAGCCAGGGAGAAAACAAUGCACAGCCAUGUGUUUAAUGUUUCAAUAAUAUGAUUAUCUUUGGUUUCCUCUGGAUAGUGGGAAGCUAUAUAUCACCAGGAAUUUCCUGAUUAAUUCAUAUAAGUGCCUAGUGCUAAACAGGGAGCCAUCCAGGUGACCAGAUCACUAACAACAACAACAACAACAACAUCAUCAUCAUCAUCAUCAUCAUUUCUUUGGGUGAAGCAGACUUUCUAAGUUCUUGCUGGCUGUGUUAUCGGACUCUACGUGGAGGUUUCCAGUACAGAUUUCUCUUCUAGGUAAUCACUGAAAAUAAAACUCCAACCUGCCAACCAUUAAAUCUGUGGAUGAAAUGGCGAAGAGCUCAGAUUUCCAGUUUUAAUCUGUAAGCUUUGAGUUGCCUUUUCCUUCACCUUUUGUGCUAAUCAUUGGCUGCCCAGUCCCAGUGAGGUAGGCUUCCUGCAGAUACCAUCUGCCUUUGCUGGCACCUCUUGCCCUUCUUGGCAACUCCUGCCUGCUGGAUAGUGUCCUGUCACAUCUUGGGUAGUGGUUUUCAAAGGAUAGCCUGCUACCUUUGUUAGUCUGAGGACUGCACUUUGAUUCAUUAGUGAUGUUGAAUGCAUAUUUAUAUUAUAUUACAUUAUUUAUGUAUAUUUAUAUUUAACGUUAUUAUAUUUUCAUUGUUGCUGCAAGAAUAUAUUGAGAGGAGGUUCUGAGUCUGGGUUCUAGAGGGAGCAAAACUGGGUGUCAUCAGGUUGGAACUUGGUGCUACUUCCUGCCUCUCCCAUGACAUCUGUGUCCUUGAAAGGUCAGUUUCUAUUCCACUAAGGGGCUGUGUCUAAAUAUGUCUUGCAAGAUCCCAGUUACACCUGACCUCUCAGACCUCUUCUUUACUCCUGUCUCCCCUGAUCACUCAGCCCCAUCUGCAAGCUGUACUUCAAAUUUAUCAUGACAUCUCUGGGCACUUGGGCACCCUGGCAGGCCUGGCUCCCACACCUCCUUCAGACUCUUAUUCACAUCUUAUCAUUUUAGAGAAUGUCUUCCUGACCACUGCAUUCACUACGAAUUUAGGUUCCUCCUUUUGCUCACUUGUUAUUUUUAUCCUUGUACAUAUCACCAUCUCACAUCAUAAAUUUUACUCAUUAACUAUUAAAUUUAUUUUACUUAUUAGUUUAGUGUUUACUUAUUAAUACGGUAUCUGUCUUCCUCCUCUAGCAUAUAAGGUAAAUAGGCAUAGGGAUUUUGUCAUUUUGUUCAUUGCUAUAUUCCCAAAACAUUGAGCAAUGCUUAGCACUUAGCAGGUACUCAGUAAGUAUUUGUUGAAAGGAUAAAGGAAGGUGGAUGGGAGCCCCAUACUUGGGACAUUUACUUCUUAAUCUAAUUCUACACGAAGCAGCAGUAUUACAAGUAGUGUUUCAUUUAAAUUGGGGGCAAUAACUCAGUAUAUGUCGCAGUCUGGCUGGGCACAAUCAGGAGCCACUUGUCAAAAGAAACUAACUUUAUUUUUAGAACCACACACGCCAAACAAAACAGCCUCUCAGGAAAAACCCUCAGAGCCUCAACUGCCACCACCGGCUUUCCACAAGCCUCUCUCUCCAACACAAGCUUCUAUCCACCUCCCACAAUCCUCCUGCUCUUGAGGCCGAUUGGCUGGGUCACGUGGGCGGAGCCAAAAAAGUCCCCCAAUGAGCAGCUCCGUGGUCUGAAAGGGCAGGGAAACAGCCCAAUGAGCAUCACCGCAGAGGAGCCAAUCAGCUAGAUGUUGCUGGGGCCGCUGUGAGCCAAUCAUCAGCCGGCAGCUGGAAGUUUGCUGGCAGCCGGAAGUUUGCUGGGGCCCCUUCGGCUGUGGCUCUCAACAAUAUGUAUUUGUGAAAUCAUUUGAAAUGAACAAGAACUCUUAGGUUUACACUGAUCACACUGAAAUAACAUCAGCUCAUUGAUUGAUUAAAUAAAAAAAAUUGAUUGUUCUUUAAGUUUUUGGAAAUUCCACACAACAGAUUGGCCUAAACCUCAGAAUCUUAUAUUUAUAGCUCAUCUUUGAAUAUUUGUAGGAAUUGCAAUUGCUUAGUGGGGAGAGAACUGAUGUUUAUUGAGAGCUUUCUACAUGUCAGUCAAUUCCUGUACAUGAUUUAACAUAAAUCUAUAAAACAAUUUACCAAAUACAUUAUUAUUCCUAUUUGAACAGAAAUUCUGAAUACAUUUGGAAUAUCCAAGGUUUCAAAAAAAAUGAGAGGAUAUUGUGAUCUUUCCAGGCUGUGCUGUGAAAUGCAGACCUCUAUAAGAAAACAACAAACUGAAGAAUUACGUUACCUCCCAUUUUAUUCACCCUCCUUUGGCUGAGUAUUCUCAAAGCAGAGGCUGCCCAUGCAGAUGUCCUGGUAGGUGUCUGCAUUGGCUUCCUACUGGAUCAAGUUCAAGCUCCUAAAACUGGACUCAAAGCUACAUAGUCUCCUCUCCACUUAAUGAUCCUAGGUUAUUUCUCUCUACUGCCUGCAACAAAUCCUCUGCUGUGGUGUAGAAGACUAUUCUUUUUCUUCUCUUCCUUCUCCUGCUCUGCUACCCUUCCCCCAUUAUGCACCUGUUUACUGAUCUCUGACCUGCUUCAGCAACUUAACGUGUAUUCCUCUUAUGCUGCUUCUUUAAAGAAUGAGUGUCAUUCCCUUUCUUUUCUGCCCAUCCAUCAUUUAACCAUUUUUUAAGGACUACCUGAAAAUUACACGUUUUCUCUAUUUUUCAUGUUCCUGGCCUCCUCACUCCUUUUUCUUAAUUACUUUUGAAUUUAUCAUUCAGUUUAUUAAGCUCUAAUCACAGACUGGUAUGUUCUGUGACUGUUUCUAGUAUUAGUCUUGAGAUCUGAACAAGAUUGUGUUAGAGAUAUUUAUGUCUUACAUUUGUUUUCUUCCUACAAUAUUUUCUGGCAUAGAAGUUGUAUCAAUAUGAGAUGCUCAAUAAAUUCUUGGCCUUGCAUCCUGAAUUUUAUCAAACCUUGCUAGAAACUGUGACAUCAUUUUAUGUCAGAAAAUAAAACGUGGUUUAUUCAGCAGCAAUCUAAUAUUGUCUCUGUGCAUCUUGUGUGUAAACAUAUUUUCAGACAGUCUCUGGAAGAUUUGGCUUCUAUUUUGUUAUUUCUGAAAUUUGAAUACCAGCAUCCAUAUUGUAAAAUAUUUGUGUAAAUUACUUUUGAGAACUUUAGGUGAGAGGUGUAUGUAUGUAUAAAGUACUCAUCUGUAGAAAGCAAAAUGAAAAAUGUGAAAGAAAGUUCAGAACAAAGCACUAGAAACUUUGGAUGUAUGAUGAGGCCAAAGAAUUCAUUGUUUCAUUUUGAAUGCAGUUUAGGGAAGACUGCGAAAUACGUUCUUUGAAGUCUCAAAAAAAUAUAUAUAUAUAUAUAUUGUGUGUGUGUGUGUGUGUUUAUCCCUGUGCUACUGAAGAUACUUUGCUGUUUCCAUGAGGGGGUUGCCUGUAGCAUCAAAGAUAAUCUGGAAGGAUUUGAACCUUUGAGGCAGUUGAGCACUUAUUAACAUAAGAUUAGAGAUGGCAAAAUAAAACUACCAAUAAUCUUCAGGUGAUUUCAAAUCAGGCGUCAUGCUGCAAAUCCUUCUUUUUUGGCAAGGAGAGACUGGUGAAGUGCCAGUGAAUGUAUUUUAGCAGAAAGAAAAGAAGCAGAGAAAUUCAGCUGAGGAUUCAGAGGUCAACACUGUCUGAAGAAAUACUUGGGAUGUGGUUUCUUAGACUGAUUUAUACCACAUUUUGGUGAGAUAGCUCAGUGACAUAAAUUCUGUGCAGUUUAUCUAAUUUUUAAAAUUAACUGCAUUUAUGAUUAGUAUCGUGUAUUGCCUUUUCAGGUAGGUUUUUAGGGUACCCUAGAGAUGGGAGGGGUCCACAUUCUCUACCUUUAAGAUCUUUCUCUUUAGUAUCCCUCCAAAUGCCAUCUUGAGUUUGAUGGAUAAACAGCAGGUCAGGCUGGUGUUGUGGUGGCAGAAUGUGAAAACAGGGACUGCACCAAGGGAGGAGGGACAGGUCCCCAUGCUGGAGACAAAGGAUGUUUUCCAGUUUGCAAGCAGAGGGUAUUGAGAGAGUGGUGACAAGUGGUGGAUGGCACAGCUAGGCAAGCUGUCACCAUGAAAGGUCCUGCAAAGGCUCACAAGUGGCACCCCACAGUCUGGCAGAGAAAAGCAAGACAGGGCCCAAGGGUGGGCAGUCUGUGGCACUCAGGGAAGCAGGUGUGGAGGUGGCUCUGUGAAGGCCUGGCAGCAGGUAGGGAACCCAGCCUCUGAGCUGGGAUCAGAAUUGCAGUCCUGAGAAACCAGGGAGAGAAGGAAGCCAGGGGAAUAAGACAAAGUCCACCUGUUGAAAACAACACAAAGGAGCCAUGAAAAUGGCCAUGAACAACAAUAACAAAGAUAGCCAGCACUUAUUAAUGAUUACUCUAAGUCCAGGAAAGUCCAGACUCCUUUAUACUCCUCGAUUCUAUUAAUUCUUGCAACCUGUGAGGCUGGUACUUACUCGCACCCCACCUUACAGGGGAGGAAAACUGAGUUGCAGUAGGUUGCACAGAGCCAUAGACCUAAGAAAUGGCAGCAUGGGCAUUUCAUCCCAGACAGUGUGUUUCAAAAGACUCUGUGCUUAACUUCUAAGCUAUCCUACCUGUGACUAUUUUCAGGUGACAUGAAAUCAUGUGUUUUUACAGCCUUUUGGAAUAAUGCUAGCUUGAAGCCAGGUAUGGGUUUGAAUGUCACCUCUCCUGCUUAUUACUUGAGACACUUUGGGAAUAUUAUUUAAUUUAUCCUAGACUCGAUUUCAUCUCUGUGGAAUGAGGGAAUGGCCACUUCCUCCAUGGAUAUAGAAGGACUAAAUGAAAUAGCAGAUAUAAACUAAUAAAAUCAUGUCUGGCUAGAGCUGCCACUCAGCAAAUAUCUGUUUUCUUUUAUUGUCUGCAUGUCCAUUAAUACAGAGCUCUUUAAAACCCACUUGGCUGAUACUAGGCUUGUUCCUGGGCCCAGGGCUGGGCCAAGGAACAGAUUGCAGACAGCAAUGGUGCCUGAAGGGUACUUGCCAGCUCACCUACAAGGAAAGCUUUUGCUCUCUUCUUUUAAUUCUCAGAGAAAUGUGUGGGUAACUGCUUUUAUAUAGUUCUUCCAGUCAGUGAAACUUGAUAUCUUGAAGAUGUAGACGAGUGUUCACUUUAGGAACACUAGUUGGCAAUUGCAAAAAUUGUGUAUUUUUAAAAUAAAUGUGCUUAUCAUCUAUUACUUUUGAGAGUCCUUCAUGAACUUUGUUAAUAUCUGGAGAACUAAUGGAAAUGAGUUUAUAAAUAUGCUAAAAUUUCAAAGCCUACCUCAUAUUUCAUAACAAUCAAGGCAUAUGUGCUAAUGAUCUGAAAUAGCCUGUCUCUGGUCAAGUCAUGGAUGGUCUACAGCAUCUUCUUCAUUAGAAGCAUGGACUCACUCCUGACUAAAGAGUUUAAUGAUCAUUACUUUUAAAAAGUUUUCCUUUAUUUUAUUAAUAUGGUAAGUUACAUUAAUUUUUAAUAGUUUUAUUAAAGAUAAUUAAUAUAUAAAACUGCAUUUUAAUACAUUCAGUUUGACAAAUUUGGAUGUAAACCAUAAAAGUCUGUUGGGUUUUUAGCUGUUGACUAUGCUUAAAACUGUAACUAUAUAAACUUUUUGUGCUUAAAAAUUUUCAUGACACAAAUAGCCUAUGGUCACUAGAAAAAUUACAUUAAAACUAGAAGUACAAAUGAAGUAAAACCACCCAUGAUUCCAGAGCUAAGCAUGGUUAAAUUUUAAUGUAUAUCCUUCCAAGUUAUUUUUUAUGCAUGUUUGGUUACAGUACAGAAAUGGAUCAUUUUCUAAAUACAGUUUUAUAACCCAGCGAUGUAUUAUAAACAUCUUUAAAUCUACAUCUACAUCAUUAUCUGCAGUAGCCUCAUCAUAUUCCAUUGCAUUUUUAUCAUAUUUCAUUACAUUUUUAUGUGCUAUUAAUUUAGAAAAAUCCUUUCUUAUUUGGUAUUAAAUUUUUCACAUUUUUCCCUAUUAUGAACAAUGCUUUGAUCCUCAUCCUUGUACAUCCAUCUGUGUGUCCUUUUGUCAUGCUGAUUCAAAGGGCAUGCAUGUUUAUCAGGCUUUAGAUACAUUUGCCAAGUACCUGUCUAGAAAUAUUGUACUGAUUAUAUUCCCACUGACAGUCAAUGAGUGCUCCAACAUUGGGUGUUAGUUUUAUUUUUAAUAUACCAUCUGAUAGACAAAAAGGGCAUCAUCUUACUUUAUUUUGUAUUUAUUUGCUUACUAGUGAUAUUGAUUUUUUUCAUAUGUUAAGUUAAAUUUUUAAUUCAUUCAUUUUUUUGUGGCUUUUUGUCUCUCUUUCCUGGGACAUAUUUAUUUUUCUUACUGAUUUUUAUGAGUUCUUCAUGUAUGUAACUCUGUCUAUAUUUUACCAGUUUGUAUUGUAUCCUUAACAUUUUUUGAUAUAUAGAAACUUUUAUCUUAAAAUUAAUUAAAUCUCUGUGUUCUUCCUUCAUGCACUCAGUAAAGUAUUAGCAUAUGUAAUACUCAGAGCAUCUUUACCUUCAGAGAAAUAAAAUACUCAAAUAUGUUUUCUCAGACUACUUCCAUGGCUUCAUUUUUCAUAUUUAAAUCUUAAAUUAAACUGGAAUUCAUGUUGGCAUGAUAGGGAGAUAGGUCUUGGGGUUUAUUCCUCCAAGUGAUAAUCAAGUUGUUUCAGUACAAUGAUUGAUCAACCUAUGCUCUAUAUAUUGAUUUUGAAUGAAUCACCUCUAUCAAGUACAAAAUUCUUAUAUAUAGCUGUGACUCUGGUAUUUUGUUUGGUUCCACUGGAUUCUCUUUUACUCUGCUGCCAGGAUCAUCUAUUUAUUUAUUGCGAAAGUUCUUCCUUAAUUAUUGUUGUUUUUCAGAAAAUUUGUAAGUUUAUUUGAUAUUUAUUUAUUUGAUGUCUUAAAAUAGGCAAUCAGGGGGGAGUUGAAGGGGGACAUACCUUUGGAGGUGGAUAGGGUGAGACUGGAGAAAGGCUGAUAUUGUCAAAGCUAGGUGAGGGGAUGUGAGGCUCCUGAUCCUUUUCUCUGCCUUUACUGUAAAUAUGAGUAAAUAGAUAAAUGAUUUGCAUUGGAAUUGCACAUGAUGUCAACUGCACCUGCUUUCCUCUACAGAGAUGUGUUAUUAUUAUUUUUUUUCUGUUUGUUGCCAUAGGUAUGUUUUAUUUUCAUUAAUCAUACAAAUACUUUUCUAUAAUGUUCUAGGGAAAACCUGAGAAUUUGGCCAUCUAAUUAGGGGUCUCUUUAGAGAUCCACAGGCCAUUGGCAUAAGCACGUUGUGCCUGGGUUCACAGAGCAGCUUGUGGCUCCUGCCCAUCCCGGACAUGGCUCUUCCUCUACAUCAGGACUAGGAUCUCAAAGAUGAUGAGGGUGGGGAAUCCUCUAGGCUCUUAGAAGAUUUCACUCUGAUUCUGCUGAAGGGUUUUGAUUACCAGGGUCUUUGCCUGCAUCUCUGUUUUCUUAAGCUUGGCUUAACCCAAAUGGUGAUUUCCACCACAUCUGGCUCAUCUGCCAUUUUCUUACAGCAGUCAGGAGCAUCACCCUCUGAACAAAGUGGGGUUCCUGUGCUCCCACUCAUAUGGUGGUUAUUUCUCUUUGUCUUGUUUUAUGUACUUCAGUUAGGUUUUUAAAUUCAUUUGUUCACAAAGACCCUGUAGCCUUCUCUUAAAAAGUCAACAAAGAAGAAAACAAAAAAACUAAUUGAUCUUCUUUAUGCCUUGAAUCUGGUGUGUGUGUGUGUGUGUGUGUGUGUGUGUGUGUGUGUAGCUAUUGCAUUACUAAUUGUUGGAAUAGAGGAAAACAUUGCUUUGUGAUUAACUGUCUUACUUAACUUAAAAAUGUUUUUUUCUGUUUUACUUUAUUUUCUUUCUUUCAAGUAGAGAGUUCUAUGAUUUUCAAACUAUGAUAGACUUGCCUCCUUCAAUAUGUAUGAUUCUCUUUUAUUGAAUUUAUAACUAGCACUUUAUACACAUUAUGAACUGUGUUAACUGAAGGUGGUGACAGUGGGUAUCCUGCUGCUGUUCCUGAUUUUAGUGGAAAUGUAUCUAAUCUCUCAUCACAAUAACACUGGUGAUUUGAGGAAGGUAUACUUUAUUGUUCCAUUUGGUAGAAUCUUAAAAAUAAGUAUUCAGUGUUGAGUUGUUCCACAUACUUGACAUUAUUAGGAAGAAUUAUUUGUUUUUCUUCUCCUUAGACCAUAGGUUUCUUUCUAUUAAAGUCUUCUCAUAUUCCAAAGUGAGUGGACUCAUGGAUAGUCAGGAUUUUGUGGAGUCCUACAGAAAUUCCCUAAAUUGAUGGCCCUAUUCCACAGUUUUCCUAUUGUUGUAUUUUCCCUGUUGCUUCAAAGUGAAUUUGUGUAAAAGAAGAGUGAAAUAAAUGGACUGAAAUUUCUAUCUUAACAUUGGAAGUUUGGUAUAUUUUAUUGACUGUUAUCUACGGGUCAAAAUUUAUUCACUCCAAUUAAGGUGUGGAAAAAAAUGUCUUUUUAAAAAAAUUUUCCUAUAAGCAAUCUGGUAGCUCUAGAACCAUUGCUACAGUUGAUAAGAAAAAUCUUCCCAAACUUUAUUUCUUUUAGAGAUUAGUAUAAAAUAGCUGCUUUGGUAGAAAUAUUCAAUUAAUGCAAAGUUUUGCUGUACAUCACAAUUGUUUUUCUACUCUUUAAUUAGUUCCAACUGCCACUUCCUCCCCCCCCCCCAAAAAAAAAAGCUUCUGCUUGCAGGAGUAAACAUGCAUAUCCUGAUUCUUACUCACUAACAUGUGCUUCAAUGCUGGUUAUAUAAUCUUUCUGAGCAUCCAUUUCUUUAUCUGCAAAUUCGAUAUUAAAAAAUGGCUAUUUUGGGCUGGGGGAUGGAUAUAGCUCAGUUGGUAGAGUGCUUACCUUGCAUGUACAAGGCCCUGGGUCCUAAUCCCCAGCACACCCCCCUACACACACACAAAUGUGGCUGUUUUAUAUUUUAUAGAAUUUUGUGGGUAUUGAAUUAAUAAAUACAUUUUAAGUGACUAGAACAAUUCCUCACACACAUUAAAUGUUGAGUAAAUGCCUUUAAUUAUUAUACUAAAAUCAUUGUUCUUCUAGCAUUGGGAGUACCAUUUGUGUGCCAUUUUUCCAUUGAAUGCUUUUGGAAUGGUUUGGUCUCUUUCUCUUUUACCUACUCUACUUUUAAGGGACAUGAAGCUGUUUUAAUAUUCCUUUGUUUUAUUCUUUUGGCAUAAGCAAAGAAUAGUAAUUACUUUUAGGUAUUUCAAUCAUCUUUGGUGUCUAGCUCCUGCUGGGGCUGUGUCUAGCUCCUGCUGAGGCUAUGUAUUCUAUCUCCCUAGUAAUUUUUAAUUGUAGGACAUCAAUAGCACUCCUUUGACAUGGUAUAUGAUAACAUCUUCAUGGUGGUGGGAUUUUAGGUAAGUUGGAAAUGGAAAGACCCUUUAGCCAUAAGUUUCUUUCCUUCUGAUGCUUAGAUUUCAGACAAUAAAUUUGGUUUUAUUUUUCAUCUUAUAUGUUUUAACUUAUGUUACUUCUUCAGUGAAUCAUAUUACUUCUUCAGUGAGUUAUAAAACUAAAAUUCUGGCUUUUCAAGUAUCAUGGAUCCUUUGAAAAACUGAGCUAAUAAGCCAUUGGGUGAUACAUGGUAACCAGAUAUUUAGGAAAGAAUAACUUCCAUUUUCCAUUUUCACUAAGAAAUUCAUUGAUUAGCAAAAUAAUCCUUAUAGGAUUUUGUCAUUGUGGAAUUCUACAUUCAUCCCUCAUCACCAUUAUGAAUGAAGAGGGCGCAAAGUCUAAUUUUAGGUGCCAGAUGGGUACCACAUGAGUAUCCAUGAUUCAGCAAGGGUUAUCAUAUGGCUCAUGCUGAACCCCAGUGAGUUAUCUUCUGUGUGUCAGUUUUCCACUUGUCUUUCAGCUAUACUGAGGCUGUUAAAUGUGCUGAGAAAUUUGGUAGCUUCUUGGGGCUAGCAGUUAAGAGUGGGUGUUAUAAUUUACUUUUUGUUGAAAAAGGGAUAGGAUUCAUUUUGAGGCUAUUCAACAAAGCAUGAAGAAAGAAAUAUCAGAGUGAGAAGGGUUUCGGGCCUUCAGAUAUGAGGUUUGAAACAUUUAUGUGACCUUACUGAUGGCUGUGGAGAAGUCUAGGCCUGGACACAGACACUGAAGAUUAAUCUUGCACACAUUUGAGUGUACUGAGAAUUUGGGUGGCACCUCUCAUUUUGUAUCUGUGGAAUAGCAGAAUAAUCCUGGGUAGAGCACAUGGUAACUAAGUGUUUUUAUAGCACUAGUAAAAUCCAAGUCUCCCAAAACAUCUGAUACUUACUUAUUCUAGGUUGAGGAAGGUGAACAUAUUUCAUGGCUCUUAACUCUGUCAUCAGUAUAUAAUAUACCCUAAAGUAAAUUUUGGGUCCCCAUCCUCCAAUUUAAAGGAUUAAUUAAAACCAUAUUUUGCCUUGAUUCUUAGAGCUCAUUGAGCUCCUUGGUAUAAAAAGAUGCUUCAGAGGACAGAGUAACAUGAAGAUGAUAUUUAAGGAUCCCUUUCUUUGAGCUGAGUACAGUGAUGUUAUGUGGCGACGAAUAAGUUCAUCCUUUAGUCUGUGCAGGAGUUCUGUGGUGUAGGUUUAAAUGCCACAUUUAUGUGGACCAUGAAAUUGACAUUUGAAAGGGAUAAUUCUUCAAGACCACAACAUUGGGAAAUGGCCCAAACAGAAUAUGAAUUCAAUUAUGACUGAUUCCAAAACUCAUAAUAUUCCACUAAUCAACUUCAUUCUUCUCUUCUUACUUCCCAAGUCAACAUUUCACAUGUAAGUUGCCCAUUUUUAGGGAAUAUCUUGCAUCCCUUCUUCAGAAUAGAGUGAGCUUCAUAAGAACAAAAAGCAUUCUUCUUAAGAAUGAAAGAUGUUUGAAAAGAGUGCCCUACUGAAGGGCUUGACUGGAUUGUGUUGACCACCUAUGCCUUGAAAAGGAAAGAAAAAGAGUAUCUUGACAAUGAGCAUAAAUUUAUAUUAUAAUUUCUGCCUUACUAAAUCUUGACUUUGUUGUUUGGUACCGUUAAUUCCCAUAAAACUUUGUUAAAAUAGUUAAAGUCAUUAAAAGAAAGACAAAAAAAUCCAUUUCUUAGUCCAACUUAUUUUCUGUUGUUAUUUUAUUUUCAACAUUAAAAAAACAAAGCAACCCACUGAUUAGAACUUUCCUACAACUAUAAGCAAGCCUGUGUGCACUUUUUCAGUCUGUCUGGGUCUUAAUGACUCUACCACAGUAGGCUCAUUCCCUUGCAAGGAUGCUAAUGGGUUGUUGCUGCCCAAGAGGCAGAGAAUUGAUAUGUUUGGAUUUCUACUCCUAGUCUUUGGUUUCUUGGUUGUGAUAUUUUCCUUGUUGAUAUUUCUUUUAAUUAGCAUUGAAUUUCUCCAUUUUCUGUCUUGCUUUUCUUCUUUUUGUGUAGUCUGCAGGCAAAGACUCCUUCAAUAGCAAUUGUUAUCAGGGAGAGACAAUCGCUUGAGGGUUCAGAGUUACUUGGUGCUAGGGUGAAAGUUGUUCUUCUGCAGCCUCCGUUAGAUCAGCUUUUAUGCACCUAUCUUAAGUAAGAUCUACAUGAUGCUCUGUCAACUCCCCUUGUCUCUUUAUCUUUAACUCAGUUAUUUUCUUCACAUUCUUAUCCCGUCCCAGAUGAUAUUCACCAAUAGUAGUAGAUUUUGCAGGAAAACGAAAAUUAGGAGUCAUUGCUGAUUGAUAAAUGGAAGCAACUACAGAGCAUGUUGGUUAAAAAUGAACUUUUGGAAAGGUCUGGCUGGCCAUUAUUUAGAGAUGAUAAUUUUGUUUCUAUAGUUUGAACUGAGAAAGCUACAUAUAAUUGAAUUCAGGAUCUAUGAUGUGGAUCUCUGUCUCUCUGCUCUAUUCAUCCAUCCAUCGGUCUAUCUGAAACUGUCCAUGUGUCAUUUGUUUUUCUUGCUCCAGCUAGAGAGGCAGAACAGUUCAUGUUUGAGAACCAAGCUGAUUUCAAAAAGGAAAGUCCUGAUUAUGGUUUGUAAUUAAUGACUUGUUGGCUGCAGUCUGUGCACACAUUCCACAGUGUGCCUUCUUCACAAUACCACUCUAAAGCUUCUCAAAUCUGAAAGUGUUCGAUGAGCAGAUUUGACUGUAAUCUGGUCCGAGACAGAAAAUUAUUGUAAAAGAGAAAGGCCUCAGUGCUUGGAUGAACUCCACCCUUCUUUGUAUGUGGCAGCAGCAUGAACCAGACAUUCUGCAGAGAUCAUCUUGAUGUCAUUUUGUUUUCCCUCUGGGAGACUCAAGGAUUUUUAUCCUGAGACUCUCAAUUGAUCUGUUCUAACUUAGCUGGUGAUGACACAUCCCAGAGGCUCCUACCAUAUUGGGCCUGAGGUCAGCAGACUGUGCACCAUGCUGUCCUAUGAUUCAUAGGACAGAACUGCUCUGGUCCCCUCCCACUACACAGGCCUGGAAGGCCACCAUAAUGAGGCAGUGGGAAGGAGUGUGGCUAGGAAAGCUGUUGAAAGGAAGCUUUUGUUGUAACUUUCUUCCCUGCAGCAGGAAGCUAAAGCCAAAGCAAAGUAUUAUCAAGCAACAGACCCUACAUUUGAGAGAGAUGAACUAGAAGGGUCCCUGGCCUUGUAUUUAGGGUAAGCGUUGUAUUUUAGAAGGCUGCAAUUAUUUCAGAUGGGGGGAAAGGCCAUACAGCAUAGAAUCCUGGAAGGAAAUGUUAUUGAUUUGCUGCUAAAUGACUCAGCUGGAUCAUUUUGAAAUACUGGUCAAGGUGAGUAUUGAAAGAGUGAAUACUUUGGCAUUUCCACACCCUUGGAAGUGAAGAAUUGGACUUCCUUGGGAGCCAAAUGAUGUACUUUGAUUUUCCAAAAUGUUGAUUAUUUUAUAGUAAAUUUGUACUGAAAUCAACAGUAGCAUAUGUUCUCUUAUGUAAGCAUGGCACAUUAUUCAUUCAAUGGUCAUUUGCAGCACACUUCUGGGGUAUGGAGUUCUAUAGCCACUUCCUCUUCAGGGACAGAGGUCUGACCAGGCGUGCAACAUAGAUAAAAGUAACUUUGAAUCUCUACUUUCAUGUUCCUUUCCUUCUACAUGUGGGAAAACAUCAGUAUAUGAAAUGGCAUUUGAGUAACUUAAAGCCAAGUGUUCACAAGAGCAGAAUAACUCAGAACAGCCUUUGAAGCCAUUAGGUAUAUGAAUCACUUACUGCUGCCUGGGGGUCCCACACCAGCUAUUCCAAGCUGUCGGAGCACUUAGUGCAUUGUACUAUUUGUCUCUCUUCCUCACCAGUCUCCAAGUUCCUUGUGGAGAGAGAUAUUAUAUUUAUCUUUGCAUCCCUGGACACUAGCACAGUUCAUUGCAUACCACAAGUGCCUAGUAAAUGUCUAGUGAAUGAAUUAGUAAGAAGAAUCACUGUUAUCAUUUUGGGAGAAGGGAAGGGAUUAGAAUGAUGGCUUUGUAUGGGCAUAAACUACAAAGGAAGAGAUUCAUUUUUUAAAGUCUAGAAACAAAAUGUGCUUCCUUCUCAUAAUUCUAGUCAAGGGAAGCGGUUCAAUUCAGCAGAGUUCAGUAAACAUUUAUUGAACAUAUUUUAUGUGGUGACUGCAUGUCUGAGCAUGGAAUGUUUUAUGCCCUCAAAGGACUUAGAGUACAGGGUGAGAUGGCAAUGCUGUACAGGUAAAAGGACCAUUUCAACAUCAUUUGGCAAAUAUGCUGUUGGAGUAUUCAACUGAGAGAAGGAGAGGAAAGGGGCUUGACUUUGGGCCCCGAGGGGUGGGGCUGGGAUGUUGAGAGAACCAGGAAACUCUUCCAGGAAGAGACAAAAUAUGGGUUGAGUCUUGAGGCAAGAGAAACCAAGUAAAUAAGGAAGGAUGUGGAUAUGGGGAUGAGGAAGAGGGAAGAUAAUUAAGAACAAGGGCAUGGAGUGGGACACAAUAGGGAGUGUGCAGAAAGCUCCAGGUGUUCACCAUGACAAACGAGUAAAACCUGGUGUAUGAAGGCACAAGGGAUGGCACUGCAAGCAGAAGACUUAGUGACAUCUAUUCACUGUGUGAAGGAGAGGGAUUUGAACUUCAUGAUGUAGAUGGUCAGCAGCUAUUGGUUUAAGGAUGGACUUAAAGUGAGACAGUGUUGGUGACAAGAAGACCUACAAGCAUGUCCCCGAAAUAGUGUAGACACAAGUCUGGAAGAAAGCAGUGGGGGUAGACUUUAAAGACAGAAGAGAGCUAAGAAAAAGUGCAUGGUAUUCCAGCAAGACUAGAUCAUGGAUUGAGUACCUAUGAUAAGAAAGUGAGAGGACUAAGGAUUUGGGCUGGAGUGACUGGGUAGUUGUUAGUAUGGUGGCGUGUGGCGGGGAGAGGGAGAGAGAGAGAGAGAAGGUGGGAAAUAGAGAAUAAUAGAAGGAAUAUAUUUGGGGGUGAAGAAAAACGUUGAGUUCAUCUAUGGAGAUGGUAUGUUUGGAUAUUUUAAGUGGGGAUGCCUGGCAGGUAUAUGAAUCUAAAGCUCAGGAAAAGUCAGGGUCUAAGAUAUUUAUGUGGGAAUGACAAGCAUGCACAUGGCAACAAUAAAAAGGAAAAUUAAUGGAUUGUCCAUGAAUAUAGUGUAGAAUAGAGGUUCAUGAGUACCAUUUAAAAGCCUGGUGCUCUGCAAUCUUCCUGAUUAUUAUCUGGGGAAUUGGUCAAAAGCAGAUUCCUGGCUACCUCUCUUGGAAGUUCUGAUUCAUUGUGUAGAGUGAUCUGUACUUUGUAGCUUUCCUUGGCUAAUUUUAAUUUGCAAUCAUAUUUAGGAAACACUGAUAAAGAGUAAGAAUAAUGGAAUCACCUUUACUUUAGGGGUAAAUAUAAGAAGAUUAUUUUAUGAAGUAGAAAGAAAACAAACUAUCAGGUGGAGAACCAACAGAGAGUGAGAACAUAGAAGACAGAGGGAAGAGAGUUUCUGCAAGAAACAACAAUGUUACAAUAGAGAAACCUAGUCAGAGAUUUUGUGAAGUUUUUGCUAGAUUUGAAUAUAUAGAGGUUUAGUAUCUUUAAAUGUAGCCAGGCAUAAUGGAGGCAUGCCUGUAAUCCCAGCGACUAGGGAAACGGAGAUAGGAGAAUUGCAAGUUUGAGGUCAGCCUCACCAACUUAGUGAGGCUUCAGCAACUUAGCAAGAUCCUGUCUCAAAAUAAAAACAAUUAAAAAAAAAAAAACCUGGGGAUAUAACUGAGUGGUAAAGCACCCUGGGUUAAAUUUAAGUGUAGAAGGAGAAUUAAAACUAGGUUGCACUGAACUGAAGGAUAGAGGAUAGGAAUAAGGAAGAGGAGAAAGUGAAUAGAUUUUUUUUUUCAAAUAACUUGAUUGUGAAGAGAAUGAGAAAAUGAUACCUGCAGUAGACAGCACAUAGUGUUAUAAGGAUGAUUUUCUUUUAAGGGGAGAGACUCUCAAGAAAAUACUUAUAUUUUAUAUUUCAAUUUAUUUCCUGAGUUAUUAUAUAAAAGUAUAAAAUAGCAUUAAAGUUUUUGGUCUUUAUUAGCAGCUGGGAUCAGAGCAGAUUAUGGGAGGGAAGGUGGGAGUAGGUGGAAGAAGAGAAACUCCUCAUCCUUGAUGGGAGGAGAAGAGAGAGGGGAAGUUCAGCUGGUGUAAGGCAGGAAGCUGAAGUGCUAUUUUGUUUGUUCUUUUGUUUUUCCUAUCAGGUGCUUAACUUCUGUGCCACAUCCCCAGCCCUUUUUUAUCUUUUAUUUUAAGACAGGGUCUUGCCAAGUGGCUUAAGGCCUUGCUGAAUUGCUGAGGUGGGUCUCAAAUGUGCAAUCCUUUUCUCUCAGACUACCAAGACACUGGGACUGCAGGUGUGUGCCCCCACACCAGGGAUAGAAUAUUUUGGAUGGAAUAUUCAGGGAGAUUUUAAGAGGCUCAAACAGUUCAAGGGUACAAAGCUUGUUGAUAUCAAAUGCUUGUGAAUGUCAAACCUUGGGGAAGAGCUCUAUUGUUAAUUAAUAUAUUGUUUUCUGAAUGUUUCUUACUUUUCCUUUGACAUUGCAUUUUCUCCAAUGGUAAGAAAAUAUUUUGUAGAGCAAGCCCUGUGGUCCUUUAAAACCCAGAUCUCUCGCUUGCUGAUCCAGUUCUGUAUUUGCAUUUGCCUCUGUGUUCCAUGCUGUUUACACCCCCAGAAACUAGCACUGGGAAGGACCCCCAAAACUUCAAUUUUCUUGGUGAAGUAGAACCUGGAGAUCUUCUUUUUGUAGUCACCAUUAUUAGAUCCAAAAGAAAAAGGAAAGUUGCCCUUUGGUUGACACUCAGUGGAGAAUGGGAAAAGCAGGGUUGGGGAGAGAGUAUUUCUUUCCAGUUAAGUCUUUUCCAAGACUGUGGAUUCCUAAAGGUUUAACUACAUAUGUGAAAUACCAAACUUGUACACCUGAAAGCAAAUGAAUAAAUGAAACAUCUCACAACCUCCAGAAUAAUUACAUGAGCAAAAGCUAGUACUUUUAGUUAUGCUCUGAAGUAGGAAGAGAUGGUUAGUGAGUUGUUUUCUCUUCAAUCAAGUAUCUGAAUCAACAAUCUGACAACCCCCCAGAACUAUCAUAUAAAUCAAGCAAGAGCUUUUAGUUAUACUCUAAAGCAGGAAGAGAUGAUUAGUGACUUUUAUAUUCACUCCUAUACUUUCUUUUUCCCAAGUGUUGAUAAUUUGAGAAAGCAAAGAAAUACAGAAGCAAGAACAGAAUCAACCAUAAUACUACCUAAUUAAAGUAUUAAUAUUUUACUAUAAAACUUUUCAGUCUUUUCUCUGUGUGUAACUUCUUAUAGGAGCAUACUUCAUAUAUGACUUUAAUCAUGCUUUUUUUCUUUAACAUUUAAUACAGAAAUUUUCUCAUAUAAUUAAAAUAUUGUGUAAAAUAUAUAUUUUAUCUGCAUCAUACAACAGGUUUUUUUUCACAUUUUACUUAGAAAUUCCCUUAUAAUUGGAUGCCUAAUUUUUUUCCAAAAUUUUCAUUAUUAUAAGUAUUACUGCCAAGAAUGCCUUUGUAUACCAAGUACUUUUUAUAUUUCAAUUUAUUUCCUGAAUUAUUAUAUAAAAGUAUAAAAUAGCAUUAAAGUUUUUGGUCUUUAUUAGCAAAUUCCUUUCAAAGGAUUUAUAUCAUUUUGAAAGCUUAUUGGCAAUAUAUGAAACACUUAUUUAAUCAUAUUCAUACCAUUAUUCAGUAUUUUAUUUUUAAAAAUUUUACUAACAUGUAGGAAUGAUAGAAACAAGAUUUUAAUUUUCACUUCUUUCAUAAACAGUGAAAUUUAAUAUUUUCCACAUUUUGCUACAAUUUUAUUUCUGAUUUUGCAAAAUCUGUACUUUUUAAUUACAAAGCUCAUAUGUAUCUUAUGGAUUUGUGCCUUUAAUUUUUUAACAUACUAUGUGGUUACUGUAUUAAACACUAUGGAAAGGGCAAAAGAGUGAUAACUCUUUUCAACCUUAAGGAACUUGUAUUUUGUAAUCAUACAACUUGCUUAUUGAAGAGGCCUUACAAUGUACCGUGUUCAACUCUCAGUUGAGGAAGCAGACAUCAAAACCACAAAACAGUGAAAAAAAAAUGAGCAAGACUAAAUGAUUUUGUGGAACUACUAGGGUUAUAAGGAUGAUUUUCUUUUAAGGGGAGAGAUUUCUUGGUUGUUGGAAUUCAGGAGAACUAGAAACCUGUGUGACUUGGAGCACCAGGGGAAAUUGUCAUUAGAAGAAAGGGCUUUUGUUGGGCUCUGAAGAAUGGAAAGAAUUUAAAAAGGUGAAAUGAAAAAUUUAAGAGCAUGAAUUUAGGAUCACCAAGUAGGAAUAAACAUGUCAUAGGGGUUGGAGAGAUUAGACAAGUCUAAGUAGGCUGGGGAUGGUGCUGGGCAAUAGCCUGUGAGAUAUGGCCAGAUUAAACCUGUGAAUCAUGGAUCACUGGACUCCUCCCCUUGACAGGCCUCACUCCAGUCUCUGCAAGUGCCCUGCAGAGAAGGGUGCCUAGAGAGCAUGACCCCCAAGGAGGAUAUUCAGGCUCACCCUUGUGCUGCAGGUAGACUGCUCUGACUUCAGCAAGAGCCAAUUUGUCAAACUCUGCUGAGCAGACUGCACAGUGAUCUGGGUUGAUCUAAAGAGCUGGUUUUAGGAAAAUCAAAACAAAGUAUGAUAUCAUCAGUUGGAGAGGUACUGGUGUGGAGUAUAGGGGCCUCAGUCUACUUCCUGUGUUGUCCAAGUAAGCUCUAUGACUUUAGGUAGAUUUCUUAUGUUCCCUAUAGCUGGAUUAUAUUGUAUACUGAGCUCUCGGGAGGUCUCAGCCUCUGUAACCUCUAACAGGAACUCAGCUAAGGAUCACCUGUACAGGGCACCCUGGAGAAAAGAGAGUAUGUAAAUAGCAAGAAACCUCUGUUUUCUUCUUCAGAUCUGGACUAAGGUGUCCUUUCUCUUAAUUUUCUAGUUUGAAGGGUGUGAGUCAAUAUCUGGUACUUUCUUCCUUUGUCUCUGCCACACAUGUAACAGGGCACCAGUGGAAGCAAAUGCCCAAGUUAUCUAAUGUCUUUCUGUGUGGGGAGGUCAUUUUAGUAGGCAUUGAUGAGAUAAAGGUAAUAAUUUAAGCUUUCUUGUGAAAACUCUGUGUUUCCCCUCGUAUGCUUCUUUUCUUCCUUUUAUUUUGGGCAGGGGGUGGGGAGGGGGUGUUACCAGGGAUUGAACUCAUGGACUUUGACCACUGAGGCACAUCCUCAGCCUUAUUUUGUAUUUUUUUUUUUUUUAAUUUAGAGACAGGGUCUCACUGAAUUGCUUAGUAUUUCACUUUUGGCUGACCAAUAGCUUUUCUAGUAUUUGUGGUUUUGAACUCAAAAUCCUCCUGCCUUAGCCUCCUGAGCUGCUGGGAUUACAGGCAUGUGCCACAGCACUGGGCUGGCUUCUUUUCAAAUAUUAGCUGUUGCAUAGCCUCUUACUAAUUUCUUGCCUGCACUUACUUCAUUGUGUAAACCUUGGUAACUUGACCCUGAUUUUACUGUAUCUCUUUGGUGAUGUCUUUUACAGUGAUGAUAUUUCCUUUAUUAAUGUACCAUAGCUAGUUUCUUUUUUGUUUAUUUUAUUUCAUUUUUGGUUGGUACUGAGAAUUUAAUGGAAGGGUACUUUACCACUGAUCUACAUCCCCAUCCCUUUUUAUUUUUUAUUUUGAGACAGGGUCUUGCUAAGUUGUGGAGGGCCUUGCUAAGUGUCUGAGGCUGGCUCUGAACUUGCAAUCCUCCUGCCUCAGCCUUAUGAGUUGCUGGUAUUAUAGGUAUGAGCCAUAAUGCCUGGAUAGUUAGUUAUUUUUUAUUGAGAUUAGAAUCUAAUUAAGGAGGCUGAGGAUAUAGAUAAUGCAUAACAAAAACAAGCAAACAAAAACUCCAACAAAUAUAAUAUCUAACAAAAGGGAGAGGUUGUCAAUUUGUUUUCACUUUGAUGUCUAUUUUAUGCAGCAUUGAAAACUAUAUCUUUUGAUGAAGUGAAGAAGACACUAAGUUGGAGACAGAGCUAAUAAAUUACGCCUUGAUCGUUAGGCAACUACACCCCAAACACUUUUUCUCCCCUGAAUCUAGAAAAUUCGAUGUUAGUAUUUUAGUUUAAUUUAGUACCUGGCAUGUGGGUGCUCAAUAAUUUUUUUCAAAUUAAUUCAUUAGAGUGGCUUUAUGAUCCAGCAGCCACUAUAUAAUUGAAUUAGUUAAUAGAAGAAAACAAUAAAAUUUGGAAAGAAGGGAAGCAUAGGAAAUUCUUCUGAAAUAUACAAAACAUAACCAAUAGCUUUUCUAAUAUUUGAGGAUGAUUUGAAUCCUUUUUGAUUCUUAUUCUUGAAUAUCAUUAGGCAUUGGCACAUUCUCUGUUUAAAUGAUUAAAUUUUUAUUUGCAGGGAAACUUACGGUUUCCAGAAAACUUUUGAGAUAUUAUCUAAUUAAUUCCAGUAACAACUUGUGAGGUGGGUUGUACAGAUAUUGUUAUCUCCACUUUUCAGAAAAGCAAGCAACUGGUAAAGGCGAAAAGAGAAGGGAUUUUCCUAAUAUCAUACAGCUUGUGUAUAUGAAAUAGUGAUGAAAGCAGAACUCAUUUCUUCUGAUGACCAGUUCAGGGCUUUUUCAGAUGUAUAAAUCCUUAAUCUCUAGGAAAGAAGCUGUCUGAACUCCCUUAUCCUCGCAUCGAAGCUGAACAAUUUAUACAAGUGCUAUGGCUCAGAUUCCUUCUCAGAAUGUUCCAGCAUCGUCCAUCUUAACUGCCUCUUCCCUCCAUUUUUAUUUCUGAAGUAUUUUCCCUUCAGGAGCAGACUCUUCUUUCUCCCUAAUUAACUUUUAUGUGGAAACUUCUAUCAUAAUGAAAUCACAUGUGCCCAUGUUCGCUUGCCUGGUUUUCUUUUUAGUGCACCUGGAGGGAGAAGCAUUUUCUGCUGUCUCACUGCAUUAUCUUGCUGAGGGGAGGAAUAUGUAGGAACUCAGAUAACUACCUUCCUGAGAGUCAACCUUUUUUUUUAUCAAACAUUCUUUGGUAUAGGCACAGCUUUGAUAUUAGCAGAAGUUGCCCCUUGUUGAUAAUUAAAAUGCAUUGGUUCAUGAUGUUGGCAGCAAAGCAGCCUGGCAACAUAAACACAAACAUGGACUGUGGAGGCAGAUCAGGUUUGAAUCCUGGUGCUGCUACUUACUGGGCAAUUUAGCUCACUUUCUGCAGCUGAUUUCCUCUUCUGCGCAGUGGGGAUAAUAUAUUAGCGUUAUCUACCUUGCAGGGUUGUUGAGAGUGUUGAAGAUAAAUCAUGGGUACUUUGCUUAGGGUGAAGGAGGUCACAGAAAAAUACCAUCCUCUUGCUAGACUACAGAUCAAAUUUGUGUGGCACAUCUUCCAUUUCCCCUGAAACUCCUGUACCCUCCCUGCCCUAGCCUAGGAGACUUCCUGCCCUAGAAGGCUGACCAGCGAGAAACCCAUCAGCAGCUUCCUUUGCCCUCUGGCCCAGUGGAAUUUGGCUAUUGGAGGGUCCUGGCAGGAGAUCAGAGGCAGGGAGGAAAAUGAGAUCCUGUGCCUUUCCUCAUCUCUUUCCUUUCAGGAUUACCUGGGGCUAACUAUGUCCCAGAGAGUAACUUCCCUCUUGGAGGCAACCUGUUCUGGCUGAGGUGACUCUUUAUUCCUAGGUAUUGACAACCCAUCCCCUCUGUGUACACCCCCAACCCCAACCCCAACCCUGGGAAUAGUGGAGUAAACACUCCAUCACUGCUAGCUCCAGAGACUGCACUUCUUAUCCACAUCAUCUUCAGUAGUCUUUACUAAACCCUCUUAAAUGAUCCUAGUAUUAAUAUGCUGCCUCUUUACCCUGGGACCCUAACUGAUACAUUAUUCAUUAUUUUUUAGUUGAAAAUGUUUGCCUAGGAAUGUUUUAAAUAACGGAGAUUAGCACUUUGAGGAGAAAACAUAAAAUUGGUUCUUUUCAUUGUUUCUUGACAUUUGGUACUAAGAGAAGAAAAAGAUGAUGAUGAUGAUGAUGAUGAUGAUGAUGAUGAUGAUGAUGAUAGCCAUAGCUAAGCAUCUCUUAGGUGCUAUCUCUUAGCCUACUUCAUAUACAUUUUCUCAUUUGAGCUAAAAACUCACAUGUAUAUUAUUAUUACCACCCUUUUUCUCAGAGAGGUUAAGUGAUUUACCUAAAGGUAAUGCAGAACACUCGGGAAGAGCUGAAAUUCCAAUCUGUACCUAUUUGGUUCUGAGGUCCACACUCUUUUAUGGAGGACAUGCUUCCUAGGUACCAGGCUGAGAAGGGCCCUUCUGUCAGCAGUCAGUUUUCAAUUAACUGCAUUUGUCUAUUCAAAUUGCUAUAGGUUCUAAAUUCCUAUAGGAAAGCACCUCUUAACCAUGGCCUUUAAAGCUCUCAAAGUAAACUUUUUAAAAAUUUGAUUGAUUCAGCAAAACUUAUCAGGUCUAAUCCAUUUUUUGUCUAAUUUGUUAAUUUAAAAUCUUUGAAUCACUUGCUCACUAUGGGCAACUAUUUCAUGGUUGCCUAUAAAGGUACUCAUUAAUAUAGAAUAUAUAAUUAAAUUAAAUAUAUUCUCUGAUAAUGUGUAAGCUUCCUGCAGCACUUAAUUUUUUCUUUCCUUCCUCAGUGUAGUGUAUUUAGUUUAUGGCUUCUGUUAUUUUGAUCCACUUCUUAAACUAAAUGAAUCACAUAAUUUCAUAGUUUCCUAGAACCUAUAAAGGGCUCAGCAUCAUGACUACUCUGUAAAGGUGACUAUGCUCCUGGAGGUGCACGAGUUGAGAAAUUUCUCUUUGUGGAUUAGCUCCUCCCUCCAAGCUCUGCGCUCUUAAAAUAAAAGUCCAAAGACACUCAAAGAAACAGCCUUUUUUUUUUUUUCUAGCAAACUUACAUUUGACUGUGCAUUUUUUUCUCUAAUCUUUAGGCAAGUAUUUUCAUUAAGUUCAGAAGAAAGCUUUUUCCCUCAGUACUCUUUGGGUUCCCAAGUUGCAGCUAGGGAACUCUUAGCAAUAAUAUACUCCAUUUCUUUGUUUUUAACUCCAUCUUUUGUUUGGCCCCCUAAAGCUAUCUGCCUUUUAUUAUCAGAAGUCUUGAGGGGUGACUUACAUAUGUUCAAAGCAUGUUUUAUCAGCCUUGAGAGAAUGGCAGUGCAGGAUGUUGAAGAGCCUGGUGAAGGUCCCUCUCCACUGGUGGUCCUGGGUUCUCUAAAGCUGAUGGAUGGCUUCAUACUGGGGCCCACACGGACACUGUUCCCUGAAAUCUUGCCCAUUUUUUUUUCAAUCAUUUUAGUAAAACUAGAUCAUUUAGAGCUUGAUUAGUAUUACUCUGUUCCCUAAACCUUAGGCACAGGUGUCCUUUCAUUCUUCGUUUUUUUCCCCUGAGAACCUUAGGACAAUGCAAAUAAUGGAACUAUAUGCUGCUGCUAGCAUUGACCUACACCUACAAUGUCAGCUUACAUCUGUAUUGUAAGAGUUUUUGUGUUUUGGUGAUGCUUGUUUGCCUCAUACCCUUUCCCAUAGAGUAAGUUCUUUCCCCAAUUGCUCUUUAGCCCACAUGCAAACAUAUCCUAUGUAUAUGCAAAUCGUGGUCAGAUAUAGUAGACAUGAAGACAACACAUACAGCUAUUAAAUUUGCUCUUUCCACCAAACACAGAAUCUUCAUCCUAGUCUCUAGUGGAAAGUGAAGUUCAGGAAAUAAGGCCAUCAAUAUCAUUUUCAUGACAACUCUUUUGAAAUGUUCUUUGAAUUACAGCUAUUGCUUAUCUAGGUAAAGUGCCUUCAAUUUUCUCAAGCAUUCCUUGCAACCUCUUUGAACUAAAGGAAUAAAGAACUCACUAAGUUUACUGAAGAGCCACUGGGACGGCAUCAGUGUCUUGUGGAUUAUUGCUCAGGAAAUCAGAACCAUGACCCAGCUCCCAGGCUCUUUCCUUCAGAUGUAGGAAGAUUCCCCAAGUGGUGGACAAGGCUCAGUUGAUGAUCUCUUGGUUGAAAGUUAAGGGUCCAAAAUUGUCCCAGUAAGAAUCAACACAUAGGGGCUGGGGUGGUGGCUCAGGGGUAGAGCGUUUGUCUAGCACAUGCAAGGCCCUGGGUUCGAUCCUGAUCACCACAUAAAAAUAAAUAAAAGUAUUGUGUCCAACUACAACUAAAAGUAAUAUUUAAAAAAAGAAUCAACACAUAAUACAAUUCAGCUACAUAUUCAUUUCUUAUAGUAACAUUAGGUUGUGGUUACCAUACCUAUUUUUUUCAGCCACUGAAAAAGUAGACUUGAAUAUUUAAUGGAAAACAGAUGGUGCUUGAAAUCUCUAACUUACAUUUUAAAAAAGCUGUUUUGGAAAUGUUGUUUGUAUGUACUUUUGCUGUUUUAAACACAUCACCAUUUUAGCCUGUUUUGAUGAAUUAUUUAAGAGUUAUGUUCCUAGGCCAAAAUAGCAUUUUGAAGUGCACGUGUUAAUCAUAUACUUGAUUAAACAUUUCCUUGCUUUUUUUUUUCCAGCAUUCCAGUUGGCUUUUGAGUGGAUAAUUGUGGCAGUGAGAGCACUGACGUUGGAAACAACUAGUGCCCGUUUGGAUUACUUAAAACACAACCAUGAAAAGAAAUACGUGUGAUUUGCUUUCUCGGAGCAAGAGUGUAAGUACCUUUUAUUUUCGUUUAUUUUCUUAAAGUGUGUAUUUAUAACUUGUACUGUAUUCUUUGGAUUUUAAUGCUGCAUGUUUAUGAUUGGGCUUCUGGGAAACCUUUGUUUAUCUUUCAGUACACUAAUUGUAUGCAGCUUAUUAACAAAUGAAGACUUGUUUGUCAAUGUGGCCUGCCUGACAUUUGAUGGGAAUUCUCAUUCUGUGGGUUUAUAAGCCUUUCCAUUCAUUCAUAUUAGCCUACAUGAAUGAAGGUAUAAUAUGGAAUACCCUAGUUUUUAAAUGCAAGCAGCAAAUAUAUAGUUAAAUUGAAAAUGAAGAAGUUAACAUUUAAAUAUCAAAAUUUCUGGGCAAAUCUAAAAGCACAAAUUGAAAUAUGUCAACAGUACUUAAACUGAUCAUAUUCUGAAAGUUCUUUCCUUGCAUGAACUCUCUACUUGGACGUAGGUUUCUGAUCUCUCCUUUUGGUCUUUCUUUUUAACAUUUUAAAGUGAGCAUUCUCAGGACCCAGAAGAAGUUUAGAUCUUCUUUCUAAUUAUUUAGUGUUCUUCGGAUACCAAAUUCAUGAUAGCUUUUGGUUUUCUAUCAGCUUAUGAAAAAAGCUUCAAGAAAUAGAGCAACUCAAAGGAAGCUUCAUGAGGCAAGGAUGAAAGCAGACUGUUAAUUUCCAUCAGGAGAGCACGAAGAACAUGGCCCUUUGUUCAUUUACCCAGGGGGGAAAAGGCAUCCAAACAGAUGUGGUUGUGACGUAGGAGCAUUCAUUUGAAGGCACCAGAAAAACCACAAAUGCAAACACAUUUCUCUAGUAUGGGGUCUCUUUGUGUUACAUCCACUGAUUCUAUUGUGAUGGCCCAAGGCCAUCUUUCAUUCUUUCUAUAGAAUUACUAUGUAGUUUUUAAGAGUGAAGCAAGAGUAUGCAGAGAAGAAAGUACAGUAUGCCUAAUAGGGUUUCUUUAAAAAUGAGGAUAGACUGAGAGAUAUGCCCAUCUUUUUUACUGAGUACUGUGUUUAAUAACCAACCAAAUAAAUUCAACAAACUCUGAAGGAAUGUUCAGAUUCAUUUGUUUUACUAGUUGGUGUUUGGUUGUAUGGGUUUUGUAUAAAAUAAAGGGCCAGAGCUUUGAGCCUAGAAUUCCUUUUAUCAUCAUACGGAAUUCCUCAUUGUAACAGGAGGUGAGCUGCAUACCAAACUGCAAACACAUCCCUUUGCUUCUCAGUGUUCCUAUUAUAAAUUAAAUAUGAAAGCAAACCAUUAACAUAAUGCUUUCUUCUUUAAUUUUAGAGACAUGUGAUAGGAGAAAAGUGUAUAAAAGCAAAGAGGAGAAUAUUUUGGAUAAUUAAUAUAUCAUUUAAACAUUUCCCUGGUGCUUGGAGGAAAACAUUUUUAUUGUAAUUUGUUAUAUAUGACAGCAGAAUACGUUACAAUUCAUAUUAUGUAUAUAGAGCACAAUUUUUCAUAUCUCUGGCUGUUUAUAAAGUAUAUUCACACCAUUCGUGUAUUCAUACAUGUACUUAGGGUAAUGAUGUCCAUCCAUCUCAUUUCAUCAUCUUUUUUAUCCCCAUUCUCCCUCCCUUCCCUUCCUACCCCUCUGCCCUAUCUAGAGUUCAUCUAAUCCUCCCAAGCUCCCCCCUCUCAACCCCACUAUGAAUCAGCCUCCUUAUAUCAGAGAAAACAUUCAGCAUUUGGUUUUUUGGGAUUGGCUAACUUCACUUAGUAUUAUAUUCUCCAACUCCAUCCAUUUACUUGCAAAUGCCAUGAUUUUAUUCUCUUUUAUCACUGAGUAAUAUUCCAUUGUGCAUAUAUGCCACAUUUUUUUUAUCCAUUCAUCUACUGAAAGACAUCUAGGUUGGUUCCACAGUUUAGCUACUGUGAAUUGUGCUGCUAUAAACAUGGUUGUGGCUGUGGCCCUGUAGUAUGCUGUUUUAAAGCAAAUGAUUAACUUAGUCAUAACUUUAAGGAACUGUGAAUACUUAAUGAUGCUAGAAGAUUUCCUAUUAUUUGUUUAAGGUGAAAUCUCUCAUUGUGGAAAGGCUCAACCUUCUUAGACUAAGAGAAUCUCAGCUGCCUACAUUUGGCCAAAUGUAAACAGCAGAGCUCUAAUUUCACUCCUUCCCAGCUCUUUCAGAAUCCACUGGCAUAAGGAAAGUAUCUCCACUUAAUUAAAUGACUCUAAGCAGGAGAUUCGUCUUUAACAGAGAAAAGAGCCCAUUUCUUUCCUGGUUAGAAGUUGUCAUUUUAGGCCUUCAAAUAUUUAUUUUGUACUGGUCUAUUAAUGUAACCUCCUCCCACCAGCACUUAUGUCUUUUUUUUUUAAUUCUAUUUGUUUUAAUUGGUUAUACAUGAGAGUAGAAUAUAUUUAUGCACUUUGAUAUAUCAUAUGUAGAUAGGAUAUAAUUUUCAUUUUUCUGAGUAUAUGUGUUGCAGAAUCACACUGGUCAUGCAGUCAUGUAUAUAUAUAAAGUAAUGAUGUCUGUUCUAUUCUACUAUCCUUCCUAUCCCUACGUCCUCUCCCCUCCCCUCCCUUCACUCCCCUCUAUCUAAUCUAAGGUAACUCUAUUCUUCUCUAGUGCCCUGCCCCUAUUAAUGUGAAUUAGUUUCCACAUAAUAGAGAAAACAUUCAGCCUUUGUUUUUUUGGGGGGAUUGGCUUACUUUGCUUAGCAAAAUGAUCUCCAACUCCAUCCAUUUACUGGCAACUGCCAUAAUUUCAUUCCUCUUUAAGCUGAGUAAUAUUCCAUAUAUAUACACCACAUUUUCUUUAUCCAUUCAUCUUUUGAAGGACAUCUAGGUUGAUUCCAUAAUUUAGCUAUUGUGAAUUGAGCUGCUAUAAACAUUGAAGUGGCUACAUCACUGUCGUAUGCUGCUUUUUUUUUUUUUUUUUUUUUGGCAAACUUUUCAUUUUCAAGCUGGGAUUUCAAUCUUGUUUAUAAUUGCUUUUUUUUUUUUUUUUUUUUUUUUUUUUUUGGCAAACUUUUCAUUUUCAAGCUGGGAUUUCAAUCUUGUUUAUAAUUGCUUUGUGAAGUUUUAUUUUGUAUUUAUAAAUACAUAUUUAUGUCUAUUGUAUAUUGCAAACAUUUUCCUGAUUUUUUUGUUAUUUUUUUGCAUUACAAUUCUUAUUACACAUAUAAAGCACAAUUUUUAAUAUCUCUGGUUGUAUACAAAAUAUAUUCACACCAAUUUGGGUCUUCAUACACAUACUUUGGAUAAUGCCUAUCACAUUCCACCAUCAUUUCUAACCCCAUGCUCCCUCCCUUCUCCUCCAACCCUCUGCCCUAUCUAGAGUUCAUCUAUUCCUCUCAUGCUCCUUCUCCCUAUCCCACUAUGAAUCAGCAUCCUUACAUCAGAGAAAAUAUUUGGCAUUUGUUUUUUUUUUGGGGGGGGGAUUGGCUAACUUCACUUAACAUUUUCUUCUCAAACUCCAUCAAUUUACCUGCAAAUGCCAUGAUUUUAUUCUCUUUUAUUGCUGAAUAUAUUCCAUUGUAUAUAUAUGCUACAUUAUUUUUAUCCAUUUAUCCAUUGAAGGGCAUCUAGGUUGGUUCCACAGUUUAUCUAUCUUGAAUUGUGCUGCUAUAAACAUUGAUGUGGCUGUGUCCCUGUAGUAUGCUGUUUUUAAGUCCUUUGGGUGUAGACAGAGGAGAGGGAUAGCUGGGUCAAAUGGUGGUUCCAUUCCUAGAUUUCCAAGGAAUCUCCAUACUGCUUUCCAUAGUGGUUGUUCCGAUUUGCAGUCCCACCAGCAAUGUAUGACUGUAACUUUUCCCCCACAUCCUUGCCAACAUUUAUUGUUGCUUAUAUUUUUGAUGAUUGCCAUUCUGACUAAGGUGAAAUCUUAGUGUAGUUUUGAUUUGCAUUUCUCUAAUUGCCAGAGAUGUUGAACACCUUUUCAUAUAUUUGUUGAUUGAUUGUAUUUCUUUUUCUAUGAAGUGUUUGUUCAGAUCCUUAGCCCAUUUAUUGAUUGGGUUAUUUGGUUAUUUUGGUGUUAAGUUUUUUGAGUUCUUUAUAUAUCCUAGAAAUUAAUGCUUUAUCAGAGGUGCAUGUGAAGAUAAUCAGUUAUCUCAUACUAACAAAGGUGCCAAAACAUUCACUGGAGAAAAGAUAGUCUAUUCAACAAAUGGUACUGACGAAACUGGAAAUCCAUAUGUAGCAAAAUGAAAUCAAAUCUCUAUCUCUCACCCUGCAUGAAACCAAUUCAAAGUGGAUCAAAAACUUAGGCACUAGGACAGAGACCCUGCACCUAAUAGAAGAAAAAAAUAUGCCCAUAUCAGCACUAAUGUCUUUGUCAUAACAAAAUCCAAAAUUGUACCCUUCGAAGUAGAUGUUUCCUGUUUUGUGGAAAAAGUUUUAAAUAAUUAAUUUGAUUUAGAAUCUAAGAAUGUUUUUCUUUGCCAUUUUGACAUUUGAAAACCCAGGGAAGAUUUUAAAUGUUAAAGCAGUUUCUGUUCCUCCUUCCAUACAUGUGGCUUUGUGGGUCUUGUAUCUGUCACUGUGAAUUAAGGCAUAUAAAAGAGGAGGGAAAAUACUAUCUUUAACCAAUCACCUUUUAAGCGGGCUCCCCUUCACAGAGGGGCAUAGCUUACAAGACUAUUUAGUCAGUCUCCAUGUUGUAUGAAAGAUGUGGGCAUAAGGUGGGAAGUUUUGUGGGUGAGUUCUGUUCAUCAUUACUUCCUAGUUUCUGAGAUUUCAAGUCAUGUGUGGUCAUUUAUAAAUUGAAUUGAACAUUAUUUCCCAAGUAAAUAUAUAAUCAAGGAAUUGGGGCAAAGAAAGAACAUUAGUCAGCUCUAGGUGUCACAACAAAAUGCCAUAGACAUAGAUGGUUUCAACAGGAACAUAUUUUCUCCAUGUUCUGGAGGUUGGGAAGUUCAAGAACAAUAUACCAGCUGACUCAGGUCUCAGUGAGGACCCUUGUCCUUGCUGAUGUUCUGAAGAUGGCCAAGUUCUUGCUGGCACCUCACAUGGCAGAGAUAGAGCUCUCCAAAGUCUCUUCCUAUUAGGUCACAAUUCCCAUCAUGUGGGUCCGAUCUUCAUGAUCUCACCCAACACUGAUUACCUCCCAGAGACCCCACCUCCACAUACCAUCCUACUGGGAAAUAUAAAUUUAAUAUAUGUGUUUAAGUGAGACACAAAUAUUUAGUCCAUAGCAGAGAGUUUGGUAUUUUGAGGAGAUGAUUUCAAUGUCUCUAUGAUGCGUACGCCCAAAGGAUGGCUAAUAUGGAGAAUCAAUAUAUUCUCUCAACUGGGUAACACUGAAAAUGACUUGGUCAACAUAUUUCUUUUUUAUUUCAUAAGGUUUAUUUUAGGGGAACUCUUCAUGAUAAUUUUUGAGUUUCUGAUAAUCUCCUCAUAGUCUUAGAGGCAAAUUUUAUUCAAAACUAGUUUUCCUUUCCUUUGCUAUUCUUGUUUUGCUUAUUUUAUAUUUGGUUUUGAUAUCCAGUCCAAUGACACAGGUCUCUAAAGUCCCUUGUCCUGUUAAUGGAUUUACCAGUUGAGCUAAUAUUUCAGAGGUUUGUAAAUUUCAGACUUGAUGAUCUGAGUCACCCCCAUUUCCUUCUACCAAAGCUCACUGUCCCACUGUAUUUUAGCCAAACAAGACAGGACAGGGGGACUGAACACAAACAUUUCCAUAGUAAGAGUAUAUUUUAAAGUUAGGGAUUAUUUAAAAGAAUUGUAGAGCAUUGUUCCUUAUGAUAUCUCUACUUUUAUACUCUCUGAACUCAUGAAUUUUUAUAAAUCUCAUCUGGUGAAUGAACUGGAUAGAUUCUAAUUCUCCUUUAUUAAUCAAUUCUCUUGUGUAUUGAAUUCUAAAAUAUCCUCAAGGAUUUUUACAUUAACUUCCUAAUUUGCUAGUAUCCUGAAUCAUUUUCUUCCUACCAGUUUGGAGAAAUUCAAGAUAUCAGAUGCUCAAUUGUAUUUAUUAUUUUCUUGAUGAAAUUGCCCUUUGUUUGACUUAGGAUUCUUUUGGAUGUUUUACAUUUGAAUAAAUUUGUCACUCACCAGAUGUCUUUAAUUGAUGUCCCCUGUUCUGUUUGAUAGAAUUGUUCUUUUUUAGUGAUUAUUCAAAACUGGAAGCAAGUCUUGGCUGUUUUCAGGGACAGGGUAUCUGGAAAGUUCUUUGCACACUGAAUUAAAGCCUAUACAAACAAGCUGUCAGUUUUGAAUCCAGAGUUUGGAACCCAUCUGGUAAUAUAUGCCCAGUAGGCCUUCUAGAAUUGCUUCUUCUCACAACAGACUUUAAAAAAUGUUAUCCAAAUUUAUUUGAUGCUUCAAAAAACAAAAGUAAACCUUUUGCAGUUGAACCUUUACCUUUCUCAUUUUUGGAGACAGUCAGUCUUCUAAUGACCCGAGGUCAGUAAUUUAUGCCUCAUCAUCUGUAUUACCUUCCAUUGAUGCCUAGUAGACAGGUCAGACCAAACAAAUUUUUGGAAAGGAUGAUACAUUUUAUUAUGGAACUUCAGAGCUAUCUACAUUUAUUAUUCCUCACAAUUACUCUGUCCAGUAGACUACUUUUGGUUUUUAUGGUUAAAGUAAAAACACUUCAUCCCUUCCAAGGCUGGCCUUCCUUUCUCUACUAUAUUCAUCACCACCUAAGAUGUGGGACUGACAGUUGUCAUAGAUUAGAAUCCUGACAAAGUAGUGUAGAAAAUACUUUUUUCUUAGAGUCCAAAGAAGGCCAGGGAAGAUACAGUAGGUAAAAAUGCUUUGGAAAAGGCAAAAUACAAAGCAAAAAUUAAAAUAAUAUUGUUGUUUGGGUCUUUAUCAGCAACAAACUGAAAUAAGAACUUGUAGAUUUAGAGAUUUCAUUUCUUGAGCCAUUAUUCCUCUCUUCCAGUGUGUGAUUUUUAUUUUACAAAUUCAACAAAUAUUUACUCAGGGGUUUUUAUGUGGUAGUGUCUGGAUAUCCAAUAUGAAUAAAAUCCUUGUCUCUACUCUUGAAGAGCAUACCUGAUAACUGAAUUUAUAGUUUGUAUUGUUUGUGAAAAUUCCUUCACUGCAACCCUGCUCAGCUGUGUCUGUGCCAUUGUGUUCUUUCCUUCUUCACUGGGAAGCUAAAGUCCUGUCUGUAAUCUCCAUGCACUUGCUCUUCAGCACAUUGUGGAUACCCUAUUUGGUGGAGAUAUUUUGAGCUGUGAAUAAUGUGCCCUAAUUGUCAAUUAUGCUCAUUGUUGCAGAAACAUAGAGUAUCUUAAAAUAGUUAAAAAGAAUCUUUCUCAGAUAAUCAACAAUAGUAUAAGAAUAGCUGAGAGUACAAAUGAAUGUGAGGAUGGCAAGAAAGGUCUGUAAGAAUAGGGACUGAUCAGCAACCAUUAGCUGUAUAAUCAAUCACGGCACAUGAUGGUUCCAGCAGCCAAAGCUAAUCAUUAAGUUUUUGUCUUAGAAAAACCUUUACUUUUUGCUGAUAUGUGUUUGCUUUUUCAUUCUGGGGCAAUUGCAAGUGGAAAUUUAAUUUUGAAUGAUUAUGUGCAAGAAAUAAUUGCAUAUAUUGUACUUAGCAAAUCAAAGAUGUAUAAAAAUGUAGAGGAGUCUUGUUGAUUGAUGAUGAAUAUUAAAGAAUCUUUCUUACCAGCAGGAUCUCUAUAACAAAGUGAAACUUUAAAGAAUUGCAUACUAAUUUGUUGGAGUUUUCAAUUAAUAUUAUUUUGCCCCAGAAAAAAAAUUUCUAAUAAAUCUUAUUUUUAAACAAAGCCAAUUCUUCAUCUUUAAAAUUUAGUUCACCAUCAUCUUUAAGAUUUUUAAAAUUUGGUCAUUAGUAAGCAAGAGUUUUGAAUGCUAAAAACAACAACAACAACAACACUUAAAAUUAUCAAUAUGUUUACUUUCUUUCUCAAUACUUUCAAGUGUAACAUGGGGAUCAUCCCUAACUUUUAGUUUAGGCUUUAUAUAUGUGUGUUUUGAUGGAGGAAGUGGGGAUAAGAGAACUUUAAUUAGAUUUAUUAUCAAAUGGCCCCCAAAUUUAGUUUUUUUUUUUUUUAAUCAGGGGUAAAAUGAAAAAAAAAAUACUGUGAAAGCACAUUGCAAAGUAAAAGCAAACAAACAAAAAACCCAAACCAACCGGACAUGGUAGUGCUCAGAAGGCUGAGGCAGAAGGAUUUCAAAUUCAAAGGUAGCCUUAGUAAUUUAGCAAAGCCCUGAGCAACUCAGCAAGACCCUGUUUCUAAAUAAAAUAUUUUUUAAAAGGCUGGGAAUGUGGCUCAGUGGUUAAGUAUCACUGGGUUCAAUCCUAGUAUCAAGAAAAAACAAACAAAACAAAACAAAAACCCACAAAUCAACCAGACAAUAAAAAUGUUAUAAGAUAUUCAGUUGUAUUAUAUGCUUCCAUAUGAAACUUUUUAAUUCUUAAGGAUUUUAAAAAUGGAAUUGAUUGUUCAAUAAAUACUGAUUCCAUAAAAAGUUAAAAAAUUAAAAUGGAAUUGAUCCAUCAAAAAUGAAAUCAUCAACAACAAAAAAUUUACUUUUGUUGUUGAAAAAACUCACUCUUGUCAGUUCACAGACUCCUCUAAGUUAUGCAAAUGAAAAGUCAUGAUGCCAAAGCCAAGGAUGUAUCAUGAUUAUAUGCUACAGCCCCCCACCUUGCUUUCCAGCUCCUUUUUUCACCAAAGUUGUGUCUCAUGUCUCAUACCUGAAACUGGGUAUACAGUCCCAUCUAUAGGACUGGGAAAAGACAUUUAGUUUAAAAUCUCUUAUAGUCAUAUCCCUACCCUAUGGUAGCAGUCUGGAUUUAUGUUUUGGCAAUAUUGCUUCUGUGUUAGGAAUUUGGCCAUGCCGUUAGCCUCCAACAUGCCUUGUCAACAAUAUUUAUUAAAACCUCACCAACUAUUUGACUACACUGUAACAGGUACAUUCCAUGGAGGCGCUUACCAAAUGGUACCUAAGAGACCUGGAGAUCACAAUUCACAUAUCAGUUUGGAAUUUAAGCUUUGUGAGAAUUUGGCUCAUUAAACAUUAAAAACCAAAUGUAUUAAAACUACUGAAGACAAGUGAUAACACCACAGUGCCACAAAAAAAAAAUCAAUCCUUUCUAGAAACUAAUUUAAAAUAGGAACCACAAAUUUUAAAGGUCCUUAACUCUGCUUUGUGUAAGUACUUUAAAAUAUUAUUAAAUGCUCAGCUUGUGUUUUUCUAGAAGAGGCCAUUACACAGUGUUAAUUUGCCCAUGGGGUUCCAUUUCAACACUAUAUGAAUCAUACCGAAAGAGACCUACAUGUUGCUCGGAAACAAUAGUCUCUGAAGGGAUAUUCCAAAAUAAACAAAGGAUUUGAGGAGAAGAUGGGUGAUUUUCAGAAUGUAUGCCUAUGAGGACUGAACAAGCAAAUGAUUUUUUUUAAGUUACUCAUCUAGGGAUUCACAGCAUGUAUUCCCUCAUCCAAAGCAAAUGAAAUAACUGCAGAGUAGUCAAAGAAAAGCAAGCACAACCUUGUGUGGAUAGUAGUGUCUGUUUAGUAAGCAUUUGUAUGUUCUGAUUUCCUGAAACAAUACUCAAAAAUGUCCUAAUACAAGAAGGAAGAAAUCUAAAACAGCAAAAAUAGGAACUGAAUGUUGGAUGAUUCAAAAUAGUUGUAGCUUAAAACUUUCCUACAGGGCUUUCUAGCAUUAGCCCAGUAUUUUUGAGGAAAUUUUGAAAGAGUCUUAAACCAAGAUAUUUCCAAGUUGUUGUUAACACCAUACUCUGAAUUAUAAGAAAUUUGAAUCUUUUAGUUCAUAGUUUUAAAAUCCUUGGUAUUAUAUUUAUACAUGUGUAUAUAAUAUAUGUAUAAGCAGACAUAAGUGAGGAACAUUAACAAAUAUGUUCAUUGAUAUCUGCUCAUUUGAAACCAAUAUCAUACUUUAUUUGAAAUAAUAUACAUCAUUUAUUAAACUAUCCUGUUCCUUAAUUUUAUAAAGUCUCCCCAAUAUGAAAAUUACCUUGCUGGUCUCUAUUUUACCUAUAUGUAAAAUGAAGGAAAUAGACUCAUUAAAAAGGAAGAUUUCUUUGAACUUUGAGUCUAUGAUUAUAUAUUUUCAAGAUUAUAUAUUUUUCAGAACAGGUUCAACAAAAAUUUUUCAAUUAUGAUACUUACAGCAAAGUAUCCAUUUUUAUUAACCCAAACAAUGGCUACCCUCCCACCCAAAGUAUAAGCAAGAUCCUGAUUCACAGAUUGAGCUCACUGAAUCUGCUCACUAUGCUUCUAUAGGUUGGGCCCUUUCUUCGAGUAUACAUAAUAACUUCAGAGGUACAACUCUGCCCACAGCAAAACCUUCUUCUAUAGUUUUAUGUAGAGCAGUUUAAACUGGAACAUCUACAUUCCAGGCAGGAACCUUAUCCUGAUCUUUGUCAAACCAAAGAAGCAACCUUUCCUUAGAGCUGGAAGAAAACUUUUUCCUUUAAAGGCACACUUACUGCCUGGCUCCCAUUCCCUGGUUCUACGAACACUAUAUAAGAUCAUUCUCAUUCUACUAAAAAUAAUGGAAAGCAUGAAAUUAUCCAUGAAUCAAAAAAAAAAAAAAUCACCAUUCUUACCCAGUCCUAAUCAUUUCUGUUUUUCCCAGAAGAUAAUCUCAAUGUCUUAAUUUCAGAGUAUUGAGGAAUACUGGCAUGAACUGCUCAGCUUCUGGUUUGAGCUCAGAACUGCACACAGCUGCAGAGUGGGCCCCUCCCAUUCUCACUAUAAGAAAAAAAAAAACUAUAUAAACUGCACAUUCAUGACUUUUAAAAAUCUAUCAAAGAAUUAAGACUGUAAGGUCACCAACUACCAUAAAAUCUGGGAAGACAGUCAACUGAGAGGAGAAAGACAAUGCCUUCCUUUGUUUACAUUUGCCAGAUGCCAUGAGAUAUCAUAUAAAUCAGUGAGAAGAUUCAAUUAAAAUUUUUCAAGAAUUUCCAAAGAAUGAGUACAAGCUAGCUUCAGAAUGUGGACAGGUAUAGGAGGUACAUCCUGUAGCAUAUUUUCCUCCAUAAAUCCCACCAGGAGAUUACAUGGAAGAUCAAGGAGAAUGGCAGCAGUGGCUGAAACUAGACUCAUCUCCAAAAUGGAAUUUAAGAGUUAAGUGACAAGAGUAGAACAAUUAAGAGUUGUUUUCUUAGGGUACUGGAGGUGACUCACUAUGGUGGGAGUAGGGGAAUGGUGAUGGUGAAGGAAACAGGAAAUGACAGUGCUCUAUCUCUGGGGACUACAGUUGGAGAAGGGGCAAGAGCAUUUGUGAAGUCUACAUCCCUGGAGACCCAGUGACACACACUGCCUACCUAAGACUAAGGCCUGAUUAGAACAUCAAGGACCAUCCUUACUUCCUGGCCCUCUAUCAAUAUCUUAAAAAACUGUGAGUAAAAAUAACAGUGGAAUUUGACUGCAAGAAUCAAGAGACAGAUUCUAUUUGGGGCCCAACAAUAAGAGAGGACCCCCCAAAAGGGGAAGCAGAUAUCAAGAAAAUAGCCACUGGUGAGCCAUUCUACAAUGUAAUCACAAGGGAUCACCAGAAAAAUUUGAAGCCUAUAUUUACUAUGGCCAAUUAUAGCAAUGACAUACCUCAAGUCCGGCCUAAUUCCUAUCUAGAUUAGCUCAGAUUUUCACACAGAAGACAUAGCAAAAAGGAAAUCAUGCUCAUCUUUAAGCAUAGGAAAGUAUUUACCUCAGUAUCUAUGAUCCACGCAAGAUAUCCACCUUUAUGAAAAUGCAAAUGAAAAUACUCUGAAGUGACAAAAUAAAGAAACCUCCCAUAUAAGGAAUAUAUGUGGAAUUAUUAAGCAGGGAAUUUAAAUUAACUACAAUCAAUACGUUAAAGGCUCUUAUACAAAAGGUUGGCAACAUGUGAGAGAAGUUAGCUAAUUUCAGCAGAGAGAUGGAAACUGAGAAAGGAAUCUAAUGGAAAUGGUAGAAAUAAAAACAUAGUAACAGAUAAAAAGUCUUUGGGUUCAUUAGUAGAAUUGACACAGCUAACAAAAGAAUCAGUGAACUUGAAGAUAAGCCAGUAGAAAUUAUGCCAACUGGAAUACAAAGGGAAAAAUCAGGGGAGGGAAGAACAGAGCUAUGGUACAUUAUAUAGUGGUAUAAUGUAUGUGUAAUUAAAAUCACAGAAGAAAGAGAAAAUGAUGAAGAAGAAAUGUUUGGAGAAAUAAUCGCUGAAAAAAUUUCCAAAAGUGAUGACAGACUAAAAAUCUCAAAGUACAUCAAACAAGAUGCAUAUGAACACACACGUGUAUGUGCACACAGAGGCACACACACAAACAGAAAGAGAGGGAAAGAGGAAGAGAGGCAAAUCAGACUUAAAUUUCUGAAACCCAAAGACUGUUAAAGUCACCCAGGGAGCGGCGUGGGGGUGGGGGGAAGCAAAUUACCUACAGAAGAACAGAAUUACAGUGAACUUUUCUGUGCAAACAAGAAGACAAAAGAAUACUAUCUGUAAAGUACCAAAAGGAAAACAACAACAAAAGCCCUGUUAACCCAGAAUUCUAUACCCAGUAAGAACAUACUUAACAUCUAAAGUGAAAAACUUUCUUUGAGUGAAAUUUUCAAAUCUGAUGUCUGCAAAGUAAUGUGUACCCAAGCCCCCUUUUCUCUUGUUGCCAUUGCUUUCCUUCAAGACUGAAAAGAGAGGGAUUUUUCUUAUUGAAGACUAACUCCUCUAUUGCCUCAGAGGACUUAGUUUCUUCGUUUCUUCUCUUUUUUACAUGUCAACUGCAGUAUUGCUAAUCUCUCUCUCUCUCUCUCUCUCUCUCUCUCUCUCUCUCUCUCUCUCUCUCUCUCUCUCUUUUAACCUUGGUUUUUGAAUGAGACCUCCCAGUUACUUUUGUUACUCCUGUGCAUUUGUAUCUCUUUAGGUAAUUCUGGUAACCCUAUUUUCUGGGCUAUAUGCUCCUUAAAUAAUGCUAUUCCCUAAUAUUCUAUCCUUGGUCCAGGAUUUUAAGGUAACAAGAUAUUUCCGUUUCUGUCUUUAACCAUAUUCUAUCUGACUAUCUCUUGAUUUUCAUGUCCAGCUAAGAUUUCUGGUCUUAGUCUCAGAAUUAUAUCCUGAUGAAUAUUGGACAUUUCUGACAUCCAUACAAUAUUUCAUACACUGGGUUCAUUCACUGUCCUUCUUCAUCUCCAAAAUAGGCUGCUAAGUAUUCUCCAUUGAAUUUAUUGCUCCAGUCUUCAACACAUUGCCCAAGUCAGAGCCCCAGAAAUCUCUCUCAACUUCUCACUCAUCAUUGCUUCCAAUAUCUAAACAAGCAAUGCAUGUCAGCUCAUGUCUCUGCAGGCUACAUAUUUACAAGUUCUCAUCUCAUCUCAUGUACUUAUUACUCUGAUGCCCUGGGGAUUACUUUGUUCUUCCUUCUGAAGCUGGGUCUCAUUAAAAUACGCCACUGUAGUAAGAAGUAGUACAAUUAUGUAAAUAUUGUGUAUGGAAGAUAGUGACACUUGAAUUACUAUUUCUGUGACAACCUUUACUUUUUCCUACUAGCUGCGUACUAAGUGUUACUUCAAAUCUUUUCACAAUUGCUUUUGAUUGAAUUUAAUUCAGCUCUUAAAGGCUAAAUUCACAAUGAAGUGGAAGCUGAUUUCAUGUGUGUGUACAUGCAUGCAUGUGUUUGUAAUUUAUAUUACAUCCAUUAUUCAUAAUUCAUUGUUUUGCAUAAAGUAAUUAUAGCAAAGCCUAAUUAUGCAUAUAUGAUUGUGUAUAUAAAUUGAUUUAAUGAAAUGUUACAUUAUUAAACCAGAUGUCAAGUGGAAUUAAGGACUAAUACAUAUGCAUGCUAAUGUGACUAAUAAUAACAAUAAUGAUAAAUUAUUUUGUACAAUGCAAGUUUCAGCAUACCAUUGAAACAUUUAUUUUUCCUCACAAAGACUUAGAAAUAGGAAAGGCAAUUUUUUUAGCAUUCAAUAUAUUUUAUUUAUUUAUUUUUAAUUGUUUUAUUUAAUUAUACAUGACAGUAGAAUGUACUUUGAUACACCAUAUAUAAUGGAGUAUAAUUUCUCGUUCUUCUGGUUGUACAUAUUAUGGAAUCACACUGGUCAUAUAGUUAUAUGUGUCCAUAGGGUAACAAUGUCUGAUUCAUUCUACUAUCCUUCCUAUCCCCAUACUCCCUCCCCUCUUUCCACUCCCUUCUACCUAAUCUAAACUACUUCUAUUCUUCCCUAGCCCCCACCUCACAUUGUGAAUUAGCAUCUGCCUAUCAGAGAAACAUUUGGCUUUUGGUUUGGGGGGACUGGCUUAUUUCGCUUAGAAUCAUAUUCUCCAGCUCCAUCCAUUUACCAGCAAAUGUCAUAAUUUCAUUCUUAUUUAAGGCUGAGUUAAAUUCCAUUGUGUAUAUAUACCAUAUUUUUAUAUCCAUCCAUCUGUUGAAGGGCCCCAAGUUGGUUCUGUAGUUUAAGUAUUGUGAAUUGAGCAGCUAUAAACAUUGAUGUGCUUUCAUCACUGUAGUAUGCUGACUUCAAGUCCUUUAUUUUUAAUUGUUUUAAUUAAUUAUAUAUGACAGUAGAACCAAGAAGUGGGAUAACUGAGUUAUAUGGUUGUUCCAUUCCAAAUUUUCUGAAGAAUCUUCAUAUCUCUUUCCAUAAUGGUUACAACAAUUUGCAGUCCCAUCAGCAAUGUAUGAGUGUACCUUUUUUCCUACAUUCUCGCCAACAUUUAUUGUUGUUUGUAUUCUUGGUAAUUGCCAUUUUGACUGGGGUGAGAUGAAAUCUUAGAGUAGUUUUGAUUUGCAUUUCUCUAAUUUCUAAAGAUGUUGAACAUUUUUUUCAUAUGUUUGUUGAUUAAUGGUACUUCUUCUGUGAAGUAUCUGUUUAGUUCCGUCGCCCAUUUAUUGAUUUGGUUAUUUGUGUUUUUUUUAGUGUUAAGUUUUUUUAGUUCUUUAUAUAUCCUGGAGAUUAAUGCUUUAUCAGAGGUACAUGUGGCAAAGAUUUUCUCCCAUUCUGUAGGCUCUCUCUUCAUGCUAUUGAUUGUUUCCUUUGAUGAAAGGAAGCUUUUCUACGAUGAAAAUUAUAGAACACUAAAGAAAAAAAAUGGAAGAAUAUGUUAGAAGAUGGAAAGGCCUCCCAUGCUCCUGGAUAGGCAGAGUUAAUGUUGUCAAAAUGGCCAUACUACCAAAAGCAUUAUACAGAUUUAAUGCAAUUCCAAUUAAAAUCCCAACAAUAUUCUUCACAGAACUAGAAAAAGUAAUCAUAAAUUCAUUUGGAAAAAUAAAAAACCCAGAAUAGCCAAAAAAAAAAAAAGAUCCUUAGCAAGAAGAGUGAAGCAGGAGACAUCACAAUACCAGACCUUAAGCUAUACUACAGAGUCAUGGUAACAAAAACAGCAUGGCAUUGGCACCAAAACAGAUAUGUAGAGCAAUGGUACAAAAUAGAAGACACAGAGACAAACCCACAUAAAUAUAGUUAUCUCAUACAAAGGCACCAAAAACAUUCACUGGAGAAAAGAUAGCCUAUUCAAUAAAUGAUGCUGGGGAAAUUGGAAAUCCAUAUUUAACAAAAUGAAAUUAAACCCCUAUCUCUCACCCUGCAAGAAAUUUAACUCAAAGUGGAUCAAAUACUUAGGCACUAGAACAGAGAUCCUGUGCCUAAUAGAAGGAAAAGUAUUCCCAAGUCUUCAUCAUGUCGGCUUAGGACCUGACUUCCUUAACAAGUGCAAGAAGUAAAAUCAAGAAUCAGAAAAUGGGAUGGCUUCAAACUAAAAGGAAUAACUUUUAUCUUCAUUUCAGGGAAACUCAAAAUACAUCUUAGUUAGGUUAAGGGAGUUAGUCAAGAUUAUACAACUAGUAAUGAGAGAAGCCUAUAUCUACUUCAGGUUGCCUAAUUUCAAAUUUCCUUGAGGUCAUUACACCAUGGAGCCUCACUCAUAUGACUAUAGGCAUCACUGGUAUGCUGAUAUAUCUAUUAUACCAUGCAUCUACUGAAAAUAAACUGUAACAUAUUUAGAGUCAAAUACACACACACAUAUACAUAUAUAUGUAUAUAUACAUAUAUAUUUAUAGUUAGAUAACAAUUGCAUCGUAAACUCCAGAUGUGUUUGCAUUACAUAGAGAGACAAAUGGUAUGUCAAGGGAGACUUUUAAAUUGUGAGUGGAGGCUACCCAGGUUUGUUGGGAAGAGGGGAUAAAUAAAAAGAAUGACUAUUUGCAUAAUGAGGUAUUAGGAAUUUUAAAACAUUUUGCUCCUGACUGUGUGUGUGUGUGUGUGUGUGUGUGUGUGUGAGAGAGAGAGAGAGAGAGAGAGAGAGAGAGAGAGAGAGAGAGAGAGAGAGAGAGAGAUUGAUUGAUUUUGGGGAGAGGCUGUGGAGGCUCUGCUAUGGAGCGAAAGCCUUUCCAGGGAUGGAGCCUUCACAGCAGGCAGAGCUUACAAGUGAUUUCCAAUUGUCCCUAUAUCAGAGAGGGCUCCUCUAAAGCCACAUUAGAAAUAAUGAGGUCUUAGGACUAGUUUUAAAGGUGUUGUUUGUUCUAUUUCCUUUUUUCAAACCUUUCCUUAAAUUUUCUGUAAUUACAGAUGUAUUGUCACAAUGUUGCCACAGGGAGUAAGAAAGUCUUGCUUUAGACAAAGAGAAGGGAGCAGGGAAGAGGGGAGAAGAGCAGUGAUGGUUGUAGAAUUGGAAUAUUGGCUCAGGGGAGCUGUAACAAAUCUAACCAGGUAUGUGACAGGAUGUUUCCUUUGGGUGUGCCCCAGAAAUACUGGAAAGGGGUCUGAAUGUUUCAUAGUUAUCUGAGGAGUGGGCUUUGCUUAUUUUUAUUUGUCCACCAAAGUCUGAAUCUUUGGGGCAUUCAAGUUCAUUAUUCCUCUCUUAGCUUUCGGUGAUUUGUAAUGGAUAUAUGAUUUACAUCCAUAAAUCAGCCCAGGUCAAUCCUGGUUUGAAAAUAUUAAAUGGAAAAUCCAGAAAUAAAGAAUUCUUAGUUUUAAAUUAUGUGCCUUUCUGAAUAACUUAUAAAUCCUUGUGUCCUCCUAAUCCAUCCUGCCUGCACAUGAAUUAUCCCUUCGUCUAGCAUAUACAUGCUGCCAUUUCCUACCCACCUUUUAGUCAUAUAGUCCAACAUUCAUCUUUGUUGUCGGUUUGAUUGUGGAGGUUUGCAAUACUUGAUUUCACACAACCCUCAUACAGGAGCUUAAAGCAACCUCAAAACACCUGCUGCACUCACCUCCUUCACCUUAUCAUAUAGCCAUAGUUUCAUCUCACAUAUCACAAGUAAAAGAAGGGUGAGAACAGUAAAUAAGGCAUUUUGAGAUAGACUGAGAGAUCACAUUCACAUAACUUUUAAUAUAGUAUAAUUAUUCUACUUUAUUGUUGGUUAUUAUUAAUCUCUUACUAGACCUAUUUUAUAACCAAACUUCAUUAUAGGAACAUACAUAUAUGAUAAUACAUAUUUAUGGGGUUUAGCAGUAUUUGUGGUUUAACAUAUCCAAUGGGGGUUAUGAAAUGUUCCACAUAUGGAGAGGGGAACUACUGUAUUUUGUGUAUGACUAUAUGUAAAUAUAGGUAUAUUUAUGUAUUGGGGGUACAUAACACAGGCAAUUAUAUUUUAAGUCAUUUAAUAAAGUAAUUUUAUGUUAGUGUUUUGUGAUCAAACUUUAUUAAGUGACUAUCAAAUGCCAACAUUUUAUGUAUAUACAUUCUUUAUUUAAUUUUUUAAAAAACUAUUCUAUGAUGCUAGUACUAUUAUUUUCUUUAUUUGGUGGAUGAAUGAACAGGUACAAAGAGGAGGUGAUAAUUAUACCUAAAUGCCUCUAAAAUACACAUUUGAAAUAGUAGCAUAGAAUAUGAGGAAAAGCCCCUUAAUUUUAUGUAGAUUUUACUAAUGAAACUGAAUAGUCAUGCUAUUUUAGAACCUUAAAGUUACAUAUAUAUGCAUUUUGAUCAAAAAUAAAUUUUAAGCCUCCUAUCUGGAUGUGAGCAUAUAACACUUUUUUUCAGUUUCUACUUUAUAAUCUCAAAUAGAUUGUAAGAAGGCUCCUAUGCAAAUAGCAAUUUCACCAAAGUAAUUGGCCAUCUAGUCUGUAUGACCGUUUGAACAUGUUUUCUCAAAUGCUUCAUCUAAUUAGAGGGGGGACAUUCAAAUUUGACUGUGUUAAAGUGACUAGAUGGGUUUUCAUCCUUCAUGGAAAAGAGAUUUAUAAAGCAUAUGUGAGUUUUGGAAUAAAAGAGCUUUUAUUCAAAUCUCUCCUUGGAUGAGUUAACCCUUCCUUCUACUUCAUAUCAAUGCAUUUUGCUUAUUUAAGUUUUAUAAUACCCCCGGUUAUUUUGCUGCAGCCGGACUGCGGCAUAAUACGUUUAAAUUAUUUUUUCUUCUUUAUGCAUCUUUAUUUGUUCUUUUUAGUUAUAUAUGACAGAAUGUACAUACAUGCAUGGAAUAUAACUUCCCAUUCUUGUGGUUGUACAUGAUGUGGGAGUUAUAUUGGUUAUGUAUUCAUAUAUGGACACAGGAAAGUUAUGUCUGAUUCAUUCUGCUGUCUUUCCCAUUCCCAUCCCCCAUCCCUUUCCUUCAUUCCUUUUUGUAUAAUCCAAUGUAAAUUAAUUUUCAAUUUAAAAACUAAAACUCAAUUUAAAAUUAAAUUUGAUCAAUCUCCAUUUUGUCUCUAUGUGCUACUUCAGUGGACAUUCAGAUUUGACUGUGUUGAAGUGACUAGAUGGGUUUUCAUCCUUCAGGGAAAAGAAGGAUAAAAAGCCUAAUUCUGAAAACUUCACAACAGUCUUCUUUAAUAUUCCUUCUCUGUGAAGAAUGUUUCUCUCUGUGCAUUUUCUUUUUUUUCCCCAGAGCUUUUGUAUUUGCAUUUAUUUUUCCUUUAAUUUUUUAUUACAAUGCUCUUUUUAUUGAUUUAAAAAAUGAUAGUGGAAUGUAUUACAAUUCUUAUUACACAUAUAUAGCACAAUUUUUCAUUUCUCUGUUUGUAUAUAAAGUAUGUUGACACCAAUUCGUGUCUUCAUACAUGUACUUUGGAUAAUGAUGUCUAUCACAUUCCACCAUCCUUACUAAUCCCCUGCCCCCUCCCUUUUUCUCUCACCCCUCUGCCCUAUCUAGAAUUCAUCUAUUCCUCCCAUGUUCCCCCUCCCUAUCCCACUAUGAGUCAGCCUCCUUCUAUCAGAGAAACAUUCAGCAUUUGUUUUUUGGGGAUUGGCUAACUUCACUUAACAUUAUCUUCUCCAGUGCCAUCCAUUUACCUGCAAAUGCCAUGAUUUUUAUUCUCUUUUGUUCCUGAGUAAAAUUCCAUUGGGUAUAUAUGCCAUAUUUUUUUUAUCCAUUCAUCCACUGAAGGGCAUCUAGGUUGGCUCCACAGUUUAGCUAUUGUGAAUUGUGCUGCUAUAAACAUCGAUGUGGUUGUGUCCCUAUAGUAUGCUGUUUUUAAGUCCUUCGGGUAUCGUCCAAGGAGAAGGGAUAGCUGGGUCAAAUGGUGGUUCCAUUCCCAGAUUUCCAAGGAAUCUCCAUACUGCUUUCCAUAUUGGCUGCACCAGUUUACAGUCUCACCACCAAUGUAUGAGUUUCUGUGGAAAUCAGCUGUAUAGGGGUCCUCUUACACUUUCUGAGAUGCAGUAUUCCGACUAGGUGAGACCUGGGUCAGGGAACAACACAGGAUGCUGCCUCCCUCUGGCCUGCCCUUGGAAUCCUCUGUGUGCAUUUUCUACACAAGAUAAUUUCAGGAAUCAAUUAUAUCUACCAAGGGAUAUGGUGUUUCUCUCUUAAAAAAAAUUGCAAUUCCUUGCAUAGUUUAUUACCUUACCCUUACAAAGAAGCUGCCAGGUUUGAUUCAUGUAUACUAUUUUGCUUCAUCUUUCUAUCCAGCUGAUGUACACAUUGACAAAUGACAAAGUCCAUUACAUUUUGUACAGAUGAACUAUCUUUAGUUCCAAAUUCCACUGCAGUUUAAUUUCUGAAGGUAGACUGAUUUUGUAAUAUAAAAAAUAAUUUUUUCCAUGUUUUUUAUUGGUGCAAUGUAAUUAUACGUAAGAUGGGUUUUGUUGUUACAUAUUCAUACAUGCACACAAUGUAACAAAAUAAUUUGGCAAUAUCAUUCUUCAGUAUUUCCACUUUUCCUCUCUUCUGCCUCCUGUCCCCCAUCCCUUUAUAUGUAACUAUAUAUAUAGUUAUAUAUAGGCACAUUAUCUUCAUUUUCUUUAUUUAUUUUUAUGUGGUGCUGAGGAUCAAACCCAGGGUUUCCACACGUGCAAGGCGAGUGCUCUACCGCUGAGCCACAACCCCAACCCCCCCAUCCCUUUCUUAUACUCUACUUAUCGCUCUUGAUUUUUAUGAGAUCUCUGCCCCCACCUUUAUUUUCCUUUUUCCUCUCUAGCUUCUACAUAUGAGAGAGAACAUAUGACCCUUAACCUUCUGGGUUUGGCUUAUUUAACUUAGCAUACUAUUCUAAAGUUCCAUCCAUUUUCUUGAAAAUAACAAAAUUACUCCUCCUCCUCCUCCUCCUCCUCCUCCUCCUCCUCCUCCUAUCUUAAUACAACUCCAUUGUAUAUAUGCACCACAGUUUUUUUUUUUUUAUCCAUUCCUCUGUUGAUGGCCACCUGGGCUGGUUCCAUAGUUGGGCUAUUGUAAAUUGUGCUGUUAUACACAUGGACAUGAAUGAAUCACUAUAGUAUAAUGACUUUAAUAGAAAAUAGUUUCCUUACUUCAGCAAUCAUGACCCUAACAUAUGCUGACAGAUACAUAUUUUAAUCCCCAAACUUGAAAUAUUUCCAUAGUUAUGUUAUUGCACUUUCUGCCAGCUUCCAUGGCUUUCUGUUUUUACGUAUGCUUUCCUAGUUUUUUUCUGCUCUUUAAAAUUAAACUCCCGAGAGUGUUUUCUUUUAUUACUUCCUUGAUCAAUACAAAAAACUGAAGAGUCAGAGAUAAAUGUACUCUCAGAAUUACAUAAACACUGUUAUAAUUUAGGAGAUGUUCUCUUCUGUUAUUUCAUCUAUUAUGUUAUUAUAUAUCAUCUAUCUCAUCUCUUUUCUCUCCAUGUUCUUUCGAAGCACUGUAAUUCUCUUAUCCAGUGUUCUUUGUGUGUAUAUUUGUCUGGAGAUCUCAUUAUGAUAACUGAUUUACAAAAAUUUAUGUGUUCUUUUUCAGUUUACAAAGUGAUUUUCACAAAUGUUACUUUAUUGGAUACUUGCAAUGACCUUUUAAAUUAGGGUAUGUUAUUAUCAUUUUAUUUUUUGCAUUUAAGAAAACACUCUGAUCAGAUAACAGAGAAGGUAUUUGAACUGAAGACUUUAAGUCCAAACUCUGAGGUCUGUUCACUCUUCCUCCAUUUUCCCCCUUUAUUCCCAAUCACAGUUCAUACUUGAAAUUAUGUUGAUCAGUGUUAAAAGGGCAGCAUAUCAAUUGCUAGUCAUUACUUCACUAAGCUGAGCCUUAAUGGAGUCAUGCAAAAUAGUACAGAUUAUAAUAACUACCUCACAGGAUUGUUAUAAGAAUUAAAUUGAUUAAAUAUGACAGUGUCCAACAUAGCAACAUCUUACCCAUAGUGGUUAUAUAAUAUGCUAGAUUUCCUUUUCUCAUAGAUAACCUGAAUUAUUUCUCUUUAAAAGUUUUUAACUUUUUAUGGAUCUCUCUGCCCCAAGAUUAGACUUGGAAAAUCAUGAUCAGUAUAAUUUAUAAGGUAAAAUUUGCAGGAGAAAAGAGGGUGGGAACAGAGUUAGAGUCAAAAAUCGUGAGCAGUUUUAUAUGAAAACAAUGUAAAAUUGAGUCUCUUAGGUUUUCACACAGGAUAAUGCAAACUAAAAAUAAGUGGAAGUUCCAUGAAAAAUUAAGUGAUGUAAAAUUGUGCUACAAUCAAGAGGAAAGGAAGCUAAUGGAAUAAGCUAUUUUAUUCUUGCUUAAAAAUGCACUCUCUCAAUUGCUUUAGAAUUUUUCUUCAGUAAUGAAGAGGAACAGAGGGAGAGGGGAGAUAUCAAAAUAGUUUAUUUGGAAUUGAAACUUAUUAUGCUUAUAUCUCACUCAACAGGAUUGUACCUGAUCUAAAGAGGACUUGUUGAAAAAAAUAUAUUAUUGUUAACUGACAGUGAACUAAUAAAUGAAUCAAAUAAGAUGGAGUUAGAAAAUGUUCCAUUUCCUCAUCUCAAAUAAGAUGGAGUUAGAAACUGUCCCAUUUCCUCAUCUCUUGUUUUGAUUCAACUUUUCCCUUUCUCAAUCUGCAGUAUGAAUGGAUCUUAUUAAGUAAAUAGAUUAGGAAACUAACCCAGCAAAGAAUUUCUUAUGCAGUUUGAAAGGGAAGGGGUUGGAUUAGGGCAGUAAUUAAAUUCUUCAGUUUGGAAAAAAAUGAGUUAAUUAAUUUAAGAUAUUUUGGGAACUUCUAAAUAUUGUAUAAAACUAUGAUACUGUUAAAAAUUACCAGUGAGAUAGAGGUACAUAUUCUGUGUUGUAAAAAUGUAAUUGAUCUUUUUCUUCAUUUUUGUAUUCUGCUUAGGAAGGGUUUUUUGCUCCAAGAUUAUGGAUAAUUUCUGCCAUGAAAUUUUUUAAUGCUUAUGGUUUUUCAUUUUCCUCCCAUGCUUGACAAACAAAUCCAUUUACUUUCAAAUGCACCAAAACUGAAAGGAUAACAUUUGAAACAGUUUCAGAAGAUGAAUUAUGCCCCAUAGUGAGCUAUUUUAUCCAUAGUCCAAUAGAUUUUCUUACAGAUGAGGGAUAGAAGACAUAUUUCUUAGUAAUUACAAGCAUAUCAUAAAAACAUACUGAGAAAAGAGAGUGUUCUUUCCUUUUUUUGAAUCAUCAUGUUGCAGGAGGUAUAGUAAUAUUAGUAACUAAGUACAAACAUAAAUACACAUACAUGUGGUCAUGCAGUGGUCUAUCUGGAGGGAGUUUAGCAAAGAGCCAAUGAGUUUUUCUUUUUUUCCUCCAGGGAAACACAGGAAUGAUGCAGUUGGAAAAACCGAGUCAUUAAAGUCUUCGUCUUAAAAUUACCAUGCCAAAAAACUCUGCUCCAAACCUCCAACCAGAAAAACAUUCUUCUUCAUAGGGUUUUGGUUUUAACUUUGAUAAAUAUUGGUGAUUAGCUCUUUUUGAGUUUUCAGUUGCUCCUUGGCUUUGUCCACACCUUACUUCAAUCUUUCCAGUUGAUCUUGAUGUAACCAGGGUGCUCUGCAGUCUGAAAUAAAGAAAAUCUAUGUCCCAGAGCUCUUGGUCUAAUUGCACACCCUUCAGAGAUGAGCACCCUUGGAACAUGCAAUGACUCCUCCUGACAGUCAGUGAGUUGGUUUAGCCCAGACUUCUGUCAAACAACUUAGGUCCUCCUAUAAUUUCUUAGGAAUCCUAGCAUGAUAUAAGUGGGACAAGAUUCCCGUCACAUUUUCCUUGACUGUCAGUUCCCCAGUGACUACAUCAUUCUAUGAGCACAGUUUCAGUCUGUGUCUUCAUUUAGCAUUUUUAAGUCACCCUAUAAUUAAGGUCUAAGGAGUGAUAGACAUUCAUCUCCUAUUUUUCCAAAGUGAUAUCUUUUUGUUGCUGCAAUAUUUACUGGAUGGUCCAUCUUUAUUCAUGGAAGUAGAAACUUUUUGAUCGCUUAAAUAGAAUGGAAGGAGAAAAGGAAAAAUAAUUAACUUUCAAAUUUUACUAGGUUUGGGGGUUUGGCACAUAAUGCAGAUUCCACUAGCCUCCAGGAAAGUUCCAGGUUUAAGUGACAAACAGUGUCUCUAGAUAUUUGUAAAUAAAAUAUUUCUUUUGACUAUCUUGCAUCCUUAGUUUUACUCUUCAUUUGACUUUGAGUAUUACCAUUUGUAAUUUAGGAAUAAAUUUAUUGGCGCACUCUUGAAUCCAUUGCUUGAUUCAUCUUUAUAUUAAGAGUUUGGGAAGAAUUGUUUCUAUUAAAUGAUGAUUUUCCUUGAAAACAAAGUAUUGAAGAUUAAUGGAACAAAUGAAUGACUAAAUUGCUAUUUGGAAAAUAAAGGGUAUUAAAGACAUAUUUGUGGCAUUUUGUGGUUAAUUAAAUGAUGCAUUCAUUUCUAGGAAAGAGUUUCCAACCGAUAGAUCUGUC
rnacentral:lncRNA from 1 species